CAGUUACACAUUUGAAAAGGAGAGAAUUAUAUCUGCUCUUUUUUUCCCCUUCUUUACAGGCAUUCCAGAGAGAUUCCCCCCUUGCUGCAGACCUAUCAACCGCCAUCCUUCAACUUUCAGAGAGUGGCCAGCUCCAGAGAAUUCACGACGAGUGGCUCACAGAUCCGACCUGCGGCGAUGAUGACAGUGGGUUGGGAGCAGUCAGGCUUGGCCUGGGAAGCUUCUGGGGCCUUUUCCUGCUGUGUGCUCUGAUAUGCGUCUUUGCUCUCAUGGUUUACUUCGCAAGGAUCUGCUGGCAGUAUAGCAGGUACUCCAGCUCCGAACCUCCCAGUGAGCCAAGCGACUCUGCUGCUGCCGUCACCGCUGCUACCAUUGCUCAAAUACGGCCAGAGAAGCCAAAGCCGACGCGCCUUGGCAGCUUCAAGGAACUGAUACAGUUUGCGGACACGAAGGAGGAGGAGAUCAAGAAGGUGAUGAAACGGAGAUUGAGCGAAAAAGAUACUCGGGCCACCGGAUCUGCGCACUCGGUCUCUUCAGCAUAGAAGAGGAUCUUUCAUUUCAGGUGACACAGCCCCAGGUUCUUCUUACACAGCCAAGAUACGUAGCAUAUACUGAAGUAGAUAACAGCGGUAUACUUGACACUUGUAGGAUUCAUAAAUCUUUUUUUUUGCGGUCAUUUGAAUUCCGUCUCGGAUAUGCGGUAUAUAUGCAGCAACAUUGUCCCAACUAUUAAUAUUCCGAGAAUUAUUUUCUUGACCGACAUGCCUUAUGAUUCUAAAAUGUACUUUUUUUCGGAACGAGGCAAAAGAUUUACCUCAUAUAUUAAUUAAGAAAGAAUAGAGUGUUUACACGAGCCGAACAAAUACAAAGUGGUGUUACUCUCCCAGUAUUAUAGUACCCAGCUUCUUAGCCCCGGUGACCCAGGUGAAGGCUUCACUCUUGAUGUUGCUUAGCAGAAUUGGGGGUGGCAUGCUCUUGUUGCGGAAAAUGACAUGGCUUUCCUGUUGGGAGUGCACAAACUCGAUUGGCUGACCCACCAAUCCAUAAUGGAGUCAUGAAGGUGCCAUGUCGAACUGUCAAGGUUGUCGCUUGACGAAGAGGUGUAGUCCAGACUCCGGCUCCCGUUUGGAGAGGGGGCAAAGAUGGCAAUUCGGCCAUCCCCGACGUGCUAGACGAUCAGUGGUCCAAAUUCGGUCCUGGAUGGCAAGCCACGCAAAGAACUUCUCCACACCGUGUGAUCUAAAAUGUACUUUUCAUCACUGUUUCCGAAGUGAGUCUAUAGAUGGCUUCUUUUUUUCAACUCUAGUACGAUAGAAAAAUAAACUCUGCCAUGCAUUUAAUCUAUAUCUAUACUUACUAUAUGCUAUGCUACCUACUAUUAAAGCAAGGUGAUAUUCUUGGUUUCGUCCUGCUUAGGUGAUUAUAUAUAUUUUUUUACUAUAUUCGAGGUGGUACUAUUUUUUGCUACAAAACAGAUUCAUAUUCGUUACCAUUAACGCUGUUUUUUGGGGUCUAUGCACGCCAACGCUGCUCUGGGCCUUUUCUUGGUGUAUGUCACAAACGUACUGGGCCAUGGGCCUGCUCUUGUGCUUAGAAAAAGAUUCGCAAAAAAUUGCCACUUGCACUAAGGAUCGAGCCCACGACCUGGUAUUUGCCUCCUUCAGGCUAGGACCAGCUAAGCUUGCUCCUGUGUAUGUUAACUACACCGCUCAUUAUGCAUUUAAAUAGUCUCACCUCGCUUUUUUACAUGAUCUUUUAUCAGUUUAUAUAGCCCACAAGUUGACACAGAAUAAAAAAGACAUCAAGAAUAACGAACAGAGGCUGAAGUGUGGGUCCUAUUUAACCUUGAAAGCAAAGGAAUUUCGCAAUAUAAGAAAGAAGACAGAAAAGGACACAGUAAAAAAGUUGGGGUGAAUAUCAGUUAACUCGCGUGAAAUGGAGGCUGGAAGGGAGGACCAUGCCAUCUCUUGUAAUUAAAGGAAAUUAUGGUCGUAUGAAGCAAAUGGAUAAAACGAAACCUCGAUCAAAUGAAAAUAUUGCGGACUCCUAGCUUUUCAUUAUGAAGACACCUAAGUUUGCGGACUCAAUUGAUCACAAAACUUUAUUUCAUUGAUAGCAUUGAUUUUCAUCAAAAAUUAAUAUGCAGCUAACAAAAAAUGUUAGAAAUUUUGUGAUCAAUUGAGAUUAUAUUCGGUUUAUGUACAUUAGAAUUAUAUACAUAGAAGGAUGAUCCGAAUUUGUGAAAAAAAUGUAAAAAAAUAAGGGUAAUAGAAUUAUAUACACCUUUUGACGUAAUGUUAGAAACUAGGAUAACACUAAAACUGAUUAUGUGAUAUUUUCACUCUUUCCUCUUAUGAACAGAAAGUGUACAUAAGGAAAGAGGACGUGAAUGAGGAUAUGUAACAAUACGGGUGGGAUGCCAUGUUCAAAUAGAGGAUAUGAACCAGGGUUUUGAUCUCCCGUUGCAAUGCACGGGCCUAUGUCCUAGUAGAAAAAAAAAUAUAGACAAUACUGAAUUGUCCAACUAGCACGAUAAGAUAUGACCAAAUCAUACAAUUUGUGUUUCGGUUUCUGAAUCGUACCAAACAGGUGUAAAUGCAGCUGAGAUGGUAUCAUCCUGAACCCGGAACUGAGCUGUUGUGCUGUUUAUCUGGAUCUGGACAGUCUUGCGUGGGCGCAAGACCCAUAAUGAUCCUCAGCUCCUUACAUUUUUGGUCCUGUACAAAACAGUCUACUAAAACCAAAUGUCUCCUACUCCCAGGUUAACAGAUCGCUAGUGCUAUACUAUACUGAUUCUGGGAUCAAUGCUGAGGUGGAAAAUGCUCUGUUUCUUUUUGGGAUCACAAGGACUUGAUCAAACUCGAUAGUUAUUGCUAUGAAGAAGGCCAAAAUGGCACUGCAUAGCAGAUUUGGAAGUAGAACAUAGGUUAAAGAAGAUGCAUGAAUGAGGGAGGUCGACAUACUGAAAAAAGUACUCUCCCUGUCUUGAAAUACGAGGCGCAAUUUGAUUUAUAUUGCUUGAUUCAUCAGAUUUUCUUUUAUUGCUUGAUUGGUAACUGAUACCACGAUGACUCCAUAUAGGACUUGACCCCUAAGUUAUGAUCCGAAGGAUAUGGGUCAUGUGCCAUGUGCCGAUGUGCUAGUGCUGACGAGUUUUUUUUUUUUGAAAGAUCCAGCAUCGCUGGCAUUUCAUUGAUAAUAGCAGGAAGCAGCGGAAAACAACAAGAUGGUGAAGGUCCUAGGACCAGAUCCGAAGAUCAAAGAAAGAGAAAAGGGAAAGAAAAAAAACUACAACCCUGAUAGCUGCGGCUCAACACUCCAAACCAAUCCAUACUAGGCAGCAGCUCCGACUCCGACGGCGAACUACUAAGGAAGCUAGGCAGGGGUGGCGUCACGGAGGAUCACCGAAUGAGCCAAUCUGUUACGCGUCAUCGUAUACCACCGGCCCCCCACCGUGGCUUCGACUUCACAGCAACAGGCAAUCAAGGAACACCCACGGACACGCCAAAGAAGAAGAGUCAACUACCACGACGAAGGCCACGCCUCCGACAUUGCUCACCGUCGUCAUCGUUGCCACAGAACCGCCGUGCACGUCCAGUUGUUGGAAGCACCAAAGGGAUCAAAGUCUUCAAGACGGUGCCCUAAAGAGGGGAACAACGUUGAAGACGACGCCACCGCCCGACCCUGUAGCAGGAUCUGGGUUUUCACCCGAAAGACUUGAUCCGGGAGAUCUGACUGUGUGAUUCCCGACGAUGCCUCCAAGGAGGAUAGCGACACCCACAUGCGCCGUCCCCGUCGGCUGACCAACACCGGCCAAGCUUUCACCCGGGGCAGCCACUCCCACGCAGCGGGUCGAGGUCGACCCGUGCCUCCACUGAACCGCGCACCCCACACAUAACAAGCACGCCACUGCUGUGCCGGGCCACCACCAAGCCUCGCCGACGACGGGCCUGCAGAAACCAUAUCGGGUCCUACACCCCGCAUCCAACCGCGGUCGGAGCCUCUCUGCUCCAGCACUGCCCGCGCUCGCCCGCUGCGCAGCCUCGGACCUCCUCCAUUAUGCACUGCAACCCCGCGCGUAGCCUCCGGCCUGGACGGGCCCAGAUCUGGUCGGCCAUUCGCAGCCUCGCGCCUCGCCUCACCAACGCCAGCCCCAACAUGCUCGUCGCAUUCGCGGCUGUCCGCUGCAUCCCUGGCCACCAGCUAGCCGGAUCUACAAGUGCCCGCCACACCACCGCCAAGGGCGCUCGCCGCGGCAGCGAGUGACCUGCGCCCGCCCGGCCACUCAAGACACUGGUAGCACCGCACCUCCGCUCCGCCUCAAGCACUGGCGACUGCGCCAGAUCGCCGCAGCCCCACACCGUCUCCUUGCGCCCGCCCGCCCGCUCAAGGGCCCGCGUGGCACCACAACUCCUCUCCGCCUCGUCCACCAGCGACAGCGCCAGAUCCACGCAGCCCCGUGCCCGCCAUGGCGCCAGAACCUCGCGAGCUCGCCCCACUCACGCUCCUCAGUGCACCUCGCUGUGCCAAGCUUCCAUCCCCGCCAGAUUGAGCCGCCCGCGCCACUCGAGCCCGAGAAGAAGGGAACAACGGCCCUGCCGCCGCCACCGCUGCACAAGCUUUGCCCGGCUGCGCACACUGGCAACGGCGAGGGGAGCAGGUGUGGUGGGUGGUCUCCCGGCGGUGGCUAGAUUUUCCUCUCCCGAGCUGCCCGCGAGAGUGGCCUUAAACUACUACAAAUCCCAGAGCCCCGUCCAUUUUUGUUGUCUUUGGGGUCUUAUGCUUGAGGUAUGAAUUAACUACGAGUAACGCGUACAAAUGAGUUACAAGCUUUUACAAAGAGGGUAUGUAGAUCUCCUACCAUUGUAACCGACUCUAUGUAACCCUAACCCUAUCCGGUGUCUAUAUAAACCGGAGGGUUUUAGUCCGUAGGACAACGUACACAUCAACAAUAAUCAUACCAUAGGCUAGCUUCUAGGGUUUAGCCUCCUCGAUCUCGUGGUAGAUCUACUCUUGUACUACCCAUAUCAUCAAUAUUAAUCAAGCAGGACGUAGGGUUUUACCUCCAUCGAGAGGGCCCGAACCUGGGUAAACUUCGUGUCCCCUGCCUCCUGUUACCAUCCGGCCUAGACGCACAGUUCGGGACCCCCUACCCGAGAUCCGCCGGUUUUGACACCGACAUUGGUGCUUUCAUUGAGAGUUCCUCUGUGUCAUCGCCGUCAGGCUCGAUGGCUCCUACGAUCAUCGAUAGCGAUGUAGUCCAGGGUGAAACCUUCCUCCCCGGACAGAUCUUCGUCUUCGGUGGCUUCGCACUGCGGGCCAAUUCGCUUGGCCGUCUGGAGCAGAUCGAAAGCUACGCCCCUGGCCGUCAGGUCAGAUUUGGAAGUUUAAACUACACGGCUGACAUCCGCGGGGACUUGAUCUUCGACGGAUUCGAGCCACUGCCGAGCGCGUCGCACCUUCAUGACGAGCAUGAUCUAGCUCUGCCACCGAACAGUGCCCUGGAGGCCGCACCCGCAUCGGCUCUGACCCUUAAUUUGGAGCCAACUGCGCCGAUCGAGGAUGGGCGGUUGGACCUGCGACCCCAACGGCGAUUGAGCCGAACACCAGCCCAUACUCUGCGAGACUCGUGACUCCAAGGAGCCGGACUCCUCUCCGGACUCCGAACCCUCCACACCCCUGCCAAUCGAAUCCGAUCGGGCGCCGAUUAUGGAGUUCACUGCCGCGGACAUCUUUCAGCACUCGCCUUUCGGCGAUAUCCUGAAGUCACUGAAGUCUCUCUCUUUAUCAGGAGAGCCCUGGCCGGACUAUGGUCAGCAAGGUUGGGGUACGGAUGAUGAAGAAAUUCAAAGCCCACCCACCACCCACUUUGUAGCCACUGUUGACGACUUAACCGACAUGCUCGACUUCGACUCCGAAGACAUCGACGGUAUGGACGCCGAUGAAGGAGAUGAAGAACCAGCGCCUACUAGGCCCUGGAAAGCCACCUCGUCAUAUGACAUAUACAUGGUGGACACCCCAAAAGAGGGAGAUGGCGACGGAACAGCGGAGGAUGACCCCUCCAAGAAACAGCCUAAGCGCCGGCGUCAUCGGCGCCGCUCAAAAUCCCGCCAAAACAAAUACGGCAAUUCCAGCACGGGAGAUAAUAAUACUCCGGAAAGUGCUGAAGAAAACCCCCUCCAGCAAGACUUAGCACAGGAGGAUGGAGAAACCAGCCCUCAUGAGAGAGCGGCAGACAGAGAGGUCGAGGACGAUAAUUAUAUGCCUCCCUCCGAAGACGACGCAAGCCUCGACGACGACGAAUUCGUCGUGCCAGAGGAUCCUAUCGAGCAAGAGCGUUUUCAACGCAGGCUUAUGGCCACGGCAAGAAGCCUCAAGAAAAAACAGCAACAACUUAGAGCUGAUCAAGAUUUGCUGGUCGACAGAUGGACUGAAGUCCUUGCGGCCGAAGAGCAUAAACUCGAACGUCCCUCCAAGAGCUACCCAAAGCGCAGGUUGCUACCCCGAUUAGAGGAUGAAACACUUGAUGCGGCCGACCGGCCACCUCGUGGCCGCGACAGAGAGGCCUCCCGACCCUCCACUCAAGCCGCACCCCGUACCAAGGCACGGGAAUAUGCGCCGGACUUACGAGACAUGUUGGAGGACAAGGCAAGGCAAACAGGAUCGAUCUACGGAUCGCGUGUGCGCCCCAUGGCUCGAGACGGUAACCGUCACGCCGGCCACAAAUUCGGCAGGGCCGAACACAGCUCAUUGGAGCUACAUCAUGAUAUCGCCCAGUACAGAGGUUUCAAACCCCCGAGGGUUUCAAACCCGUAAACAUCGAAUCAUACGUGUCACACCCUAGCUAGUCAUGCAUUAGAGUGUUGCAUCAUGUUUACUCUUUCAUCAGAAACUUGAAAUGGGGAUCUGUGAAACCCUCAGAAUCAUUUUGAAAAUGAUCCAAAUAAAAAUUUCUCCAAAAGGGUCCAAGAAAAUGCUCAUGUUGCUCUCUGAAAAUAUUGGACAGAGAUAAAAAUCAAACCAAUAUUUUUAGUGGCUCAUGGACAUUUAUUUUGGGCAUUUGGAAUUAAGGCAUAAAUAUUUGCAUUGGAAAUAUAUUUCUAUAUAUAUGAAAUAUGGUCCAAAUAUUAUGCCAUUUCUAAAGGAGCUCUGGAAUAAUAUAUCUAGCCCCUGCAAAAAUUGGCAUAAGUUAAAUAAAUUAAUAUAUUAUUUAAAUCAAAACAAAUGUCAGAAAUUAGAAAACAGAAAAGAAAUAAAAGGGAGAAGCUUACCUGGGCUCCUCCCUGUGCAGCCCAUCCAGCUGGCCGGCCCAGCCAGCAGGCGGCCCAGCCCGCCUCCCUCCUCUGUCGUCUUCGUCCCGACAGAGGGAGGGGAGUGUGGCCGGCGCGCGCGCCCGCCACCGCGCCACGCCACCUCUCUCCCUGCUUGCCUGCCCUCCCCUCCUCGCUCGUUGCCCUGGACGACGCCACGCCUCCCCCCUGCUCUCUCUCACUCUCCCCCGGCUCUCCCCUCCUCUCCCUCGCUCUCUCUCUCACACGGCCGAACACCACCGUCGCCGCCGUUCGCCAUAGCAGCCAUCUCCGGCCACCCCUCACUCCCCCGACUAGCUCAGGAGCUCCGCCUCGACCUCCUCUUCCUCCCCACCGCUCCACGGGUCUCCGGAAGCUCUGCAUCGCCGUCACGCCGCCGUUCCCCUCUUCGGGCUCCGACCACCGUCGCCGACGAAUUUGCCGUCUCCAGCGCGUCCCCGAGCCCGCUUCGACGCCCACUGCAACCGCGGUGAGCCCCCGAGUCGUUUCCCCCUUCUUCGCGGGUCUCUUUCGACCUCUAGGCCUUAGCCCCACCUUGGCCGAGAGCUCCACGCCGCCGGCGAUGUCGCCGUCGUGGCCACGGUCACCGUAGCGCCCAACCGAGCACACUAUCGUGCUCCACGCCUCACUAGGAGCACGCAGCACGCACCAACGCCUCCCCAAACACCCUGCAACGCCGACUCCGACCGCACCCGAACUCCGGCCGCCGCUCACGAGCUCGCCGUCGACGACUCCGGCCACCUCAGGCCCGGCCACCACCACCGUUCGACGCGCGGGAGCAAGGGCUCUCCAACGAGCCCAAGCACAGCCUCGCCCGUGCCCUGUAGCGCGAUCCCGCAUCGCGCCGCCGUCUCGGGCCUCGCCGGCGUCACGUCGCCGGUGGGUUUGACCCACUUUGACCACGGCAGGACCCCCCCUGAGUCCCUGACAGGUGGGCCCAGCCCUGUAGCUAAUUAGGAUUAGCGCUAACCACUGUUAGUUAACCCCCUGACACUGACCAGUGGGCCCCAGCGCCCCUAAUUAGUAAUUAGGAUUAAUUUAACUCUGUUUAACCCCCCUGUCACUGACGUGUGGGCCCCACACGUCAGGUUUGACCUCAGCCAGCCGCAGUUGACCACUGACGUCAUGCUGACGUCAUGCUGGCGCAAUAAUCAUAUUUCUGGAUUUAAAUUAAAUCAGGAAAUUCCAGAAUAUUAUUUAAACUUCAAAAAUUCAUAACUUUUAUUCUGUAACUCCAAAUUGGACAAAUUAUAUAUGAAAAAUGAUCAGAAAAAUCCAAUCUAUCCAUCUGUACUAUUUUCAUGCAUGAUCAAACAAGUUAAAUUGAUGUUUUAAGCAGAACAAGGAAAAGCACUUUAAAAGGCCAUAUUUGAAUUUGAAAUUUGAAUCCUUGAUUCAAAUUUGUUCAAACCCUCCUGGUUUUAGUUGCAUUAGCCCAAUACACUCAUUUUGCCAUGUCUCAUGCAUGCAUCAUAUUGUUGCAUACUGUUUGGUAAUGUUUGUGAAUCGGUGCUCUCUGCGGCAGGUUCUGUCCCCGAAGAGUACCGUGAUUACCCUAACGAAGAACCGUAUCAGUGCAUCGAACCAUCAGGCAAGCAACCAACCAUUUGAUCAUAUCGAUACAAUCCCAUGUUCUCGCUCCUGCUCUCUUUUACUGCAUUAAGACAACGCGUUUCAAACUGCUGUGUGCUACGGUAGUUGAACCCAUUUCCUCUGCAUGACCUGUCAUUGCCACAGUAACUAGAUGAAACCCACUAGCAUGUGUAGGAGUUGUUUGAGCCAUAUGUAUGUGUUGUUCCUACCUUGCUAUGCCUGCUAUGCUUAGAGUCGUGUCAGGUCUGGUUCAUCUGGGUGAUGGGCUAGAGUGAAAUGUUUAUGUCGGUAAUGAGAGUGGUGUGGUGAACACGAUUUGGUAAAGGUAUCGAUGAGAGGCCAUGUAGGAGUACAUGGUGGGUUGUUUCAUUGAAGCCGACCUUAAGCACUGAGAUCUGUAUGUGUGAUUUAAGAAUCAGCUACUACCAUGCAUUGGGCCCGAAACCAAUGGACCGUCUCGGCUUCUUAUUCACCCUAGUUCUCCGUCCAGGAGUUGCAAGUAGUUUCUGGUGUUUGUAGCCUACUGGAGGCCGUGGACAGCGCUGACCGUAGGGGUGGGCUGUGAUGCGGUAGGUACGUGGCACGGUGUACCGAAUACCCGUUAGGUAUCUCAGGAACCCUGUUCACAUCGUUCGGGGCCGUAUGGGAAACCUCGGCCGGACUCCCUGCGGAUGGAACCUGGAUAGGCGAUAAACCUGGACUGGAGGCUUAGGUGAUUAGGUAGGUCGUGGCCGACACCCACGUUGGGCUUCCGCUUGAAGGUUGCCGAGUACAUGUCGUGUAAACGACGGUAAGUGGUGAGAGCGUGUAUGAAGAAGUACACCCCUGCAGGGUUAACAUGAUCUAUUCGAAUAGCCGCGUCCGCGGUAAAGGACUACUUGGUUACCUAUACAGUUCAUAGACAAGUAAAUGGAAACUGUUAAAAGCCUCAAGAUAAGUGUGAGUGCCGAGGAUGGCUCUUCCGUAGGAAGACAGAGGUGGAUCCUCGGUAGUGUAUUGAAGUGGUGAGUAGUGGACUCGUGUGCGCAAAACCAUUUCAAGUUGGAGUAUCGUAGGAUAGUCUAGCCAAGAGUCAAAGCUGGCUUGCUGCAAUAACUCCACCAACCCUUCUUGAUAAUAUGCAUGUAUGUAGGAUCUGAUGUAAGUCUUGCUGAGUACCUUUGUACUCAUGUUGCUAUAAUCUACAUUUUACAGAAGACGCUGCAACCCCUUCUGAUGGGUUCUAUGUAGACGUUGACAUCAACGAGUAGGCUAAAGACCCAGGUGGUGACCCUGAGCUUGUGAAGGACCACGUAGUAUAGUUAGGCUUUCCAAGCCUCUUUUAUUUUACUAGUUGUCUGUACUCAGACAAGUUACUUCCGCUGCCGGUUUGUAUGACUGUAUGACUUGUAUGUUGGGUCGUGAGACCCGUACCUUUGUGUAUGUUAUGUAUGGCUCCCUGAGCCUUAAAUAAAGUACUUGAGUCAUAGAGUCAUGUUGUGAUGCUUCGUUGUAUUUGCACAUAUCGAGCAUAUUGUGUGUAUGAUUGAAAUGCUUGGUAUGUGUGGGAUCUGACCAUCUAGUUGUUUAUCUUUAGUAGCCUCUCUUACCGGGAAAUGUCUCCUAGUGUUACCGCUGAGCCAUGGUAGCUUGCUACUGCUCUGGAACACUUAGGCUGGCCGGCAUGUGUCCUUCUUCGUUCCUGUGUCUGUCCCUUCGUGGAAAUGUCACGCUUUGAGUACCGGAGUCCUGUUAGCCCGCUACAGCCCGGUUUACCGGAGUCCUGCUAGCCCAGUGCUACAGCCCGGACCCACUUGCUGAUGACCGACACGUUCAAAGCUGGGUCAUGGAUGCCUGUCCUUGUAAGUCUGUGCCACUUUGGGUUUACGACUAGUCAUGUCAGUCCGGGCUCCUUAUCAUAUGGAUGCUAGCGACACUAUCAUAUACGUGAGCCAAAAGGCGCAAACGGUUCCGGGCAAAGGUAAGGCGACACCCGUGGGGAUACCGUGCGUGAGGCCGCAAAGUGAUAUGAGGUGUUACCGGCUAGAUCGAUGUGACAUUGAGUCGGGGUCCUGACAAUACGAUGGCACAACAGAUCCUGCGGUAUGGAUCGAGGAUUAUCUCCUUCAUAUCCACAUGGCCCGCAACGACGAUUUCCACGCCAUCAAAUACCUCCCACUCAAGCUUAAAGGACCAGCUCGGCAUUGGCUUAACAGCUUGCCAACAGGAUUAAUCAGUUGUUGGGAGGACCUGGAAGCCGCAUUCCUCGACAAUUUCCAGGGCACUUAUGUGCGACCCCUAGACGCCGAUGACCUAAGUCACGUAAUUCAGCAGCCAGAGGAAUCGGCCAGGCAAUUCUGGACACGGUUCCUAACAAAGAAAAAUCAAAUAGUCGAUUGUCCGAACACUGAGGCCCUAGCAGCCUUCAAGCACAAUAUCCGUGACGAGUGGCUGGCCCGGCACCUUGGAUAGGAAAAGCCGAAAUCUAUGGCAGCACUCACGACACUCAUGACCCGCUUUUGUGCGGGAGAAGACAGCUGGCUUGCUCGUAGCAACAAUAUGACCAAGAACCCUAGUAAUUCGGACACCAGGGACAGUAGUGGCAGGUCGCGUCGCAACAAGCAGAAGCGCCUCAUUAACGGCGACAAUGCUGACGAUACGACAGUUAAUGUCGGAUUCAGAGGCUCUAAAUCUGGUCAGCGGAAAAAGCCAUUCAAAAGGAAUCCUAGGGGCCCGUCUAGUUUGGACCGAAUACUCGACCGUUUGUGCCAGAUACAUGGCACCCCCGAAAAGCCGGCCAAUCACACCAACAGGGAUUGUUGUGUGUUCAAGCAGGCAGGCAAGUUAAACGCCGAAAAUGAAGACAAGGGGCUGCAUAGCGAUGACGACGAGGAGCCUCGGCCGCCGAACAGUAGUGGACAGAAGGGUUUUCCCCCACAAGUGCGGACGGUGAACAUGAUAUACGCAGCCCACGUCCCCAAAAGGGAGCGGAAGCGCGCGUUAAGGGACGUAUACGUGGGAGAGCCAGUCGCCCCAAAGUUCAACCCAUGGUCCUCCUGCCCGAUCACCUUUGAUCGAAGGGACCACCCCACUAGCAUCCGUCAUGGAGGAUUCGCCGCAUUGGUCCUAGACCCAGUUAUUGACGGAUUUCAUCUCACUAGAGUCCUCAUGGACGGCGGCAGUAGCCUGAACCUGCUUUACCAGGACACAGUGCGGAAAAUGGGCAUAGAUCCCUUGAGGAUUAAGCCCACCAAAACGACCUUUAAAGGCGUAAUACCAGGUGUAGAGGCCAACUGUACAGGCUCAGUCACACUUGAAGCAGUCUUCGGAUCUCCGGAUAAUUUCCGAAGCGAGGAGUUAAUCUUCGACAUAGUCCCGUUUCGCAGUGGUUAUCACGCACUGCUCGGGCGAAACGCAUUCGCUAAGUUCAACGCGGUACCGCACUACGCAUACCUCAAGCUCAAUAUGCCAGGCCCUCGAGGAGUAAUUAUGGUCAAUGGAAACACCAAACGCUCCCUCCGAACGGAGGAGCACACGGCGGCCCUUGAAGCGGAAGUACAAAGCAGCCUCUCCAGGCAGUUCUCCAGUCCGGCCACUAAACGACCGGACACCGUCAAGCGCGCCCGGAGUAACCUACAACAAGACCGCCUGGCACGACCCGAGCAGGCAUAGCAAUGCGGCCCCAACCCCAACCCUCGCAAAAAGGCGAUGCCAGUACUUUGCGUACAUAACUACGCUCUAGAGAUACCAUGGGUACAGGGGGAGGGGCACCAUCACGGCACGCCCAAAAAUACGGCUUAAACCAGGGGCUGCCGAUUUUUUUAAUUUUCUCUUACUUUCAGGACUCCAUCCUUCGGAAGGCCUGUCGGCAGUUCAAUUGCCGCACAAACGAUGCAAGAACCAGGGAAGCAGACAAGCCACGCCGCAGCACAGAACUCCCAGGUGGUCUCUAUCAUGAGCAGUAUACCUAUUCCGCAUACUAUUCCGCAGCUUGCCCCUGGAACGGACAUGUUAACUAGUCCAACCUCCCACUUAUCGCAUUAUUUGUAUCGUUCUGCUUUAAUCGCAACCCUUUUUAAUAAACAAUGCAUAGCUUUCGUCUAUUUUUGCAUUACAUUUUUUCCUUAUAUAUGUUCCUUAACGACAUGUUACACCCGUACACGUUGGUACGGCCAAAAUACGCCAUGGGCUUUAGUACCCCUCAAUAUGGUGUGAGAAGUCCGAACACUUUAACAAGUGUGGCACCCCGGACUUAUAGCAUUAUAUGCAUCGGCUCCGAAUCAUGUCUUGGGUCAAUAGUUGGGUUUGCCCGGCUCCUAUGUUUUGGUGCCUUACGUUCCGCUAUAUCGGCUAAGGUAGCACUAGGAGAACCACUGGGAUUGUGCCCCAGUUGAGCUGGGUCGAGCACCUCAGUGGAGAAAGCUAAAACUGACUGUCAUGAUGAAGCGAGAGCUGGUCGCUGUUCGAGAGGUUUUUCGAGUCCCUAAAGACUUAUGCCGCUUCGGGCGAGGAGCCGGCUCUGUCCGGCCAAGGCGUGGAUAGCGCCCCGAACUCAGUCUUCCGAAUACUAGGGGCUUCGCCGAAAUUUAAAAUUAUAGAAUUCUAUGGCUAAGUGAGAGUGUUCACGCAUUAUAGUCCGAUUGCCUUGUUCGUUGGGCUGAGCGCCUCCCUCGAAGGACCCAACCAUGGGAAAAAGAGCGCUCAGGUUUAUCCCCGAACACCCCAGCACUAGCGGCACGGGGGCAGAAGCCGACGACUCGCCAUCUCUCAGAAUUGAUAAACAGCCGCACAGAAGGUAAUAUUUUAAAUCCCAACAGCAUUUCUUAGCGCAUAUAAACAAGUUUUCAGCACACAGGACAAAACGAGCAAGUUUCACUCAAAAAUUACAUCCCUAGAACAUUCAUCCGGCACCAGGCAUGCACCCUUCAGAACAUCCUUAUAGUAAUUCUCGGGCUUGCGAUGCUCUUUCCCCGGCGUUGCCCGUGCUUCACCAGCUUCUCAGCAUCCAGCUUGCCCCAGUGCACCUUAGCACGUGCAAGGGCCCUAUGGGCACCUUCAAUGCAGACGGAGCGCUUGAUGACUUCGAGCCUUGGACAGGCCUCCACCAACCGCCGCACCAGCCCGAAAUAGCUGCUAGGCAGAGCCCCUCCAGGCCACAGCCGAACAAUGAGGCCCUUCAUGGCCUGUUCGGCCGCCUUGUGGAGCUCGACCAGUUGCUUCAGCUGGUCGCUCAGGGGAACGGGGUGUCCGGCCUCAGCAUACUGAGACCAGAACUCCUUCUCUGUCGAGCUGCCCUCCUCGGCUCGAUAGAAUGCGGCAGCAUCGGACACACUCCGGGGAAGAUAUGCGAACGCUCCUGGAGAGCUCCGGAUUUGGGUAAGUAACAAGUAACUCACGUUUAUGUGUCUGCUUUGCAUAAAGAAUGCCUUACCCGCCGCUAUCUUCUUCACCUCAUCCAACUCCUGGAGGGUCUUCUGGGAUUCGGCCUUGGCAGACUUAGCAUUUUCAAUAGCCACUGCAAGCUCGGACGCUCGCGUCUAUGAGUCAAGCUCCAAACUCUCAUGUUUUUCCAUGAGAGCCUGGAGCUCUUGCUGCACCUUGCCAACCUCGGCCUCAUACUUCUCCCGCUCGGUGCGCUCCGAGGCCGCCCUCUUCUCGGCCUCGACCAGCGCUUUCUUAAGGGUCGCCACUUCAGACGUGGCCCCUAAAAUAGCCACGAUAAUCCUGUCAUUCUUUGCAAUUACACCUUUUUCUAUAUAUUUAAAAACAAGGUAUUUCUUACCUUCAUUGUCCUCGAGCUGCUUCUUGGCACGACCGAGCUCUUGCUCGGACCGCUCGAGGUUCUGCUUUAGCGCGUCCACUUCCGCAGUCAGUGCGGCGGACGCAAGCAGGCAAGCCUGCAUAUGCAUAUUGACUCAUUUUUGUUAGACUCCUGUGAAUUCUAUUUGAUCCUCUAUUCGGCUUUUCUUCCCAAACGCCUCCUCCCGGCUUGGAACCUGUUGGGAAAACACUUCGGUGUCGUUCGUAGGGCGGGGGGAGGAACCCGUCGGAAGCGAGUUCACAUCCGACGAGUCCAGUGAGCCACUCGACGACGCGUCGAGCCGGUCUUUGGGUGGGCUGCAUAAACAUAUUCGACGUAAGGGAAAGCUGUGCAAUAAAUGAAUACUAUGAAUUACUCUGGUAUCCGGAUACUUACGAUUUCGCCAGGGGCUUGGCCCUGGGCUGCCAUUCCUCUCUGCCGUCGGCAUCGGUGGAGUAUUCCGGAGGAAGGGUUUUCCCCUUCUUGGACCCUUCGGCCUCCCCAGAGAGGGUGGCCUUCCUUUUCUUCUCUCCUCCCGCUGGAGGGGGAGAGUUCUCCUCUUCUUCCUCGUCUUCACGGGAGGAAUGCGCCUCGGAACCAUCGGAUGAUGGAUCCGACGCCUCCUGGCGCCGGACACUCUUUCGAGUCCGCACGGCCUUUUUCGCGGCCUUCUUCUCUGGCACCACAUAGGGUGCCGGAACCAGCAGCUUCGCCAAGCGAGCGUCCGCUGGGCCUUCAGGCAAGGGAGCCGGACAGUUGAUCUGUCCGGACGUCACCUGCCAAUCCUGUCAAAGGUAAGGGAGCUUAAAUCCCGCAUGGAGUCAAACUAUGAAAAACUGAUGCCCUGUAAAAGGAAAAUAACAGCUUACUGCGAGAGCGUGACGCUGCGCACUAAAUCCGCGAUCCUUGGUAGCGGACGCGGGAGCCUCGACGCCUUUGAAAAGCAUCUUCCAGGCAUUUUCAUACGUCAUGUCGAAGAGCCUGCUCAGAGUUUGGUGCCGCGCCGGGUCGAACUCCCAUAGGUUGAAAGCCCGUUGUUGACACGGGAGGAUCAGGCGGAUGAGCAUAACCUGGACUAUGUUGACAAGUUUGAGCUUCUUGUCCGCCAGGGUUUGGAUGCAUGUUUGGAGUCUGGUCAGCUCUCCUUUUUUACCCCAAGACAGGUCCGUCUCCUUCCAAGAGGUGAGCCGCGUGGGGGGUCCGGAUCGAAACUCAGGGGGUGCGACCCAUUCAGCUUCGCGCGGUUCGGUGAUGUAAAACCAUCCCGCUUGCCACCCCUUUAGGGUCUCCACAAAGGAGCCCUCGAGCCAUAGGACGUAGGCCAUCUUGCCCACCAUGGCGCCUCCACACUCCACCUGGUUGCCGCGCACCACCUUCGGCUUGACGUUGAAAGUCUUGAGCCAUAGGCCGAAAUGGGGGCGGAUGCGGAGGAAGGCCUCGCACACGACGAUAAACGCCGAGAUGUUGAGGACGAAGUUCGGGGCCAGAUCGUGGAAAUCUAGGCCAUAGUAGAACAUGAGCCCCCGGACAAAUGUGUGAUAGCCUGGCUUAUUAGGGAUGAUAGACUACUCAUAUCAAUAAGGAAUUCAUUCUUUUCCGGGAGCCAAUUCGGACAGAACUCCAAAGUUAAGCGUGCUCAGCUUGGAGUAGUGUCAGGAUGGAUGACUGACCGGGAAGUUGCUCCCGGGUGCGCACGAGUGAGUACAAAGUGCGCAGAAAAGACUAGUAUUGAUCUGUGGGGCCAGUCUAGAUCCUGCCAGGAGUAACGAUAACCGGCGGGUGUGUCCGGGGCGUUAUAAGUUGGUAUCAGAGCCGACCCUCGCGGUUACACGGAUGGUUGCGGACAGGUGCGUGGUCAUGUUGUUCAUGACGUUUGUGACCCGUCGUGGCACCCGGCAUGGCACAUGUACCAGACUGGAAGCACAGACGUUUGUGCCAAGAGGGACGUUCCUGUGGCCCGACGAGGACGUCGGUUCCUCUGAGUGGGGGUGUAUGUGAUAGCCUGGCUUAUUAGGGAUGAUAGACUACUCAUAUCAAUAAGGAAUUCCUUCUUUUCCGGGAGCCCAUUCGGACAGAACUCCAAAGUUAAGCGUGCUCAGCUUGGAGUAGUGUCAGGAUGGGUGACCGACCGGGAAGUUGCUCCCGGGUGCGCACGAGUGAGGACAAAGUGCACAGAAAAGACUAGUAUUGAUUUGUGGGGCCAGUCUAGAUCCUGCCAGGAGUAACGACCACCGGCGGGUGUGUCCGGGGCAUUACAAAAUGGGUGGAGAGGGAAGCCCAGUCCGUGGAGGAAAUGGGGGAGGAACACCACCCUCUCAUGGGGCCUAGGGGUGGGGAUGAGCUGCCCCUUUUCGGGGAGCCGGUACGCGAUGCCAUUAGACAGGUAUCCGGCCUUCCUCAGCUUUUUGAUAUGUCCCUCCGUGACGGAGGAGACCAUCCACUUGCCUCCCGCUCCGGACAUGGCUGGAGAAGGUUGAGGUGGGGAGUGCGGACUUGGGCGCUGGAGCGCGAGUGCGCAAGAAUGGAUAGGCGAAGGAGGAAGAAGGCGUAGGUGAAAAGGUGGAUCCUUAUCCCCUUAUAUGGGUGGACACAACUACAUGUCCCCACCAGUCUGGUAAAACUCGCUUAUCUCCAAGCGCCGUAAUCAAUGGCGCGGUUGGGUUACCCACACCCGUAUUGAUGAGAAUCCCGGAAUAAGGGGACAUGAUCUCUGCUUUAACAAGACGUGCUGAAGAAACCGCCUCGCAUAACGCGCUGAGGUGGGAUAAUGAAACGACUCGGAUAAAGGCUUGGCCGUGGUGUGACACGCUACGGAAUACGCCAGCAGAUUAGAUUGGUGUAAAUAUUAUUCUCUCUAUGGCAAUAUGUGGAAACUUAUUUUGCAGAGCCGGACACUACCUUUGUGUUCAAAAUCUUCUACGAAGUACUUGGAGGAGGAACCCGCCUUGCAAUGCCGAAGACAAUCUACACGCUGGACUUGUCGUCAUUGAAGCCUGGUUCAGGGGCUACUGAGGGAGUCCUGGAUUAGGGGGUGUUCGGAUAGCCGGACUAUACCUUCAGCCGGACUCCUGGACUAUGAAGAUACAAGAUUGAAGACUUCAUCCCGUGUCCGGGAGGGACUUUCCUUGGCGUGGAAGGCAAGCUUGGCGAUACGGAUAUGUAGAUCUCCUACCAUUGUAACCGACUCUAUGUAACCCUAACCCUAUCCGGUGUCUAUAUAAACCGGAGGGUUUUAGUCCGUAGGACAACGUACACAUCAACAAUAAUCAUACCAUAGGCUAGCUUCUAGGGUUUAGCCUCCUCGAUCUCGUGGUAGAUCUACUCUUGUACUACCCAUAUCAUCAAUAUUAAUCAAGCAGGACGUAGGGUUUUACCUCCAUCGAGAGGGCCCGAACCUUGGUAAAACUUCAUGUCCCCUGCCUCUUGUUACCAUCCGGUCUAGACGCACAGUUCAGGACCCCCUACCUGAGAUCCUCCGGUUUUGACACCGACAGCCCCCUUCUCCUAUCACUGGGCCGACGCUGCAGGAGGCAGGCCCAGUCUUUGGAGGGGGCUUGGGGCGGUUGGCCUCGGGGUCCUCUCCUCCUUCCGCGCCUAGGGGGACCGCCCCACCGUUGGCGCCGGUGAACACUCCUGGCCUAUAGUCCGGGGUGGGCGGGGAGCGGGGGCAGGAGGCCCUUGGUUCCCCAUCAGCUGUCUCAAAGCCCUCUCCUGAUCAUGGAGACCGGUUGAGUGUUCGGGGGGAGACAGGAGGUCAGUCCCCGGGCAACUUCACUCGGGAGGAGGUUAUUCAGUUCGACGGGAUUUCGGACCAGGCGUCUGAGGGCCGACGGUUGAGCUGUCAUCUUCAAGGUCGUCCGAAGGUGGACGACAUGCAGCAGCGGUGCGCCGUGAGGGUGGCCAAGCUUCGUGACGUCUAGGUCACUACUGGUAUGUCAGUGAACACUUCUAAUUCCAUCUUGCAUUUUUCGAACGAUGAGAUUAUUGAUAAUGCAAACCAACUAGGAAUUUCUCUAGGUAGUAACGAUGGUGAAAUUUCUAAUUCCAUCAAUGAUUUGCUAGAUCUAGAAGCUGAGAGGGCUUUAGAUAUGAUUCGAAACUUAGCUGCCAUCAAACCCAUGAAUGAUUCCGAGAUUGAUGCUUUGGGAAUCCGGGUGCUCGCUGAUUUUUGUGCCAAUCUCGUGCCUCCCCUCCCUGAGCCGGAGGAGGAGGAUGAGAGUGUCGAGAUGGAUGCUGUUAGACCCCCUGAAACGGGGAGAGUGGACCGGGCGGACGCGCGGACCAGCCCUAAGCGCAAAUGGAAGCACAAGAUUUACCCAAUGUCGGCAGUGCGUAGGAGUGCUAGGAUCCACACGGCUAAAAAUUCCAUGACGAGAUAUGAGAGGAAUCUUUUGGAAUAGCAGAGGUCUUAAGGACUUGGCUAAAGGAAGGUUUCUUGCAGAUGCAUCCAUCGAACAGCGUCUGGAUUUUAUUGCACUGUCGGAAACUGGUAGAGCGAAUUUCUCGCCAUAAUUUCUUAACACUCUUUCGGGGGGUAUUGAGUUUGACUGGCAUUGUCUGCCACCGAGAGGGAGAUCAGGAGGAAUCUUACUUGGUGUUCGAUGCGAUUCUCUCGAAGUUCGAAGUGUGCUCAUGGGAGAUUUUGCUGUAAAGUUCAGGGUGCGGUCUAAGGUUGACGGUUUUGACUGGGCUCUGGUGGCGGUGUAUGGGGCCGCAUAGGUAGAACUAAAACCGGAUUUCUUGGCCAACCUAGUUAGAGUUUGCGGUUCUGAGCAGCUCCCCAUUCUCGUUGGGGGAGACUUUAACAUUAUUAGGAGACGUGAUGAGAAGAACAAUGAUAAUUUUGAUGGGAGAUGGUCGUUCAUGUUCAACACUAUCAUUGAAAGCUUGGAUUUGAGAGAGAUUGAGCUUUCAGGUAGGAAGUUCACUUGGGCUAACGCCUUGCCAAAUCCAAUGUUUGAAAAGUUGGAUCGGAUACUCGCUAGUGUCAAAUGGGAAUAGAAGUUUCCCUGUGUAACAAUCCAGGCUCUCUCUCGCGGGAUUUCUAAUCACACGCCUCUUUUUCUUGACUCUGGUGGGGCUAACUACUUGGGCAAGAAGAAUUUGUUCUCGUUCGAGCUUGCGUGGUUUGAAAGAGAAGGCUUCCUGGAUCUCGUAGCCAGAGAAUGGGCUAAGGAUGUAGGUGGUAGGAAUGCACUUGAGCGUUGGCAGAAUAAGAUUAGGCAUCUGCGAAGUUUCCUACGUGGAUGGGCUAAACAUCUUAGUGGGAUCUAUAAGGUUGAAAAGGAACGGCUCCUUGCCCUUAUUCAGUCCUUAGAUGUUAAAGCAGAAACCACGGUGUUGCUUGCCACCGAGCUUCAUACCAAGCUUGACGCUGAGAUGAGGCUGAAAGAACUCCUUCGUGAAGAAGAAUUAAAGUGGGCUCUGCGGGCCAAGGUACGAAGAGUGGUCCAGGGGGACGUGAACACUCAAUUCUUCCACAUGAUUGCCAAUGGCAAACAUAGGAAGAAGAGAAUCUUCUAGCUAGAAUAAGAUGAGGGUACGAUUAUAGGUCAGGAAAAUUUGAAGCUUUACAUUACUGAGUAUUACAAACGAUUGUUUGGACCACCAGAGGAGAACUGUGUGUCUCUGGAUGAGUCUAGAGUCGGCGAUAUACCUCAACUUACGGCUGUGGAGAACGAUAUAUUAACCACCCCUUUUUCGGAAAAGGAGGUGUUCGAGGCCGUAGCCCAGAUGAAGAAUAAUAAGGCACCUGGUCCGGAUGGUUUCCCGACUGAGUUUUAUAAGAAGUGCUGGCACAUUAUUAAAGGGGACCUAUUGCCGAUGUUCCAUGAUUUGUUCUCGGGACAUUUGCAGCUUUUCCAGCUAAAUUUUGGAACAAUAACCCUGCUCCCUAAGAAAACAGAGGCCGUGAGAAUCGAGCAAUUUCGGCCUAUCUGUCUUCUGAAUGUCAGUUUCAAGAUUUUAACCAAGGUUGGGACGAUUAGGCUAACACAGAUUGCGCACGCUGUGGUGCAGCCUACUCAAACAGCCUUCAUGCCGGACAGGAACAUCCUGGAAGGGGUUGUGGUCCUUCAUGAAACGCUCCAUGAGAUCCACACGAAAAAACUUGAUGGAGUUAUUUUCAAAGUGGAUUUCGAGAAGGCAUAUGAUAAAGUCAAAUGGCCAUUCCUUCAACAGGCCUUACACAUGAAGGGCUUUGAUGAAGCUUGGCGACGUCAGGUGGAAGCAUUCACGCAAAAAGGGAGUGUUGGUAUUAAAGUGAAUGACGAUAUAGGCCAUUAUUUCCAAACGCAUAAGGGGUUGAGAUAAGGCGAUCCUAUGUCCCCAAUAUUAUUCAAUAUUGUGGUUGACAUGUUGGCGAUCCUGAUAGGGAGGGCAAAAGAAGCCGGUCAGGUGGGUGGCUUGGUGCCUCAUCUGGUCGUUGGUGGUGUGUCCAUCCUGCAGUACGCUGAUGAUACAAUCAUCUUCAUGGAACACGAUUUGGCUAAAGCGAGAAACAUGAAGUUAUUGUUAUGCUUAUUUGAACAAUUGACGGGGCUUAAGAUUAAUUUCCAUAAAAGUGAGCUGUUCUGCUUUGGUAGAGCCAAAGACGAACAAGAGACAUAUAGACAAUUGUUUGGUUGUGAAGUGGGAGCUUUACCUUUUACGUAUCUAGGUAUUCCCAUUCACCAUCGUAAGCUAACAAACAGCGAGUGGAAGUGCAUAGAGGAUCGGUUUGAGAAGAAACUGAGUUGCUGGAAAGGAAAACUCAUGUCUUAUGGAGGCCGGUUGAUUCUUAUUAACUCGGUGCUCACGAGUUUACCUAUGUUCCUAUUAUCUUUAUUUGAGGUCCCAGUUGGGGUUAGGAAAAGACUGGACUUCUAUCGAUCCAGAUUUUUUUGGCAGAGUGAUGAACUUAAGAGAAAAUACCGACUACCAACGCUGAUAUUAUCUGUCGACCAAAGGACCAGGGGGGCCUUGGUAUUGAAAAUUUAGAGGUCAAGAACAGAUGCCUGCUUAGUAAAUGGCUGUAUAAGUUGUCACUUGAGACGGAGGCAACAUGGGCGCAGAUUUUACGUAGUAAAUAUCUGCAGUCCAAGACCCUAUCCUGGGUCACUGUCAGACCAACUAAUUCGCCGUUCUGGAAGGGGAUCAUGAGAGUCAAAGCUACCUUCUUUAACAGAACUAGGUUUAUUAUCGGUACUGGCAACAACACUCGAUUAUGGGAAGAUAUGUGGCUUGGUGACGCGCCUUUGGCGACCCAGUAUCCGUCCCUUUAUCGUAUUGUUCAGCGUCGUGAGGCUCUUGUUGCUACGGUCAUGCAGUCCAUUCCACUUAACAUUCAGUUUAGGAGAGUGCUUGUGGGUGAUUGGUGGGAAGCAUGGCUUCACUUGGUUCAUCGACUGAUGGAGGUUCAGUUAACUCCUCAGCCUGAUCAGUUGUGGUGGAAACUUACUAGAUAUGGGGAGUUCAUAGUUAAAUAGAUGUAUAUCGAUAUUAUUAACUCUAGUGUUAUUCCUAGUUCCAAAGAGGUUUGGAAAGUCAAGGUCCCUUUGAAGAUCAAAGUGUUUAUGUGGUUUGUUCAUAAACAAGUAAUUUUAACAAAGGACAAUCUAGUUAAGCGAAACUGGACAGGCUCUACUAGGUGUAGCUUCUGUGAUCCGGAAGAGACUAUCAAGCACCUCUUCUUUGACUGCCCGUUGGCACGAGGGUUGUGGCGCUUUGUGCAAAUUGCCUUUAACAUUACUCCUCCGACUUCGGUCAACACGUUAUUUGGGACGUGGCUUGCUGGGAUAGAGCCAGAAACAGCUAGACACAUUCGUGUAGGAGUUUGUGCGUUGUUAUGGGCAAUUUGGAAUUGCAGAAAUGAUUUGGCAUUUAACAGAACACCAACUACUCAUUUUUGCAGGUUUUAUUCCGGGCUACUGCGCUGAUCCGUAUGUGGUCCUUACUCACUCCGACGGAGGCCAGGGAGCGUUUGGUUACUGGAUCUGUCCGGUGGGGGAUGGUAGCGCGGGAUAUCUUCAACCGGUUUGGAUGGCGGUCAUGUAAUAGGAUAGGCGAUUAGUUUACCAAUCUGUUAUUCUGCCAGCCGGUUGUGGCUUGUCAGGUUUUCUGUUUUGGCGUUGACGCUCUGUGUGAGCUAGCCGAUCUUUUUUGUUCGCAGACUUAAAGACCUUGUUGAACCUUUUUACUUGCUAAUAAAUGUGGCCGUAUGCAUCGUUCUGAUGCAGAGACCGGGGAGUCCCCCUUUUCGAAAAAAAUAAGAUUUGACUAAAGUCAAGCCUCGUAAAGUUUGACCAACUUUAUAGAAAAAAGUAUCAACAUUCACAAUCUGAAAUCAAUACCAAUAGAUGUGUCAUGACUUAAAGUUUCAUAUUGUAUAACUUUAGCAUGGCAGAUGUUGAUAUUAUUUCAUAUAAAUACGGUCAAACUUUGUGAAGUUUGACUUUAGAGAAUUCUAAUAUGCAGAGUAAAAAGGACUGGAGGGAGUACUGUAUGAUUAAACUGUAGCAGUUUGUAGCAUGAACCAUAUUCCUACAGGAUAUAUUUGAUGUUGUUUGUAGGUGUGCCUUCUGCAGUUACUAUGACCUGGACAUAUGAUAUGCCAUUCUCUUUAUACUCAACAGUGUAUCCAACAGAUGAGAAUGGAUGGUCACCAGACAGUGGGUUAGUGGUAUGUUGAGGCUUGGGAUCCCGUUUAAAAGUUAUAAACAGUGGGUCUUUUGUGCUCUUCAUCUUUGCAAUGGCAUAUGUGUAUUUCUUCUAAGCUUUUCUUAUUGAACCAGUGGUAGAACAUGGAAAAUAAUUGUUUGCAGAAUUAGGUGGUAUCAUUAGAGAAGAUGGGUGUAUGUUGUCAACCAGGGUAAGAAGUGAAAUGAAAUAUAGAUCAAACCAAUUACAGCAGCAGUACCUGCUACUUUGGUUGUCCAUUUGUACUUGUUAUCGACCCGAGAUUGAAAAGAUAAGUGGUAAGCUAAAAAUGUGACAGGAUUAUGUUAUAUAAAUAUGUACUGCUGUAGUAGUAAGCUAUUAUGCUACUUAACAAAUGAGGAUAAAUCCGGGCCCAUAUCAUCAGUCAACUCGGCCGCUACCCUUGCUUCCUCGCUCAAAAAAUCAUGGGCCGGCAUAAAAAAAUGGGCACGUUCACGUAUCCCUAUUCCUCUUCGUGAAUCUCGUUGCAAAUCUGCAAUCGCCGCCUUAGACCACGCUGAAGAAUCAAGGGCUCUCUCCCAGCCAGAACUCCUCACUCGCAAGAUUAUCAUCUCAAUCCUCAAAUGCACAAUCCAAGCAAAAAUGACUUACUGGAGAUGGCGUGCUAAAGUGUCAUGGGCCAUCCACGGCGGGGAAAACACAAAAUUCUUCCACAUGUGUGCCUCCCAACGUUUGAGAAAGAACAAAAUCUUUACACUCACACGCGACGGUAAUGACUUCACUUCUCACCACCACAAAGCCGAGAUUCUAAGGGAUUUCUUUGUUUCCCUCAUCGGUACUCUAGCCAAUACAUCAUAGGCUUUUGAUCUGAACGCUAUAUACCCACAGCCUGUGGCCGGCCUCCACGUCCUUGAUGAGCACUUCUUUGAAGAGAAAAUCAAGCUUGCCUUCUUCCAAAUGAACCCCAAGCCAGCCCUAGGCCAGACGGUUUCGGGCCAUCCUUUUAUAGAACUUACCGGCCCUUUGUCAAACAAGUCGUUCUAUCUUCCUUCUCCCAAUUUCACCAAGGCGUGGCAGAUACAGAACAUUUAAACCAUGCUCACAUCAUCCUCCUUCCAAAGAAGGAUACGCCAACCUCACCCGACACCUUCAGACCAAUCUCUCUACAGAACUGCCCAAUCAAAGUUGUUGCUAAAGUCCUCACCUCUCGUCUCAACCGGUCAUACCUAUGCUGGUUCAUGGUAAUCAGACUGGGUUCAUCUCCGGUAGGAAUAUUGCUAAGAACUACAUUUUUGCAGCUGACCUCAUUAGCUCUUGUCACACUCGCAAACGACCAACCAUGGUUUUUAAGCUAGACUUCCGAAAAGCCUUCGACUCCAUGGCUUAGCCUGCCCUUGACAGGAUUCUAUCUGUUUGUGGUUUCUCCCAAACCUUCCGCAACUGGAUCCAAAACAUUCUUCACACGGGCGAAGCUGCCAUCCUCCUGAAUGGUGUCCCAAGCAACUGGAUACAAUGCAAGAAUGGCUUGCGGCAAGGUGACCCGGCCUCCCCCUACCUUUUUCUCAUCGUCGAUGAGCUGCUCUAAUAGCUCAUCUUCCAGAACUCAGAGCAUGCCCUCCACCACCCCAUCGUCUCCCACCUACCUCCCAUCGUUCUCCAAUACGCCGAUGAUAUGCUCAUCAUUGCAGCCGCCUCUCCUGUCGCCACCGCAACCCUCAAAGUAACCCUAAACAACUUCGCACAGGCUACGGGCCUCACCAUCAACUUCUCAAAAAACCACUCUAGCCACUCUUCAUACAGAUGAUACCAUGCCCAAUGCCACUGCCCUUGCCAUGGGCUGCUCCUGUGCACCCUUCCCUCAAACGUACCUCGGCCUACCCCUGGCCCCAACUAAACCUCCUUCCAAUGCCUUCACGUCGUUGAUAGAACGAUCUUGCAAAUUAUUGACAGGCUCGCGUGCUAAAUUGCUUGACAAAGGUGAUAGCCUCAUUCUCAUCUCUGCGGUCCUAGACUCCCUCCUUACCUACUUCAUGACGGUGUUUCGCAUUCCAAAAAAACCCUCAAAACCAUCGACUCCCUAAGAAAGGCCUUCUUUUGGGCGGGGGACGAUGCUUGCUCAGGAGCUCAAUGCCUCAUUGCAUGGAAAAAUGUUUGCUUACCUAAAAAAUUUGGUGGUUUAGGGCUAAAAAACCUGCAUGUCCAAAACAAUUGUUUACUCAUGAAAUUUGUAGCCAAAGCCGUCUCUUCUGCACGGGCACCUUGGCUAGAAUGGCUAGACCUUCAACACCCAAACGCUCUAGUCUCCUCGUCCCCUCAAACCUAUUUUCUUUGCCGCACAAUUUCUCAGCAAAUCCCCACCCUCGAGACAAUUUCCUUUGUUCUAACAAACAAUGUCUCUCAUACGUAUUUCUGGCUUGGCACCUGGUUGACCACAAAACCUCUAGCCACCACCUUCCCCCACCUCUUCUCACACUCCAACCUAGAGCUGGUUAACAUGGCUAGUAUCUUGCGUUUCGGUAUCGAAGCUGACCUCCGUAAUCGUCUUUCUCUUAUGGCAGAACAAGAGCUUGUUUCGCUUUUGUCUAUUUUGCAGGACUUCGUGCCUUCGGCGGAGGAAGAUCAAAGGUUCCUACAUCGAGGUCAUGACUUCUCCACCAAGCAUGCGUACGAUGCCCUCAUGGCUAGGCCAGACAAUGAUCCCAUUGCCCCUCUCAUCUAGGGCACCAAGGCACCUCGCAAGCUAAAUUUUUUUGCUUGGCUACUCUUCAAGGACCGCCUCAACACUAGGGUUAACCUUGCCCACAAGCAUAUCAUCUCCUCAGGCAUAUGCCCCCGGUGUGCUAGGUUACCCAAAGACUCCAUGCACCUCUUCGUCACAUGCCCGCUUGCCAACAGGAUAUGGCAACGAAUCGGUGUCCUGCCACAGACCGACGACAUCGCAGAGCUUUGGGAUACUCCUUGGCCUCAUCACCCCCCACAAAAAACAUGGUCCUUGGUCCUCAUAUCACUACUACGGAAGAUAUGGAUGGCACAUAAUGAUAUGUUGUUUAGGAGUGUUGAUCAAUGUUCUGUAAUAACCCUCAGUGGCCUUAUUGUUGAUUUGGAUCUUUGGUCACACUGUCUCAUGGAGACAUGUGACAAGGAGGACGUCUUCUGGUGGCGUUCGUACCUCUCUGCACGCUGCAUCGUGCCUAUGUAAUUCUAUACUUACUCCUUUGGCAACCUUUGAGUAAUAUAUUCAGGUGGNNNNNNNNNNNNNNNNNNNNNNNNNNNNNNNNNNNNNNNNNNNNNNNNNNNNNNNNNNNNNNNNNNNNNNNNNNNNNNNNNNNNNNNNNNNNNNNNNNNNNNNNNNNNNNNNNNNNNNNNNNNNNNNNNNNNNNNNNNNNNNNNNNNNNNNNNNNNNNNNNNNNNNNNNNNNNNNNNNNNNNNNNNNNNNNNNNNNNNNNNNNNNNNNNNNNNNNNNNNNNNNNNNNNNNNAACAAAUGAGGCUAAAUAAAAUGCACUCUUACUGAUUACCAAACAAAGCUAAAUAAAGCGCACACUUACUUUGUUGUUGGCCACUACAAAUUAAAUUAUAAAUGUGUGUGUAGUAGUCGUAAGGUAUUCUGCUACUUACCAAAUGAGGCCAAAUAAAAUGCACUCUUGCUGCUUACCAAACAAAGGUAAAUAAAGCACACACUUACUUGGUUCUAGCUGCUACAAAUUAAACAGAUGGUGUACCUCCACGAUUUUCUAUACGAUAGAGAGGAACAGUUUAAUACAUCGACAAAACAGAAAAUAGUGUUAAUGCCAGAAUAAUUAAGAAAGAUUUUCAAAUAUACGGUAGUACUAAAAUUUCACAACCUCCUUGCGUCGCUCCAAGUAUGUGUUUUCAGUACACCAAACUACUCACAAAAUAGGAAGUAGGAGAAGUUUUAAUACACCAGAGUCUACAUUUUCUUGAUGGAACCAAAUUAAGGGGACUGAUUAUGUUGAAUAAUUAUUUUAUUUUCCCAUCCUAGCCACCUGGGCAUCAGGCAUCAGGCAGUGUAACACAUGUUUAUGCUUUAGUACUAAUAUUAUUAUCAUAUGUCACUGGAACCCUUCUAAAGGUGACUGUAUACGUCUUGCAAAAUGUAAAUAAGUUCCAUGAGCCAAGCAAUUUAAGCCCAAGUUUUCUCCUAGCUAUAUCGGUGGUUGUGUAUCUUUUCCCUCUUUUACACAUCUAUUUUUAUGAGUUCACUUAUCUAACGUUUAUAAUAAACUAUUAUACCAUAUGGAUAAUUCAUACUAUUAGAGACAAAGCUUGAAGCAACAACACAUGUAGACCUGUCAAGUGUAUUAUUUCCAAUAGAUACAAUAUUCUAGGCUAGCAAAACGUAUACAUGUCUAUUUGUUGCAUGUAAUUAUAUUUGAUAUAUUGAUAUGGAUAAUAAUUCCUCUCUGUCUCCAAAUUAUCGAUGUAGUUCCUAAUGUUCGUCAGACAUGAAAAAAAGCUGCUAGUCUGCAACUUAAAUAAACUGCAUCAUUUAUUUGUUGUCGAGUAUGUGACAUGGCUCAACUGAUAGAUAAAUAUACAGGGAAAAUCAACUAACUGACACAAUUUGAGGGCAUAUUUGAACAUGGAAAAUUGAAGAGCAAAAUUUCGUUAUGUUUCUGUAUAGCAGCCAGAUUGCAUCAAGCUUUCAUCAGCCAAGACAUGAAAUUUCCAAGAUAAAUGGGGGAGAUGACAAACUGGUGUAGGAGGAUGUACUGCAGCUGGAAUAUUUUUGGCUCGAUCAGUCAAUGGGUUAUGGUUGCAACAGUAGCCAAGCGAGGGAUGAGCACAGAUAGGUUCUGUACUCUGUUCUCAUGAAAAAAGUUCAAUGAACAGAGUACAGAACCUAUCGUGCUCAAAAAGUCUCUACCCUUACCGCAAUCCCAUGACGAACAUACAGGAGCAAAUAAAAAAUCAAUCACUCAUCACGGAAUCAAUGAUCCAACCAAUGAUCUAUGGUUGAUGAAUUUUGUCGGAGUAAUGGGCCACUAGUAGGCCGACCCGAGGCCCAGAACCUUUCAAGACAUCGGGGCAGGCUGCGCCCCUCAAGACCCCAGGACGAAGAGCCGCCUUCAAGAAGUCGACGGCAAGAUGGCCGACUGGCCACUCACGGCCGAGUCCCAGGGACGACUUGAGGGAAAGCUGACUCCUGACUGGCGACUUCGAGAGAAGCCGGCUUUUGGGAAUCAGCCUGCGACUCCAACAAACCCCAUGACCUCAUCAAGUGGGACAUGGCAGGGGAGUGGCUACAGUGAAGCCCACUCCCGCCCCUUACCAAGGGCAGGCAUGGCCACAGCACGCCGUACCCCGGAAGAUCUCCGUGCGGCGUGGCCCUGUUGCCAUGCCGGCUCUGACAUCAGCACCGCAUGACCGAAUCCUGCACCCACGACGGCUUGUCUGUACGGCCUAGAGGCUGCGGGUCCCACUAGUCAGUGAGACCCCAGGAGACGGCAAGAGGACCACGCACCAUUAAUCAAGAUGUGAUGGAGAGUGGCAAUAGUGAUCGCCCGCCAGGCAGCGGGGCUGUUGCCACGACCCCAUGAUCAAGCCCGCGUCAUCAGAAGCACGGCUACAGUAAUCAGCAGUCGGCAAGACCCGCCCGUGGUGGACGCGGCCUGUCGGCUCCGUACUAGGCCAGUCGGCAGGGCCCACCAGUCGGCGGGCCCCAGCGGUCGGCAGGAAAGACGGAGGCCAGAGGCGCUGACGGCUGGGCCCGUGUCCAGCCGGAUUACCAUUAUACCCCUGGGGGUAGGCCUAUAUAAACCCCCCAGGGCACCCAUGCAAGGGGUUGGAACCCAUUAGCUCUAGGCCAGAUCAUAUAAGAGGGAGAGAGCUAGCCUUGCCCUCUCCUACCUCCAGGAAACAGCUCAAGGAGCAACCGUAUAAACACUUUGCCAUAGUGAUCAUGCGGAGACCCCGCAGAGCAGCAGUAGGGGUAUUAUCUCCUCGGAGAGCCCUGAAGCUGGGUAAGAUUCGCCGGCGUGCAUGUCUUUGCCUCAUCCCGUUUCCAGGCACCGGCGACGUUCUACUCGCCCCCACCAUGAUAAGCCAUCCUUUGGCAUAUGUCGCACCUAACCCCCAACAUUUGGCACCCACCGUGGGGCAUGGUGCACCGCCGUCCGGAGACCUGUUCUGGACGGGAACCCUUUUCCUCCCUGGCGAGCGCAGCCAGCCAGGCACGCCAGACGGGUUUUGCGUCGACGUGCUGCGUGGCGUUGAGAUCGCCUGCGCAGCCAGCUGCCUGGCCGAACUUGUCGGCGAGGUUCGCCUCUCCGACGAACCUGCAUCCAACGCAGGCACGGGCGGUUCUGAGAGCCUCCUCGAUCAACUCCAUGUUUCCGGCGAGCCAGCCGUAGACUUGGAGUCUGCAGGCUCCACCGACCCGAUGCUGGUCGACUCCGACACCGCGUCGCUCGACGCGUUCCCCACUAAUGUGGUGGUCUACGACGAACCUCUCCCUCACGCGGAGAGCGACGGAAGCACCGUCACCGAGGUGCUCGUCAUCAGUCAUGAUGAGCUCCCCGGCGGAGGAGCGCACGACUCACUCGGCGCGGCGCUACAAGACCUAACUGCGCCCAUUCCGGAAGACGCUGACGCAGAGACGUUGGAGGUGCUCCGCCUUCAGCUCGUUGAAGGCGCGAAGAAGCUGGCCAGCAUGAGACGCUUGUCAGAAGCCUACCGGCGAGAGAUGGAUCGCGCCGUCGGCGGCUCGCCGGCCCCGGCGGGGCCCAGCCGCCUUGGCGCGGUCCAGUAGCCCGGCGUAGCCAUCACCAACCUGUUUAGGGCAAGCCGCCCUGUGUACGCUACACCAGCGGAGAACAUCCGAGCCGCCCAGGCAGCGGCGGACGAGCUGGACAAUUUCGAGGGCGAAGAACGCCGCCUCAUGAUGGAGCGAGUCCAGCGGCUCCUCGACGUGGUUGCCACGCAGAACAAGGCCGGCUGCCGCACGGAGGAGCCACAGCGGCAAAACGACGACCUUCGCCGAGAUCAAGGCACGAUGUCUCGGACGCCGACUGGCGGCGCCCGAGGAAGAAGAGACAAGGAUCCGGCUGUCAGCCACAGUCGGACUCGCAUUACCAUAGAGCGCGACCGAGACGGCCGCCCGAGAGCAGUGGAACGACGGGACGACUGUCCGCCUCCUCCUCCUCGCAAGGAGAGGCGAGUCUCCCCACCGUCUGUUGACCAUCCGAUUCUCGGCGACCGCCUUGGCCGCCGAGAGGGAGUUGGAGAGAAUGACGCCCGCCAUCGGAUCGACUGACUUCACCGAUCCCUAGCGCUGGAAGAAGAAGACGAACUGGGUCCGCCUUGUUUCGAGCCCCGCAUUCGAGACGAGCCCUUUCCCAGAGGGUUCACGCUCCCAAGAGACACACUCAAGUAUAACAGCUCCAUGAAGCCAGAAGACUGGCUAGUCAACUACUCCAUGGCUGUCAGCAUAGCAAACGGCAACAAGCGUGUUGCCGUAAAGUACGUUCCGCUCAUGCUCCAGGGCACGGCCCAGACAUGGCUAAAUAGCCUGAAGCCCCGCAGCAUCAACAGCUGGGUGGACUUCACCGAAGCAUUCGUCCACAACUUCACCAGCACGUACAAGCGUCCUCCCAAACCUCGUCAGCUCUCCUUGUGCGUGCAAGGCCCCGACGAGUCGACUCGUGAUUACCUCACGCGUUGGGCUGAGCUUCGGAACUCCUGCGAGGGCGUGCACGAGGUGCAGGCCAUCGAGUACUUCACAGCCGGGUGCAGAGAAGGCACCCUCCUCAAGCACAAGCUCCUCUGCGACGAGCCAGAAACCCUCGACGAGCUGCUGAUCAUAGCAGACAAGUACGCCACGGCCAACUCCUCCAUGAAGGCGGAGAUUCAAAUCAGCACAACUAGCAAAGUGGCCCCUCAAGCUCCAAGAACUCCGGCGGGAGACGCCAACCGGCGACAACAGCAAGGCAACCACAAGCGCAAGGCCCCGAGCCGGCUUCCAGCAGCCGGCAGGUCAUGACCGUUGAAGCCCAGCAGCCGGAUGGGCAGCCUCCACCCAAGCGACAGAAAGGCGGCAAGCCAAACUGGUUACCGACCUUCUCCUACGAACAGACCCUGGAUGGACCUUGCAAGUUCCAUAGCGGUGCGAAGCCGUCGAAUCACACCACCCGGAAGUGUCACUGGCUCGCCAGAAUCGCCAAGGGAGACGGCCUCCUGCCACCCCCGCCUGCUGGGCAGCCGCCUCUGCCUCCGCCCCAGCAGCUGGCUGUCAGGCCAGUCGGCGCAGUACAAGACGAAUACCAUGAAGAACAUGGAGCCUACAUGGUGUUUACCAGUAUGGAUGAUGAUCGACGCAGCAGGCGGCUGCAGCGACAAGAGGUGAAUGCGGUAGCAUCAGAGACGCCAGAGUUCACGCACUGGUCCGAGAAGCCCAUCAGCUGGAGCAGGGCUGACCACCCAGAGGUGAUGCCAAGUCCGGGCUCCUAUGCCUUGGUCUUGGACGCCACCUUUGCUACGGAUAGACGAGCCGCGCGUUUCUCGCAUGUUCUGAUAGACGGAGGCAGCAGCAUCAAUAUCCUGUACAAGGACACCAUGGAGAAGUUAGGAAUCAAGCAAAGACAGCUUCAGAACAGCCGGACUGUGUUCCACGGCAUUGUUCCUAGGCUUUCCUGCUCACCAAUCGGCAAGAUCCUGAUGGACGUCCUCUUUGGAGACAAAGAUCACUUCCGCCAAGAGUCUGUUUGGUUUGAGGUGGUGGACCUCGAGAGCCCAUACCAUGCGCUACUCGGCCGACCCGCCUUGGCCAAGUUCAUGGCGGUCCCCCACUACGCCUACCUCAAGAUGAAGAUGCCCAGUUCCAGGGGAAUCCUGACUGUGGCCGGCGACUACCGGAAGUCGUCUACCUGCGCGACUGAGAGCAGUCGGCUGGCCGAGUCCCUGGUAAUCGCGGCCGAGAAGCGGCUCCUUGAGCGAGUCGUGGCGAUGGCCGGCAAGUAGCCAGAGGUAUCGCCCAACCCGAAGGAGUCGGAGGCUGAAGGUUCGUUCAAACCGGCCAAAGAGACAAAGAAGAUACCCUUGGAUCCGGAGCACCCAGAGAGGUACGCUGUCAUAGGUACAAACCUCGACAGCAAAUAGGAAGGCGAGCUUGUCGAUUUUCUUCAUGAGAAUCGGGACAUCUUCGCAUGGUCCCCCAGAGACAUGCCAGGUGUACCGACGGAAUUCGCCGAGCACAAGUUACAUGUCCGAUCUGAUGCAAAGCCGGUCAGGCAGCCCCUGCGCCGCCUAUCAGAAGAGAAGAGAAGAGUUGUCGGAGAAGAGAUAGACCGACUCCUAGCAGCCGGCUUCAUUAUGGAAGUGUUCUUUCCAGAAUGGCUAGCAAAUCCGGUCCUGGUACUGAAGAAGAACAAGCAGUGGCGAAUGUGUAUUGACUACACGAGCCUCAACAAGGCCUGCCCCAAGGACCCAUUUGCUCUACCAAGAAUCGAUCAGGUGAUAGACUCCAUAGCCGGAUGCGAGCUGUUGAGUUUUUUGGAUGCAUACUCAGGAUAUCACCAGAUCAAGCUGAACCCGGCUGACAGACUGAAGACCGCCUUCAUCAUGCCGUUUGGAGCCUUCUGCUACCUCACCAUGACGUUCGGCUUAAGGAAUGCCGGCACCACGUUUCAGCGUUGCAUGCAGAAGUGCCUUCUCAAGCAGCUCGGCAGGAACGCCCACGUCUACAUGGACGAUGUAGUGGUAAAGACGGAAAAGCAUGGAACACUGCUGGAAGACCUCAAGGAGACCUUUGAGAACUUGCGCCGAUUCCAAAUCAAGCUCAAUCCCGAGAAGUGUGUCUUCAGAGUACCAGCCAGCCAGCUCCUUGGAUUCCUGGUCUCUGAACGCGGCAUAGAAUGCAACCCUGUAAAGAUCAAGGCCAUUGAGAGAAUGGAGGUACCCAGCCGACUCCUGGAUGUGCAAAAGUUCACCGGCUGCUUGGCGUCCAUCAGCCGAUUCAUCAGUGGGCUGGGCGAGAAAGCUCUCCCCUUAUACCAACUCAUGAAGAAUACCACUUUUUUCGAGUGGAACCAUAAGGCGGACGAAGCUUUUCUCCAGUUGAAGAAGAUGCUAACUACUCCACCCGUCCUGGCGGCUCCGACUCCCAAGGAACCUAUGCUCCUGUACAUUGCCGCCACCAGCUGGGUAGUCAGCACGGUCAUUGUAGUGGAACGCAAGGAGGACGGCAAGGCACUACCUAUCCAGAGACCGGUAUAUUACCUAAGCGAAGUACUGUCGACCUCCAAGCAGGACUACCCCCACUACCAGAAGAUGUGCUAUGGCAUACACUUUACUGCCAAGAAAUUGAAGCCUUACUUUCAAGAGCAGACAAUCACGGUGGUCUGCACAGCCCCGCUUGCCGAGAUCAUUGGUAGCCGAGAUGCUUCUGGCCGAGUGGCCAAGUGGGCCAUAGAGCUGGCUCCCUACACAAUCCACUACCAGCCCCGCACCGCUAUAAAGUCACAAGCACUGGCCGACUUCCUCGUCGACUGGGCCGAGACCCAGUACCUACCUCCAGCGCCUGAUUCCACCCAUUGGCGGAUGCAUUUCGACGGCUCCAAGAUGUGCACUGGCUUGGGAGCCGGCAUCGUCCUCACCUCUCCUAAAGGCGACAAGCUCAAAUACGCACUGCAAAUCCAUUUUGCCGCCUCCAAAAACGUCGCCGAGUACAAGGCGCUCAUGCAUGGGCUUCGGCCUGCCAAAGAACUUGGCAUCCCCCGGAUCUUGUGUUAUGGCGACUCGGACUUAGUGGUCCAGCAGUCAUCUGGCGACUGGGACGCGAAAUAUGCAAACAUGGCGAGUUGUCGUUUCCUCGUGCAGCAACUCAGCGGGUAUUUCGAAGGGUGCGAGUUCCUCCAUGUGCCAAGAAACGACAACGACCAAGCAGAUGCCUUGGCACGAAUCGGCUCUACCCGCCAAGCAAUACCAUCCGGCGUCGCCCUUCAACGCCUCCUCAAGCCGUUUGUCAAGCCUUCACCAGAAUCAGACUCCAUUUUUGUGCCGGCUCCUCCCGAGGACAUCGGAUCCGACUCCAGAGGUUCGGCAGACGGUACGGGGAUUUUGGCAGAUGGCUCCAAAGCCGCCACAGUCGAACCCGGCCCGGAGACUGCGGCAGCGGACUCGAAGACUCCAGAACUCGACCCAAGGGCCGCGCCAGUCGGCCUGGGGACUUCAUUAACCCAACAAGCGGUUGUUGACUCCGACCCGCCGCCUCCCAGCCCAACCGCCCUCGUCCAAGUCGCAGUUCUGGCAGUCGAAGAAAUAGCAGCACCCUCAUGGGCCCAGCCCAUCCUCAAAUUCCUGGUGAGCAAAGAGCUGCCGACUGAUGAGACCUCAGCUCGGCAAAUACAACGCCGAGCGGCAGCCUACACCAUAAUCAACAGAGAGCUGGUCAGGCGCAGCGUCACUGGUGUCCACCAGCGCUGCGUAGAGCCAGAGCAAGGCCAAGCAAUUCUCAAAGACAUCCAUCAAGGCGAGUGCGGCCACCAUGCGGCUUCAAGAGCACUCGUCGCCAAAGCCUUUCGACACGGUUUCUUCUGGUUGACUGCCCUAGAGGAGGCCAAGGAGUUGGUCCAAAAAUGCAAAGGGUGCCAGAAGUUCAGCUCCAAGCCGCACCAGCCGACUUCUACACUCAAGACCAUCCCCAUUGCCUGGCCUUUCGCAGUUUGGGGUCUAGACAUGGUGGGACCAUUCAAGACAGCACGAGGUGGCUUAACUCACUUACUUGUCGCAGUGGACAAGUUCACCAAGUGGAUAGAUGCGAAGCCAAUCAAGAAGCUGAACGGUCCGACUGUCGUGACUUUCAUCUCCGAUAUCGCAAUUCGGUACGGCAUACCACACAGCAUCAUCACCGACAACGGCACAAAUUUUGCCAAAGGCGCCUUGGCCCGUUUUUGCGCAACACAGGGCAUCCGACUGGACCUAGCGUCCGUCGCCCAUCCGCAGUCAAACGGCUAGGUGGAGCGAGCAAACGGCCUCAUCCUGUCCGGCAUCAAAUCCCGGCUGAUCGAGCCUCUGGAGCGCUCGGCUGGCUGCUGGCUCGACGAGCUACCAGCCGUCCUCUAGAGUCUGCGCACGACUCCAAACAAGUCAAUCGGCUUCACGCCUUUCUUCCUCGUCUACGGUGCCGAAGCCGUCAUCCCAACGGACAUAGAGUUCGACUCCCCACGAGUCACCAUGUACACCGAGGAGGAAGCAGAAGAAGCACGACAAGACGGCGUCGAUCUGCUGGAAGAGGGCCGGCUGUUGGCACUCAGCCGGUCCAGCAUCUACCAGUAGAGCCUGCACCGAUACCACAACAGGAAGGUCAAGCCAAGAUCUUUCCAAGAAGGCGACCUUGUGCUCCGCCUGAUCCAGCGAACAGCCGGCCAGCACAAGCUGUCGGCGCCUUGGGAAGGCCCUUUCAUCAUCAGCAAAGUACUGGGCAACGACUCCUACUACCUGAUUGAUGCUCAGAAGCCCCGAGCACGCAAGAGGGACGACUCCGGCAAGGAGACAGAGCGGCCAUGGAAUGCAAAUCUCCUCCGAAGAUUUUACAGUUGAUGCAGUAUGUACCACGCUACCUUUUGUAUUAAAGCACCAAGACUUCGGGCCCCCCGAGACGAGCUCGGGGACUGCCCUCUUUUGUCUAUAUGAUAAAAAUUAUGCCUACAAGUAUGUUACUCUUUGUUAUGCCGCUUGGCACUGGGCUCGACAAGUCGGCCCAGGGACUUGCCGCCUUGCACUGUGAAAAUGCUUCCUGCAGCCGGACAAGUAGUGUGUAAUACCUAAACCGUCUCAUGUCAGAAGCCGCAGCUCACAGAAGCGACUGUACGGUGGGCAGAAGUAAGGUAGAAUGGGCGUUCGCAUGAAAAAUGGCUAAGGACUCAAAGCAUAAAACAUAGCUCAAGAUGGCUUCUAGCCUUUUUUCACAAACCGACUCUUGAAUAGUCAGAUUGUCGCCUUCUAUUCAACUUGCUCAAAAACUCUCAAAAACGGCUAAGUACUUGCCUUCCCAAAGUAGCCAAGCAUUUGAUCCAGCGGCAGUCCGCAGAGCGGCUGUCCGAUUGGCAAGGCAGGCAACUAAGAGAAAGCGGCAAAGGAAAAAAGCCAAAAGAGCAAUGAGCAAGAAAAGAUAGAACUUGGAUAAAUAUAUUUACAUAACGUAGGCUCUUGGCCGAAUCUUCGAGCAGAAGUUCAAAAUACACCCCGUGGGUGGAAUUGUGCGAAUUAACAAGUUCUUCAAAGACUACUGAAGCAGAUAAAAUAAAGGUAAAGCGACAGCUUAGGAAGCAGCGGACGGAUUCGGAGGGUCGGAGGAGGCGGCAGUGUCAGGCGUCGGGGCGGCCGGCUGGGUAGUCUCGGCUUGAUCGCCUCCGGUGGCAGUCGGGUUGAUCGCACGCGGCUCAUUGCUGGAGGCGCGGUCGAGCCGAGGCUGGCCGUCUGCUCCGUCUUCUGGUGCCUCUGUCUCGCCUCCGUCCUCCGCCUCGCCUUUCUCCUCGACGCUAGAGCCAAUCACCUUCGCCGAGUCCUCGCCGUAGUCUGGGUUCAUCCCAAACCACUCCGGCGAUACCUCCUCGCCGUCUUCAGACCGCUCGGGGACGAAGAUGCUGGUGUCGGUGUACUCGGCGAUCGCCGCAGCACGCUUGACGAGGGUGUCUUUCACAGCUGCCAGCUCCGGCUGGGCCUCCGACCGAAGCGUGGCCAGCCGGUCUAGAUUCAGCCCUGGAUACCACGCCUUGACAAACUUCAAGGCCCGGCGCGCUCCAGCUUGGGCCGAAGAACCCUUCCAGGCCUCAAGACGACCAGCCGCGACCUCUAGCCAGUUGGCCGUCAGGCUGGGGGUGCGUGGAGCCUGCAUGUCCGGCCACAGGGCAGCAAUCGCCUGGGUACAGACACGCUGAAGCCGGCGCAGCAUCCGGUGAGUCGGCCGAAGGCGAGCCUCGAUGCUCAGGAUGUUCUCGUCAAGGGUUCGGGGGGCGUCAACAGCGAUCUCUGCGCCCUCCGCCCUCCGACCUUCACGGUCAGCCUCAAUGGCCUGGAUGGCGGCCUGCGAGUGCCCAGGAAAGAAGUCUGCCAAGACGGAAGAAACGAAGAAGCAAGUCAAAAACCAGGAGUCGGCACGACUUAUAAUCGGCAGCUCAAAGAAAGAAAGUAAAGAAACUCACCAUCAACGAUGUCUUCAAUCUCAUGGAAGCCGGAGGCCAGCAUCGCCUCCUUGUCAGACCAGGAGGAGCGCUCGCUCGCGAACUCGGCCAGGAGGGCGGUUUCCGUCUCUUCCGCCUCCCUCUGCGUCUUCGCAAGCAGCUCCUUCUGCUCUGCCAACUGAGUGGCCAGCAGAUCGCGCUCCGUGGCGAGCUUGCUGCACUCCUCCCCUUUGGCGCGCAAUGCGGAGUUGGCUUCGCUCAGCUACUAUUGAAGAGCAGCGUUGGCUCCUGAAAAGAAGGAAGAAAGAAGGCGUUAAGUCAUCAAUAAAGAAGAUCGUCAGGGAGAUCCGGCCCGACUGCUCAGCAGUCGGCCCGAAUCUCGGGGACUACAGCCCGCAGGUGCGCCAGCGAGCCCCCGCAAAGAAGAAAAAGGACUUACUCCGGCUCUCCGACAAAUUGGCGGUCCGCUUGCCCAGUUCUUCAACGUUACGGUUGAAGGCAGUGACGCAGAGGUUGUGGUAAUACUGCGUCAAGCGUUUCAGACAAAAAGUUAAUACCCAGAGUUCAUCAGUUGGAGUUCCGGGCCGCCUGCUCAGCAGCCAGCCCGAAACUCGGGGACUACACCCAAUGGGUGCGCUGGCGCGCCCCCACAGAGAGGAACAAGGAAACAAGGACCAAAGGAAAAAACAUACCCGGACGACUGCCCGCGACGCCAGGUACGCCUUGGUGCAAUUAUGGAGAGCGUCGCCCUCAGCACGAAGCUUCGCCUGGACGUCCAGAAGCGCCUGGUUCAGCGUCCGUGUGCCGCCUCCUCGCACCCACCCAAUGGGUGCGGCGCUCGUCGCUUUGGCGUCUGCGAUCGCCGAGCUGGCGGUGCCGGCCUCCAGGGGGUGGGGUGCCGAAUUCGCCUUCUCCAGACGGCGGCGCGUCGGCGAGCCGACUUGGAGGAGUAACCUCACCACGGCCUUGUCUUCGGUCGCGGCACCAGAGGGUCUGCUGGCUGCUUGUCUUGCGCACUCUCAGAUGGCGGCGGAGGCGGCGGCGGAACGAUCACGUCCUGCGUAGAGGGGUCGCCACCUUCCCUUUCCACGACGGGGUUCUCGCCGCCGGCUUCCCCAGUCUACCCCGUGAACUCCGGAGGCGGCGGCGCAGAGUUUAGCGGGGUGAUGAACACCGCCGAUUGGCAGCGUGCGGCCUCCUCAGCCUGCCGCUUCGUCGCGGCGGCGGCUUCGGCCUCCGCUAGUUUUUUCUUGGCGGAGGCCUCUGCCCUAUCGGCCUCCGCCUUCUCCAGGCAAACAGCCUCUUCUUCGUUGCGCUUCUCUUGCGCAUUCCGCUCUGUCGCCUCCCGGAGGUCAGCAGCGGGGUCAAUCCGCCGAGUGGUGGAAGACGUCUCCGCUGACCCCAUGACGGAGGCGGCGGUGACCCUCUCAAGAGUGAGGGGAGCCCUGAAGCAAGGGAAGCAAGCAAAAGACUCAGGAAAAGACACAAAGAAAGAAUAAAUCAUUGAGACAGAAUACUCAUGCGGAGACCAAUGGCGGCUUCUUCACUUCCUUACGGAAGCGGAUGGCCUUCGCAGCCGCCUCGUCCCGCCGAGUCACCGCAGCCGAACCCUUGGGUUUCUUCGGCCGACUGCCGAACAAGGUCGGCACGGCCCUGCGCUUCUUCCCGCCGCCUGGAGCACCCGGUGCGGCAGAAGAGCCCGUGCCAGGAUGGCUGGCUCCUGGCCGAUGGCGGGGGGCGACUUCUCCCUCGGCGUCGUCGUCAAGCCAGUCGGCGAAAGUGGCCGAAGGCCUGAAGUCGCCUGCUGCUACUCCUCCUCCCUCGGCGUCGUCCUCCAGAGCCGCCGCCCCCAGAUCGGGGUUGUCAACGUCGCUCUCCGCCCGGUCGGCGAGGAACUCGCGGGCCGGCCCCGAGGUGCCAGCUGGCGGGUGGAGGAGGGGAUUCUGACCAAAGCCAACUGGCCAAAACAAACUCGGCGAGAAAGAAGACAAUCCAAAGAAAGAAAGGAAAGGCAACUCACCACGGGCGAGGGGUUGGCGCCGGAGUACGGCUCCUUGCCGAACUGCCAAUCCUCCAGGAGCUUGCUGUCCGAGAGGUAGUUCACCAUGAAGGCCACCUCCUCGUGAGGCAUGUCCUUGGUGCACAUCCGACUCGGGUCGCGGUGCCCGCUCAUUUGGCAUAUCAUAUGGGGGCGGCCUUGGAGCGCGAGAACUCGGCGCACCAUGAAGGCGGCCAGCAGGUCUGGACCAGUCAAGCCCUCCGACUGCAUUACCACUCGGAGUCGCGCGAUGGCGCCGGCUCCCACAGGCAUCAGCGACUUGGCCCGGUACGACCAGUUGGGCAGUCUCCCAGCCGGCGGGACGGCUUCGAAAGCCGGCAGGUUGACCCAGUCGCCCCUCGCGGAGACGCUCCUAACAUAGAAGUACAAUCUCUGCCACAUCUUCAACGACUUUAUCAGCGAGAUGGAGGGGAAGGGGUUGUCGGCCCCCGACCUUCGCACGGCGAUGAAAGCGCCGCAUUGAGCCGGCACGCCUGCAGCCUGGAUGCCGAGCUUGGAGAAGAAGAACUCCCCCCAGAGCUCGAGGGUGGGGAGGACUCCGAGGAAGCCUUCGCACAGGGCCACGAAGGCGGACACCAGCACCAUCGUGUUGGGCGUGAGGUGGUGCGGCUGGAGGCCGUAGAACUCCAGGAAGGAGCGGAAGAAGCCGCUCGCCGGCAGCCCCAACCCGCGCAGGUAGUGCGAGUGGAAGAUGACCCGCUCGCCCUCCUGCGGCACAGGGGAAAUCUCCCCCCUCGGCGCAAGACGCACCCGCACGUGAUCCUCGCCGGGGAGCCGAUGAGUCCUGCGGAGGAACUCGAUGUGGUCGUCGUGAACUUCGGAGCCGUCCCCGGUGCCGGAGCGCACCGGGGAAGGCGCGGCGACAAAGGAAGAGCUCAUCGCGAGCUAAUCGCCGCGGCGUUAGUCGAAGCUUGGGCACGCGGUGGCAUGAAGAAGAAGAAGGAGGAGAGCGAGGAGCAGUGAGAAGGAGGAGAGCGAUCAGCAGUGAGAAGGAGGAGAGCGAGGAGUGGUAGGAAGGAGGGGUGCGCAUGCACCCCUCUUUCCCCUACUUAUAGCCUCGUGGGCUGCGAAGCCGAGGGGGCAGUCGUGGGAUUUACUGCGCCCACGGCCCCACGACCCCCACGUUCCACGACAAAGUUACUGCGCGCAGUAACUCCACGGGAAUCCCAACCGUCCGCCGGGGCCGUGGCGGAUCCGCUCGGGCACCGAUGUGCGGUAGUGGCGGACCUCGCCUAUGGGCCUGUCCCGUCGCACGCGUAGGCUAGCAGAAUGGCCCAGCCACGUGUCAUCGCAUGACAGGCCUAAAAUGGGCGGCGGCCCGGAGGCUUAGCAAGCACGCUACUUGGAUGCCGCCGCGACGUUCGAAAUAUUGUGAGAGUCAGAGUUGGGCGAGUCCGACUCCUUCUAGCCAUCCCGGUGGAAGUCAACCAAGAGCCACGUGUUGAGCACCCGGAGAGAGAAACUGCUGAGGCUUCUUGGCCGAUCGUCCGUGGCGCCUCAUCAGCUUCGGGGACUACUGUCGGAGUAAUGGGCCACGGGGAGGCCGACCCGAGGCCCAGAACCUUUCAAGACAUCGGGGCAGGCUGCGCCCCUCAAGACCCCAGGACGAAGAGCCGCCUUAAAGAAGUCGACGGCAAGAUGGCCGACUGACCACUCACGGCCGAGUCCUAGGGACGACUUCAGGGAAAGCCGACUCCUGACUUGCGACUUCUAGAGAAGCCGGCUUUGGGGAAUCAGCCUGCGACUCCAACAAACCCCAUGACCUCAUCAAGUGGGACGGGGCAGGGGAGUGGCUACAGUGAAGCCCACUCCCGCCCCUUACCAAGGGCAGGCAUGGCCACAGCACGCCGUACCGCGGAAGAUCUCUGUGUGGCGUGGCCCUGUUGCCAUGCCGGCCCUGACAUCAGCACCGCAGGACCGAAUCUUGCACCCACGAUGGCUUGUCUGUACGGCCUAGAGGCUGCGGGUCCCACCAGUCAGUGAGAUCCCAGGAGACGGCAAGAGGACCACCAGUCGGACCCGUCGGGAGUCGGCCCCGGGAAGUCGGCCGAGCCCUCCCCCGGGGCCCACACGCCAUUAAUCAAGAUGUGAUGGAGAGUGGCAAUAGUGAUCGCCCGCUAGGCGGCGGGGCUGUUGCCACGACCCCAUGAUCAAGCCCGCGUCAUCAGAAGCACGGCUACAGUAAUCAGCAGCCGGCAAGACCCGCCCGCGGCGGACGCGGCCUAUCGACUCCGUACCAGGCCAGUCGGCGGGCCCCAGUGGUCGGCAGGAGAGACGGAGGCCAGAGGCGCUGACGGCCGGGCCCGCGUCUAGCCAGAUUACCAUUGUACCCCUGGGGGGUAGGCCUAUAUAAACCCCCCAGGGCACCCAUGCAAGGGGUUGGAACCCAUUAGCUCUAGGCCAGAUCAUAUAAGUGGGAGAGAGCUAGCCUUGCCCUCUCCUACCUCCAGGAAACAGCUCAAGGAGCAACCGUGUAAACACUUUGCCAUAGUGAUCAUGCGGAGACCCCGCAGAGCAGUAGUAGGGGUAUUAUCUCCCCGGAGAGCCCUGAAGCUGGGUAAGAUUCACCGGCGUGCAUGUCUUCGCCUCAUCCGGUUUCCAGGCACCGGUGACGUUCUACUCGCCCCCACCAUGAUAAGCCAUCCUUUGGCAUAUGUCGCACCUAACCCCCGACAAAUUUACUCUUUGUGGCACCGAAUAACGGCGAUGUACCAGCUACUCGUGGUACCGCUGGACAACGUUGCUGUCGAGACAGAGGAACUUGACGCCGAAGCUGACCUUGGCGAGGAAGUUGGAGGUGGAUUUGCGACGGACUUACAUCUCGUCUAGGGUGAAGACGUGAAGACUUGCAGCCUUGUCAUCGCUGCCGUGAGUAGCGUCUGUGAAACAUCCUCCAAGGAGAGCAGCCGCAUCUUCUUCACCACACGCCGCCGCCACACCGUCCCGGCCUAGGAUGCACCUGUUGGAAUUUUGCUAGUAGGCCUUUGGCUCAAAGUCUAACUAAAAUUCUAAAAUUCUCUUGAUCUAUUCAUGCACACAUGUGAGUGAAGUGAGUGAGACUAAAGUUUAGUCUCAUCACGAAAGUUGAGUGAGACUUGCACCUCUUUAUAAGAUAAGCUGUUCUACCACUUCUAUAAGCAUGAGAAGAGGAGACCUACACGCGCGCUCCUCCUCCUCGUCAUGCCGCGCCGCGGGUCACGAGGACAGAGCUAUGCAUGUAGUCUAUAUUUUUGCUGCUUGGGAAAAAUUAAUGAGUUAUUAAUUAAUUAACGGAUGCGUUAAUUACUGAACCGUUUCCGAUUCUUUUGGAUCGUAACUCAGACAUGAUGUUUACUCCCACGACCUACUCGGCCUGCAAUAUAUAGUCAGACAGACGUCUACCCUAGCUGCCGCCGUAUUGUAAGGUUUCGCACCACCGUUCUAGAUCAUUGCGCCGCCAAGCAAGUCAUCUCCAUCCCUCCUUUCGGCGUGCACCCCGAGAAGGGACAACAGGCCUCCGGAACCCCUCCUCUCGUGAUCCUUUACGGGAGAGGGGCGAUCAGAUUUUUAGGGAGCGCACUCGCGCGACUGCUGGCAGUGACGACUUCGCCAACGACGACUUCUUCCCCGACCUCGGCAAUCUCAUCCUCGACGACAUGGACGACAACGUCAACACCGGCGGUGCUGCUCCCGCUGCACCAUAUGUGAUUCUAUCCUUCCUGUUCGAGAUCGUCGUAAAAUUCAUGUUUCUAGUAUGUGCCCUAGGGUGCCCAAGGUAGCUCCCCUCCCCUCCCUGGCCGCUCCCGUGAGCACCGCCAGGGCGGGCUCGGGCCCCUCCUCGAUUCUCCCUCCCCUCGCCGCCGCCCCAGCGUGCUGGCGGGCAAAGCCCGGCCAGCUCGGGCGGCGGCGAGGCCUCUUCCUCCCCCACGUGGCGCUGGAUGGCGCGGGCCAUCCUUGUUGGGAGGCGGCGCGGCGCUGGCUCAGGGCGCAGCGACAGUGGCUCGCGACGGGGGCGCGGCUUGCUUGCGGCGGCGUGGGUGGCUGGGAAGGGCUGGGGGCGUGCCCUGCUCCCGGCGGCGGCGACGUUUGGGCGCGGCCCAGAUCCGUCACGGCUGCGGCUCGGGUGCUCUUGGCCCUUGUGGUGGCGAGGCUCCGGCUCACCGCAGGUGGUGGCCUGCUCCGGUGGCCACCCCUGCUGCAAUGCUCCCUGGUGGUGGACCUGUCGGUCCCCAGCCGAUCCGGCGAUGGCAGGUGCCGUGGGCUGCGCUCGGCGGAGGUGUGGGCUACCACGGCGUGGUGGUGGCUCAUGGCGGUGGUCAGGAUCGUCUCACGGCGGUGGCUGGACUUCUUCGGCGUCGGCCCGUUGGUGAGUGCCAUGUGAAGAGCUUCGACCCCUCUUCUCGAUGCCCGGGCGCAAUCUUCGUCGGUAGGAUGGUCCUCUCCUUGCUGCGACCCAUCGCUAGUCCCUUGCUCGGGCAGCAGGACCACGCUCGUCUCGCGCCCGGCAGCAGGACCUCCUCGUCUCGCGCCCGACAGCAGGACCGAGCUCGUCUCGUGCCCGGUAGUAGGACCGAGCUCGUCUCGCGCCCGGCAGUAGGACCAAGCUCAUCUCGCACCUGGCAGUAGGACCAAGCUCGUCUCGCGCCCGGAGCUUUAUGACGAAUCGAUGGACUUGUGUGCCCCGGGAUCCGAUCAUCUCUUCCGAUGGGGUAGCGGCGGGUGUAAAUUGAGGUGGUUCCUAGGUCUUGGAUUCCAGGGCGAUGGCCCUGGUGGUGGUUGCGCGGUGCUCACGGGCAAAGACCGUCGCUUGGUGUUGCCCGGUGGCCAUGGCCGUGUGGGCGGCGUGGUUGUCGGGGUGCGGCGUUCGAUGGCAGUGAGUAUUGGCCGGCAUGAAAACCUGCUCUAUCUUCGGACAGACCGGCGGCGGCGUAGCUCGUUCCCUUCUUGAAGGCGUCGUCGUGGCUCUCAUUGUCUGUCGUGUGGUUCUGGGGGAAACCUUGAUCCUCGGAUCGGGCGGUGCGGCGCUCCCGUGUUGUACCCUUCUUGAAGGCACCGUUUUGGAGCCCAUGGUUCGUCGUAUGCGGCUGCAUCUCUUCAUGGCGGGGUCUUCCCUGGUGGAGCCCCGGUUGCUUGAGUAGUGUUGGGGUCGUGUUGCUGCGCUCAGCGCCUAUGUAUCUUGCAUUGGGUGUGUGCGUGUGUUGUGGUGGUGUGCGUCUGUACCUGGAUGUUAUUGGUCAUUGCUUUAUUUAUAAAGCGGGGCGAAAGCCUGUUUCGGCAGUAUGUGCCCUAGAUGUGAUCUGUUCAUCUACUAUGCUAGUUUGCAUGAUUAGUUUAAUCUCUGCUAGUGCUAUCAUGAUUUAUCUUCUGUUUACUCGAACUAAAUCUCAUAGUAAUUUACUCAUAUUUUCUAUAGCACCUCCUGCUCCAUUUUCUCAUAGCGGCGGCCACCGCCCGUCCUAAAGAACGCGAGAAGGCCCAUGAAUGCAGAGCAGCAGCUUAGGAGGACCUUGAAACCACGGAUGCAGGCACCGUGCUGAGAAGGGGAACAUAGCCCAAGCGAAUCCCGGAGAAUCACAUACGCGAGCGAAGCCGGCGGUCCUACCGGAGUGCAGUGAGAUGAUCUCGGCCACGAUGCCAGACUGUAGGGGAAGGGGGAUAGACGACCAUUCUGUACUCUGUUUGUAUAGGAUGGGCAACCUUUGGUGGGCCUCUACUGUAUUAAGGUGGUAGCUGAAGCAUUUAAAAAAGAGGUGGUAGCCGAAGCAUCAAAACUGAACGGUGAAGGAUUAAAGGCAAUUGAACUCAAAUAUGGAAGGAGAGCGGUCAUGAAAAGUGGGUGGCUUAGCUGGAUGUGACAUUUUUGUUUUCAGAGAGAGAUUGGUCGAUCUUUGCAAACUGAACGCUGACAUGGCAUGACGAUGAUAUGGACAAUGCGCAUGUUGAAAGAAUUAAUAGAAGUGUGGAUCAACUUCUUAAGAAUGUAAGAGGGGAUCAACUUCUUUAGAAUGUAAGAUUUCUGCAACAAUGCUCUUGUUGCAAAAAGCUCCUCUUAUUUAUUUAUUUUUCUAAUUUUCUGCAACAAGACCCCUAUUGCAGCACCUCUUCUUCUCUAAUUUUCUGCAACAAGACUCUUGUCGCAAAUAUUGCAAAAGCAUGUCCAGUCGCAUCAUGCACUAGCACCGUCAUCGUUUGUUGUCGCCGUUCCGUAACAACGUUGGUGUUGCUCAAACUUGCCUUGAAGGUGAUGUUGGGCCGAGCGCGUGGUGGGCGUGGACGUACGACGCGGUGCUAUGGCGUGCCGGAUCCGUCGAUUCGGUCGACCAGGAGGCAUUUGUUGGCAGAAAGCUUGCAGUAGCUAAGCUUCAUAGGGGCCAAAGGGGGCCAUUGCCCCUCUACUGUUGGAAAAUCCAUAAGUGUACAUGUUAUAUUAUUAGGCUUGAAUAUCAAAGAUUUCUCAGAGUUCAUGCAUAACUUUAUCUUCUUCGCCCCCUCAAUUCUGAUUGGCCCCCUCAACAAUCAUCAUCAAUCUCCAUCACUGCGUGGAUGUGCUCGGUAAUGACGACCUACAGACGGCGGAGCUCGGUUGUUCGGACCACAUCCUCCAUGCCAGUAGCACGCCGACGACGACACCGCUACACUCCCUAGCCUAUAGGGAUGUAAACAGUGCUACCGGAUUCUUACCUGGCAGUGUAGUCUAUCGGUAACAGCUGCUGAGUUGCAGAAACGCUUCUGAAACAGGGGUAAAGUUGCAAGAACAUUAAGUAGGUGAGGGUUGCUCUUGACCGUCCGAUCAACAACAGAUCGGACGCCCAUGGAGGUGGUGGACGCGUACGGAAAGAUCAGUCGGAUGAAGACAAACGUUUCCCCUUCGGAAAUGUUACGUUAACAAAGGGUCCACCCGUCAUCACGCUGGAUACCCCCUUUCCUGACGUGUAUUUUAAUAAAGAGUCCACCCGCCAGGGCUGACGUCCAUUCUAAUAAGACGUGCAUUUUAUCGAGCAUGUUGUGUGCAGUGACAGGCCAUUGUUCUCCCCCGCCCUGUCGUCCGCCGGCAAGAACGUCCAGUGCCACCACGCUCGCUCGUUCCUAGUGCACACGUGUGUGCCACCCGCCACCGUCCGGUGAAGGUCUCUGGCGAGCCGAGCGCUCUCCUUCAAGACUGUAAAGUACAUGUUUCCGAGAACCAUUGUCCCAAAUAUUAAUAUUCGUUAAAUUUUGAAUGAAUUGUAUCAUUCCUUAAAUUCUGUUUCGGAUAUGCGGUCUAUAUGCAGCAACAUUGUCCCAACUAUUAACAUUUUGAAUCUUUUUGUCUCAACUGCCACGCCUUUAUGGCUGCAAACUGCACUUUUAAUCGCUCUUCCAAAGUGAGUAUAUAGAUGACUAGAGUAUAUUUUUUUCUUAGUGACUGUAAGAAAAACUGCAAAAUGUACUUUUAAUCCUAUUAGUAGGAUUGCCACCAAUGUAUGUUUCCAUGCUUUGCUCUGCUUCUUUGAUCUUUUUGCUUCUCAUCAUCUGAUUUUCUUUUCCUUUAGUCUAGUCCCUAUAUGCAGCUGUAGGUGACUUUGCUAAUGUGAGUAAAAGAACGGACAUUGCCGAAUUCAUACAGCCUUAUAUCGAAGCAGCCCUUGUCAUAGUAGCACCAGUGAGAAAAGCAAAUUCAAAUGCCUGGGCUUUCUUUAAACCUUUCAUUUUUGCGGGAGUGGUUGUUUGGAUUCUUGAAAAUCGAACUAAUGAAGAGUUCCGAAUUUCGAGGCUCUCCAUGGUGACAAGUCCUGGCAAUAUUUUGGUAAAUUUCCUUUGCUACACCAAGGAUCUGUUUAUCUUAGGUUUCCAAUCUGGUUUGAGUAGAAGUUCAGAAAUAUUAACAGAGGCAAAGUGAUAUUUUUUUGUCCCUUUGUUCUUAACAAUUGUUUUAUAACUGUCUGAUUUUUGUAUCUUCGCAUUUUUGUAUCUCCGUGAUUUUUCUAUAUGUUAGCUUUGAGAAGUCAACAGAUAGUUCAUGCUUCUCUUUCAGGUUCAGUUUCUUUAUGAUGUUCUUUGCACAUGCUAAGUCCACUAAAUGCAUCACAUGAUAUUAUGUUUACCUCUUCUGUUUUGUAUUCGUUUCCCAUCUGGAUGAAAACUUCUUACUGAUCAUAUGGUUGUUUGCCAUGCUGAUCAUAAAUUCAACUUACACGCUUAGCCUGACAUCGAUCCUCACAGUACAGCAGCUAGCAACUUGAAUAAUUGGACUUGACAAGUUGGUUGCUAGCGCUUUACCUAUCAGAUACCCGACUAGAAAUUUUGUCAGAAAUUAUCUGAUUGACGAACUGAAUAUUCCUGAAUCCUGGUUAGUACCAUUGAGCACAGUCGAGGAGUAUGCCAAUGCCCUUAAUCGCGGGCCAAAGACGGCGGUAUUGCUGCAGUUGCUGAUGAGAUGUCAUGUGUGGAGAUCUUCCUGUCGACCCACUGCAACUUCAGAAUUGUGGGUCAGGAGUUCACGAAGGACGGAUGGGGAUUUGUAUGUUCAGCAUCUGUUAAAUCGUUAUGUAUUUACAGUUACACUUUUGUGGGCCUCUUGUAAAGGAGAGAAAGUCUCCUCUUGUUCCUCAUGAGCUUCUACAGCCUACACGAGAAUCUGCACCAUGAGAUCGCCAAAAUCCAGUCUCGCUUUUAUUGGGCAGGCGACAAUAAUAAGCAGAAAUACCAUAUGGUUAGCUGGCCUGACAUGUGCAAGCCUCGGGAACAGGGAGGCCUCGGGAUCAUGUGCUCCAAGCGCAUGAAUAUCGCCCUCCUAUCCCGCUGGCUUUGGCACAUCUCGCAAGGCCAAGGUGGCCUCUGGCUUGACAUCAUCCGGAACAAGUAUCUGCGUGGCCAGCCACUUGCCUUCUGUCAGUGAUCUGGUGGGUUGCAGUUCUGGCAGUCGGUCGCCCCGCUUCUCCUGGUCCUCCGCAUCGAGACUUCCAUCUCGGUGGGGUCCGGCUCGGCGACAUUGUUCUGAUUUGACAGAUGGGCUGGAGACUCCCCCUUCGCCGCGCGCUUUCCCGAUCUCUUCUCCAUCGCAGUUGAACCCCUGAUCUCGGUUGAGAGGGCCCUUAUUGAUCUAGGACGCAUUGCUUUCCGGAGGCCUUUCGGCCCUCCGGAAUCCGCCGCUUGGCGUAAGUUACUGGACUGUGUAGCACUUCACGAGCCGGUGGUGGACGAUGGCCCGAUCUGGUGAGAUGGCGGCUCGAACCUUCGGGCCAGUUUUCCACCAAAUCCCUUUACCAGGCCACCGCACCUUCCGUCGCCCCUCCUCCCUAUCGACGGUGUGGUCCGUUCACCUACCCCUGAAAAUUCGGAUCUUCAUGUGGAAGUGGAUUCACGGGCGACUCCCAUCGGGCGUUGAGGUGCGUAAGCGCAAUGGCCCGGGCUCUGGCAUGUGCCCGCUCUGCGACUUCCCUGAAGACUCAAAUCACAUCUUCUUCUCCUGCGUGACCGCGCAAUUCGUUUGGAGCUGCUUCUGUGAGGUGGUGGGUGGAUCUUGGUGUCACACCAACUUCCCCGACUUGUACGACGAGCUCCAGUCCUCCCCUUUGACUUCUCGCCACAUUAGGUGGCUUGAGAUCACUACUAGGGAAAAGGCUUGCAGCAGCGUGGGUUUUAGGUGUAUCAGUAGUGCGGGGACUGGCGCUACUAAUAAGGUGCUACAGCUAACACGUAGCAGUAGCGCGUGCUCACCAGCGCUACUGCUACACAAGUGUAGCAGCAGGGCGCUUAAUGGAAGCUCUCUACUGCUAAUAGCUAUAGCGCGCUUCUCAUGUGCGCGCUACUGCUACUACCGCGCUGCUGCUAACUUUUCUCCACUCGCUACUGCUAAUUUUAGUAGUUUUUUGUUUUUUCGGCAUAUUUGUUUUGUAUUUGAACAGGCUUUAUAGAAGAAUCUUUAGCACAUACACAUGUCAUCAUGAUACACAUACAAAUGCCUGCGAGACCACAAAUGUAAUCAUAGCAUAUACAUACAAAUAGUCUCAUCAUAAUCAUCAUCCAACACAAAGUGGUAUCUUGUCAUCAUCUCGAAAAUAGCGAUACAUGCAAGUCUCGAAUACUUGCAACUACAACGUUAUCCAUCUAAACAAAGGUAUACGCGAGAAGAGCUAUCACUAUGAGUGAGAGCGGAACUAUGCAGUACAUGAGGUGGCGGUUACGAGUCCUCUCUCGCGCUAGCAUGAACCUCAAGUAACUAGCUUCUCCUUCUUGUCUUCUUUUGAAGCCUUUAUGGCUGGCCCGAGAACCCAUUCACUUGCGCCUGACACUCAUGCCACUCGUUGUACACCCCUGGAACCUUCCCUUUGUACACGACAUAGCACUUCCAUCUCGCCAUCAAGAAACUAGGUACCUGUUAGAGAUGCAUGUUCAUGAAGAGGAUGUACAAUCAUAUAUAUGCAACAAAAUAUACUAGAGCAACAGCCAAAAAGAAAGGGUUAGCAACUAGAUGCAACAUACAGUAUGCAAAUUAAUUAACUAAAGGUACGUAGGUCAUCGUACGCAAACUAACAAAGUAGCGUUACGCAAGUUCGGCAGGGACCAUGGACAUCACAAAGUUUCAUCGCUACAAAAAGUAUACAAGUUCAACCGACACAUAUCAUCAUCAUCGGCAUCAUAAAUCACUAGAAGUUCCAUCCUUCCAUAUCAUUGAGGAUGGACCCUAGCUUCUUGAAAGGCGUGAGGUCUAGAUGUUGCAUGCCUAUGUGCAUCAGCUCGCGAUAUAGGGCCGUGGUGGAACAUCCCCUUCUCAUCGAUGACUUCUUUCAUGAUGAUCGUCGCAAUGUCGCUUUGGAUGCGAAAGAAGUCAUCUCUAAGUUUUUGCAGUUUUGGAACUGACUUACUUUGGAUGAUAAGGCACGAGGACAAUUUCCCGGUCCUUAUUCUAUACCAUGAAGUUUUGGAGGUACUCCCUAGCAGCUUCACGCUCAAAGUCGCCGAGACUCAAGAAAGACUCGUGCAUGUAGUACGGAACCGCCACACAGAUUUGCAAGACUUCUUCACUCUUCAUGACGGAGCUCAUAUGUAGCGCAAAAAGGCGGACGAUUGUAAAAUCGAGCCGCCUUGUCAGAAAUAUCUCAAAGAUAUGGUCAAACCGUAGGAAGGACACCUCCGCGGGCCGUGUGUCGACAUAGCACUUCCCCUCAGGCACAUGAGCCGCGUAUAUCGGAUAUCCUGGAUCCUUUAAGGCUAGUAGGAUUUUCUCAGUCGACAGCACAUGGUCGUGCAGUCUCCUGAGAUCCCCUCAUAGUGCCUCCAGCGGUUUCGCCGGUAGCAUCAGCUCGCCCGUGAGAUGGAACAUGGCCGCACCUUUCACGGGUACACGCUCUUCAGAAUGCAUCAUCUGGCUGCUUUGUGCUCUGGCUUGUUUGGAGGCAGUUAUCUUCCCCGAUCUCUUCCUCUCCUUUUUCUUGGGCACACCUUCUAGACCCUUCUUAUGCUAGUUCAUGGUAAUCAGAACUGCCCAAUCAAAGUUGUUGUUAAAGUCCUCACCUCUCGUCUCAAACCGGUCAUACCUAUGCUAGUUCAUGGUAAUCAGACUAGGUUCAUCUCCGGUAGGAAUAUUGCUGAGAACUACGUUUUUGCAGCUGACCUCAUUAGCUCUUGUCACACUCGCAAACGACCAACCAUGGUUUUUAAGCUAGACUUCCGAAAAGCCUUCGACUCCAUGGCUUAGCCUGCCCUUGAUAGGAUUCUAGCCGUUCGUGGUUUCUCCCAAACCUUCCGCAACUGGAUCCAAAACAUUCUUCACACGGGCGAAGCUGCCAUCCUCCUGAAUGGUGUCCCAGGCAACUGGAUACAAUGCAAGAAUGGCUUGCGGCAAGGUGACCGGCCUCCCCCUACCUUUUUCUCAUCGUCGAUGGCCUGCUCCAAUAGCUCAUCUUCCAGAACUCAGAGCCUGCCCUCCACCACCCCAUCUUCUCCCACCUACCUCCCACCGUUCUCCAAUACGCCGAUGAUAUGCUCAUCAUUGCAGCCGCCUCUCCUGUCGCCGCUGCAACCCUCAAAGUAACCCUAAACAACUUCGCGCAGGCUACGGGCCUCACCAUCAACUUCUCAAAAAACCACUCUAGCCACUCUUCAUACAGAUGAUACCAUGCCCACUGCCACUGCCCUUGCCAUGGGCUGCUGCUGUGCACCCUUCCCUCAAACGUACCUCGGCCUACCCCUGGCCCCAACUAAACCUCAUUCCAAUGCCUUCACGUCGUUGAUAGAACAAUCUUGCAAAUUAUUGACAGGCUCGCGUGCUAAACUGCUUGACAAAGGUGAUAGCCUCAUUCUCAUCUCUGCGGUCCUAGACUCCCUCCUUACCUACUUCAUGUCGGUGUUUCGCAUUCCGAAAAAAAACCCUCAAAACCAUCGAAUCCCUAAUAAGGGCCUUCUUUUGGGCGGGGGACGAUGCUUGCUCAGGAGCUCAAUGCCUCAUUGCAUGGAAAAAUGUUUGCUUACCUAAAAAAUUUGGUGGUUUAGGCCUAAAAAACCUGCAUGUCCAAAACAAUUGUUUACUCAUGAAAUUUGUAGCCAAAGCCGUCUCUUCUGCACAGGCACCUUGGCUAGAAUGGCUAGACCUUCAACACCCAAAUGCUCUAGUCUCCUCGUCCCCUCAAACCUAUUUUCUUUGCAGCACAAUUUCUCAGCAAAUCCCCACCCUCCAAACAAUUUCCUUUGUUGUAACAAACAGUGGCUCUCAUAUGUAUUUCUGGCUUGGCACCUGGUUGACCACAAAACCUCUAGCCACCACCUUCCCCCACCUCUUCUCACACUCCAACCUAGAGCUGGUUAACGUGGCUAGUAUCUUGCGUUUCGGUAUCGAAGAUGACCUCCGUAAUCGUCUUUCUCUUACGGCAGAACAAGAGCUUGUUUCGCCUUUGUCUAUUUUGUAGGACUUCGUGCCUUCGGCGGAGGAAGAUCAAAGGUUCCUACAUCGAGGUCAUGACUUCUCCACCAAGCAUGCGUACGACGCCCUCAUGGCUAGGCCAGACAACGAUCCCAUUGCCCCUCUCAUCUAGGGCACCAUGGCACCUCGCAAGCUAAUUUUUUUUGCUUGGCUACUCUUCAAGGACCGCCUCAACACUAGGGUUAACCUUGCCCACAAGCAUAUCAUCUCCUCAGGCAUACGCCCCCGGUGUGCUAGGUUACCCGAAGACUCCAUGCACCUCUUCGUCACAUGCCCACUUGCCAACAGGAUAUGGCAACGAAUCGGUGUCCUGCCACAGACCGACGACAUCGCAGAGCUUUGGGAUACUCCUUGGCCUCAUCACCCCCCCCCCCCACAAAAAGCAUGGUCCUUGGUCCUCAUAUCACUACUACGGAAGAUAUGGAUGGCACAUAAUGAUAUGUUGUUUAGGAGUGUUGAUCAAUGUUCUAUAAUAAUCCUCAGUGCCCUUAUUGUUGAUUUGGAUCUUUGGUCACACUGUCUCAUGGAGACAUGUGACAAGGAGGACGNNNNNNNNNNNNNNNNNNNNNNNNNNNNNNNNNNNNNNNNNNNNNNNNNNNNNNNNNNNNNNNNNNNNNNNNNNNNNNNNNNNNNNNNNNNNNNNNNNNNNNNNNNNNNNNNNNNNNNNNNNNNNNNNNNNNNNNNNNNNNNNNNNNNNNNNNNNNNNNNNNNNNNNNNNNNNNNNNNNNNNNNNNNNNNNNNNNNNNNNNNNNNNNNNNNNNNNNNNNNNNNNNNNNNNNNNNNNNNNNNNNNNNNNNNNNNNNNNNNNNNNNNNNNNNNNNNNNNNNNNNNNNNNNNAACGUAGUAAUUUCAAAAAAAUUCCUACGCACACGCAAGAUCAUGGUGAUGCAUAGCAACGAGAGGGGAGAGUGUGAUCUAUGUACCCUUGUAGAUCAACAACGGAAGCGUUAACUUGGUUGAUGUAGUCGUACGUCUCCACGGCCCGACCGAUCAAGCACCGAAACCACGACACCUCCGAGUUCUAGCACAUGUUCAGCUCGAUGACGAUCCCCGGACUCCGAUCUAGCAAAGUGUCAGGGAAGAGUUCUGUCAGCACGACGGCGUAGUGACAAUCUUGAUGUACUACCGUCGCAGGGCUUUGCCUAAGCACCGCUACAAUAUUAUCGAGGACUAUGGUGGAAGGGGGCACCGCACACGGCUAAGAAUAUGAUCACGUGAUCAACUUGUGUCUAGGGGUGCCCCCUGCCCCCGUAUAUAAAGGAGCAAGGGGAGGAGGCCGGCCGGCCCUAUAGGCGCGCCAAGGAGGAGUCCUCCUCCUAGUAGGAGUAGGACUCCUACUAGGAGGGGGAAGGAAGUGGGGAGGAAGAGGGAAAGGGGGGCGCCCCCCCCCCUCUCCUAGUCCAAUUCGGACCAGGGGGGAGGAGGCGCANNNNNNNNNNNNNNNNNNNNNNNNNNNNNNNNNNNNNNNNNNNNNNNNNNNNNNNNNNNNNNNNNNNNNNNNNNNNNNNNNNNNNNNNNNNNNNNNNNNNNNNNNNNNNNNNNNNNNNNNNNNNNNNNNNNNNNNNNNNNNCUCCGGCUCUCCGGUUUUCUCCGAAAUCACCCGGAACACUUCCGGUGUCCGAAUAUAGCCGUCCAAUAUAUCAAUCUUUAUGUCUCGACCAUUUCGAGACUCCUCGUCAUGUUCGUGAUCACAUCCGGGACUCUGAACUAACUUCGGUACAUCAAAACUCAUAAACUCAUAAUAUAACUGUCAUCAAAACCUUAAGCGUGCGGACCCUAUGGGUUCGAGAACAAUGUAGACAUGACCGAGACACGUCUCCGAUCAAUAACCAAUAGCGGAACCUGGAUGCUCAUAUUGGCUCCUACAUAUUCUAUGAAGAUCUUUAUCGGUCAGACCGCAUAACAACAUACGUCGUUCCCUUUGUCAUCGGUAUGUUACUUGCCCGAGAUUCGAUCGUCGGUAUCUCAAUACCUAGUUCAAUCUCGUUAACGGCAAGUCUCUUUACUCGUUCUGUAAUACAUCAUCCUGCAACUAACUCAUUAGUUGCAAUGCUUGCAAGGCUUAAGUGAUGUGCAUUACCGAGAGGGCCCAGAGAUACCUCUCCGACAAUCGGAGUGACAAAUCCUAAUCUCGAAAUACGCCAACCCAACAUGUACCUUUGGAGACACCUGUAGAGCUCCUUUAUAAUCACCCAGUUAUGUUGUGACGUUUGGUAGCACACAAAGUGUUCCUCUGGCAAACGGGAGUUGCAUAAUCUCAUAGUCAUAGGAACAUGUAUAAGUCAUGAAGAAAGCAAUAGCAACAUACUAAACGAUCGGGUGCUAAGCUAAUGGAAUGGGUCAUGUCAAUCAGAUCAUUCAAGUAAUGAUGUGAUCCCAUUAAUCAAAUAACAACUCUUUGUCCAUGGUUAGGAAAUAUAACCAUCUUUGAUUAACGAGCUAGUCAAGUAGAGGCAUACUAGUGACACUCAGUUUGUCUAUGUAUUCACACAUGUAUUAUGUUUUUGGUUAAUACAAUUCUAGCAUGAAUAAUAAACUUUUAUCAUGAUAUAAGGAAAUAAAUAAUAACUUUAUUAUUGCCUCUAGGGCAUAUUUCCUUCACCCCGCGCGGUGAUUCUAAAACAAAUGAGGCUAAAUAAAAUGCACUCUUGCUGGUUACCAAACAAAGCUAAAUAAAGCGCACACUUAAUUUGUUGCUGGCCGCUACAAAUUAAAUUAUAAAUGUGUGUGUAGUAGUCGUAAGGUAUUCUGCUACUGACCAAAUGAGGCCAAAUAAAAUGCACUCUUGCUGCUUACCAAACAAAGGUAAAUAAAUCACACACUUACUUGGUUCUAGCUGCUACAAAUUAAACAGAUGGUGUACCUCCACGAUUUUCUAUACGAUAGAGAGGAACAGUUUAAUACAUCGACAAAACAGAAAAUAGUGUUAAUGCCAGAAUAAUUAAGAAAGAUUUUCAAAUAUACGGUAGUACUAAAAUUUCACAACCUCCUUGCGUCGCUCCAAGUCUGUGUUUUCAGUACACCAAACCACUCACAAAAUAGGAAGUAGGAGAAGUUUUAAUACACCAGAGUCUACAUUUUCUUAAUGGAACCAAAUUAAGGGGACUGAUUAUGUUGAAUAAUUAUUUUAUUUUCCCAUCCUAGCCACCUGGGCAUCAGGCAUCAGGCAGUGUAACACAUGUUUAUGCUUUAGUACUAAUAUUAUUAUUAUACGUCACUGGAACCCUUCUAAAGGUGACUGUAUACGUCUUGCAAAAUGUAAAUAAGUUCCAUGAGCCAAGCAAUUUAAGCCCAAGUUUUCUCCUGGCUAUAUCGGUGGUUGUGUAUCUUUUCCCUCUUUUACACAUCUAUUUUUAUCAGUUCACUUAUCUAAUGUUUAUAGUAAACUAUUAUACCAUAUGGAUAAUUCAUACUGUUAGAGACAAAGCUUGAAGCAACAACACAUGUAGACCUGUCAAGUGUAUUAUUUCCAAUAGAUACAAUAUUCUAGGCUAGCAAAACGUAUACAUGUCUAUUUGUUGCAUGUAAUUAUAUUUGAUAUAUUGAUAUGGAUAAUAAUUCCUCUCUGUCUCCAAAUUACUGAUGUAGUUCCUAAUGUUCGUCAGACAUGAAAAAAAGCUGCUAGUCUGCAACUUAAAUAAACUGCAUCAUUUAUUUGUUCUUGAGUAUGUGACAUGGCUCAACUGAUAGAUAAAUAUACAGGGAAAAUCAACUAACUGACACAAUUUGAGGGCAUGUUUGAACAUGGAAAAUUGAAGAGCAAAAUUUUGUUAUGUUUCUGUAUAGCAGCCAGAUUGCAUCAAGCUUUCAUCAGCCAAGACAUGAAAUUUCCAAGAUAAAUGGGGGAGAUGACAAACUGGUGUAGGAGGAUGUACUGCAGCAGGAAUAUUUUUGGCUCGAUCAGUUAAUGGGUUAUGGCUGCAACAGUAGCCAAGCAAGGGAUGAGCACAGACAGGUUCUGUACUCUGUUCUCAUGAAAAAAGUUCAAUGAACAGAGUACAGAACCUGUCGUGCUCAGAAAGUCGCUACCCUUACCGCAAACCCAUGACGAACAUACAGGAGCAAACAAAAAAUCAAUCACUCAUCACGGAAUCAAUGAUCCAACCAACGAUCUAUGGUUGAUGAAUUUACUCUUUGUGGCACCGAAUAAUGGCGACGUACCAGCUACUCGUGGUGCCGCUGGACAACGUUGCUGUCGAGACAGAGGAACUUGACGCCGAAGCUGACCUUGGCGUGGAAGUUGGAGGUGGAUCUGCGACGGACUUACAUCUCGUCUAGGGUGAAGACGUGAAGGCUUGCAGCCUUGUCAUCGCUGCCGUGAGUGGCGUCCGUGAAACAUCCUCCAAGGAGAGCAGCCGCAUCUUCUUCACCAGACGCCGCCGCCACACCGGCCCGGCCUAGGAUGCACCUGUUGGAAUUUUGCUAAUAGGCCUUUGGCUCAAAGUCUAACUAAAAUUCUAAAAUUCUCUUGAUCUAUUUAUGCACACAUGUGAGUGAAGUGAGUGAGACUAAAGUUUAGUCUCAUCACGAAAGUUGAGUGGGACUUGCACCUCUUUAUAAGAUGAGUUGUUCUACCACUUGUAUAAGCAUGAGAAGAGAAGACCUACACGCGUGCUCCUCCUCCUCGUCAUGCCGCGCCGCGGGUCACGAGGACAGAGCUAUGCAUGUAGUCUAUAUUUUUGCUGCUCGGGAAAAAUUAAUGAGUUAUUAAUUAAUUAACGGAUGUGUUAAUUACUGAACCGUUUCCGAUUCUUUCGGAUCGUAACUCAGACAUGAGGUUUACUCCCACAACCUACUCGGCCCGCAAUAUAUAGUCAGACAGACGUCUACCCUAGCUGCCGCCGUAUUGUAAGGUUUCGCACCACCGUUCCAGAUUAUUGCGCCGCCAAACAAGUCAUCUCCAUCCCUCCUUUUGGUGUGCACCCCGAGAAGGGACAGCAGGCCUCCGGAACCCCUCCUCUCGUGAUCCUGUACGGGAGAGGGGCGAUCAGAUUUUUGGGGAGCGCACUCGCGCGACUGCUGGCAGUGACGACUUCGCCAACGACGACUUCUUCCCCGACCUCGCCAAUCUCAUCCUCGACGACAUGGACGACAACGUCAACGCCGGCGGUGCUGCUCCCGCUGCACCAUAUGUGAUUCUAUCCUUCCUGUUCGAGAUCGUCGUAAAAUUCAUGUUUCUAGUAUGUGCCCUAGGGUGCCCAAGGUAGCUCCCCUCCCCUCCCUGGCCGCUCCCGUGAGCACCGCCAGGGCGGGCUCGGCCCCCUCCUCGAUUCUCCCUCCCCUCGCCGCCGCCCCAGCGUGCUGGCGGGCAAAGCCCGGCUAGCUCGGGCGGCGGCGGGGCCUCUUCCUCCCCCGCGUGGCGCUGGAUGGCGCGGGCCAUCCUUGUUGGGCGGCGGCGCGUCGCUGGCUCAGGGCGCGGCAACGGCGGCUCGUGACGGGGGGCGGCUUGCUGGCGGCAGCGUGGGUGGCUGGGACGGGCUGGGGGCGUGCCCUGCUCCCGGCGGCGACGACGUUUGGGCGCGGCCCAGAUCCGUCACGGCUGCGGCUCGGGUGCUCUUGGCCCUUGUGGUGGCGGGGCUCCGGCUCACCGCAGGUGGUGGCCUGCUCCGGUGGCCGCCCCUGCUGCAACGCUCCCUGGUGGUGGACCUGGCGGUCCCCAGCCGAUCCGGCGAUGGCAGGUGCCGUGGGCUGCGCUCGGCGGAGGUGUGGGCUACCACGGCGUGGUGGUGGCUCAUGGCGGUGGUCAGGAUCGUCUCACGGCGGCUGGACUUCUUCGGCGUCGGCCCAUUGGUGAGUGCCAUGUGAAGAGCUUCGACCCCUCUUCUCGAUGCCCGGGCGCAAUCUUCGUCGGUGGGAUGGUCCUAUCCUUGCUGCGACCCAUCGCUAGUCCCUUGCUCGGGCAGCAGGACCGCGCUCGUCUCGCGCCCGGUAGCAGGACCUCCUCAUCUCGCGCCCGACAGCAGGAUCGAGCUCGUCUCGUGCCCGGCAGCAGGACCGAGCUCGUCUCGCGCCCGGAGCUGUAGGACGAAUCGACGGACUUGUGUGCCCCGGGAUCCGAUCGUCUCUUCCGAUGGGGUAGCGGCGGGUGUAAAUUGAGGUGGUUCCUAGGUCUUGGAUUCCAGGGCGAUGGCCCUGGUGGUGGUUGCGCGGUGCUCACGGGCAGAGCCCGUCGCUUGGUGCUGCCCAGUGGCCAUGGCCGUGUGGGCGGCGUGGUUGUCGGGGUGCGGCAUUCGAUGGCAGUGCGUAUUGGCCGGGGUGAAAACCUGCUCUAUCUUCGGACAGACCGGCGGCGACGUAGCUCGUUCCCUUCUUGAAGGCAUCGUCGUGGCUCUCGUUGUCUGUCGUGUGGUUCCGGGGGAAACCUUGAUCCUCAGAUCGGGUGGUGCGGCGCUACCGUGUCGUACCCUUCUUGAAGGCACCGUUUUGAAGCCCAUGGUUCGUCGUAUGCGGCUGCAUCUCUUCGUGGCGGGGUGUUCACUGGUGGAGCCCCGGUUGCUCGAGUAGUGUUGGGGUCAUGUUGCUGCGCUCAGCACCUAUGUAUCUUGCCUUGGGUGUGUGCGUGUGUUGUGGUGGUGUGCGUCUGUACCUGGAUGUUGUUGGUCAUUGCUUUAUUUAUAAAACGGGGCGAAAGCCUGUUUCGGCAGUAUGUGCCCUAGAUGUGAUAUGUUCAUCCACUAUACUAGUUCGCAUGAUUAGUUUAAUCUCUGCUAGUGCUAUCAUGAUUUAUCUUCUGUUUACUUGAAUUAAAUUCCAUAGUAAUUUACUCAUAUUUUCUACAGCACCUCCUGCUCCAUUUUCUCAUAGCGGCGGCCACCGCCCGUCCUAAAGGACGCGAGAAGGCCCAUGAAUGCAGAGCAGCAGCUUAGGAGGACCUUGAAACCAUGGAUGCAGGCAUCGUGCUAAGAAGGGGAACAUAGCCCAAGCGAACCCCGGAGAAUCACAGACGCGAGCGAAGCCGGCGGUCCUACCGGAGUGCGGUGAGAUGAUCUCGGCCACGAUGCCAGACUGUAGGGGAAGGGGGAUAGACGACCAUUCUGUACUCUGUUUGUAUAGGAUGGGCAACCUUUGGUGGGCCUCUACUGUAUUAAGGCGGUAGCUGAAGCAUUUAAAAAAGAGGUGGUAGCCGAAGCAUCAAAACUGAACGGUGAAGGAUUAAAGGCAAUUGAACUCAAAUAUGGAAGGAGAGCAGUCAUGAAAAGUGGGUGGCUUAGCUGGAUGUGACAUUUUUGUUUUCAGAGAGAGAUUGGUCGAUCUUUGCAAAUUGAACGCUGACAUGGCAUGACGAUGAUAUGGACAAUGCGCAUGUUGAAAGAAUUAAUAGAAGUGUGGAUCAACUUCUUAAGAAUGUAAGAGGGGAUCAACUUCUUUAGAAUGUAAGAUUUCUGCAACAAUGCUCUUGUUGCAAAAAGCUCCUCUUUUUAAUUUUUUUUUAAUUUUCUGCAACAAGACCCCUAUUGCAGCACCUCUUCUUCUCUAAUUUUCUUCAACAAGACUCUUGUCACAAAUAUUGCAAAAGCAUGUCCAGCCGCAUCACGCACUAGCACCGUCGUCGUUUGUUGUCACCGUUCCGUAACAACGUUGGUGUUGCUCAAACUUGCCUUGAAGGUGAUGUUGGGCUGAGCGCGUGGUGGGCGUGGACGUACGGCGCGGUGCUAUGGCGUGCCGGAUCCGUCGAUUCGGUCGACCAGGAGGCAUUUGUUGGCAGAAAGCUUGCAGUAGCUGAGCUUCAUAGGGGCCAAAGGGGGCCAUUGCCCCUCUACUGUUGGAAAAUCCAUAAGUGUACAUGUUAUAUUAUUAGGCUUGAAUAUCAAAGAUUUCUCAAAGUUCAUGCAUAACUUUAUCUUCUUCGCCCCCUCAACUCUGAUUGGCCCUCUCAACAAUCAUCAUCAAUCUCCAUCACUACGUGGAUGUGCUCGGUAAUGACGACCUACAGACGGCGGAGCUCGGUUGUUGGGACCACAUCCUCCAUGCCAGUAGCACGCCGACGACGAAACCGCUACACUCCCUAGCCUAUAGGGAUGUAAACAGUGCUACCGGAUUCUUACCUGGCAGUGUAGUCUAUCAGUAACAGCUGCUGAGUUGCAGAAACGCUUCUGAAACAGGGGUAAAGUUGCAAGAACAUUAAGUAGGUGAGGGUUGCUCUUGACCGUCCGAUCAACAACAGAUCGGGUGCCCAUGGAGGUGGUGGACGCGUACGGAAAGAUCAGUCGGAUGAAGACAAACGUUUCCCCUUCGGAAAUGUUACGUUAACAAAGGGUCCACCCGUCAUCACGCUGGAUACCCCCUGCCCUGACGUGUAUUUUAAUAAAGGGUCCACCCGCUAGGGCUGACGUCCAUUCUAAUAAGACGUGCAUUUUAUCGAGCAUGUUGUGUGCAGUGACCGGCCAUUGUUCUCCCCCGCCCUGUCGUCCGCCGACAAGAACGUCCAGUGCCCCCACGCUCGCUCGUUCCUAGUGCAUGCAUGUGUGCCACCCGCCGCCGUCCGGUGAAGGUCUCUGGCGAGCCGAGCGCUCUCCUUCAAGACUGUAAAGUACACGUUUCCGAGAACCAUUGUCCCAACUAUUAAUAUUCGUUAAAUUUUGAAUGAAUUGUAUCAUUCCUUAAAUUCUGUUUCGGAUAUGCGGUCUAUAUGCAGCAACAUUGUCCCAACUAUUAACAUUUUGAAUCUUUUUGUCUCAACUGCCACGCCUUUAUGACUGCAAACUGUACUUUUAAUCGCUCUUCCAAAGUGAGUAUAUAGAUGACUAGAGUAUAUUUUUUUCUUAGUGACUGUAAGAAAAACUGCAAAAUGUACUUUUAAUCCCAUUAGUAGGAUUGCCACCAAUGUAUGUUUCCAUGCUUUGCUCCGCUUCUUUGAUCUUUUUGCUUCUCAUCAUCUGAUUUUCUUUUCCUUUUGUCUAGUCCCUAUAUGCAGCUGUAGGUGACUUUGCCAAUGUGAGUAAAAGAACGGACAUUGCCGAAUUCAUACAGCCUUAUAUCGAAGCAGCCCUUGUCAUAGUAGCACCAGUGAGAAAAGCAAAUUCAAAUGCCUGGGCUUUCUUUAAACCUUUCAUUUUUGCGGGAGUGGUUGUUUGGAUUCUUGAACAUCGAACCAAUGAAGAGUUCCGAAUUUCGAGGCUCUCCAUGGUGACAAGUCCUGGCAAUAUUUUGGUAAAUUUCCUUUGCUACACCAAGGAUCUGUUUAUCUUAGGUUUCCAAUCUGGUUUGAAUAGAAGUUCAGAAAUAUUAACAGAGGCAAGGUGGUAUUUUUUGUCCCUUUGUUCUUAACAAUUGUUUUAUAACUGUCUGAUUUUUGUAUCUUCGCAUUUUUGUAUCUCCGUGAUUUUUCUAUAUGUUAGCUUUGAGAAGUCAACAGAUAGUUCAUGCUUCUCUUUCAGGUUCAGUUUCUUUACGAUGUUCUUUGCACACGCUAAGUCCACUAAAUGCAUCACAUGAUAUUAUGUUUACCUCUUCUGUUUUGUAUUUGUUUCCCAUCUGGAUGAAAACUUCUUACUGAUCAUAUGGUUGCUUGCCAUGCGGAUCAUAAAUUCAAGUUACACGCUUAGCCUGACAUCGAUCCUCACAGUAAAGCAGCUAGCAACUUGAAUAAUUGGACUCGACAAGUUGGUUGCUAGCGCUUUACCUAUCAGAUACCCGGCUAGAAAUUUUGUCAGAAAUUAUCUGAUUGACGAACUGAAUAUUCCCGAAUCCUGGUUUGUACCAUUGAGCACAGUUGAGGAGUAUGCCAAUGCCCUUAAUCGCGGGCCAAAAGAUGGCGGUAUUGCUGAAGUUGCUGAUGAGAUGUCAUGUGUGGAGAUCUUCCUGUCGACCCACUGCAACUUCAGAAUUGUGGGUCAGGAGUUGACGAAGGACGGAUGGGGAUUUGUAUGUUCAGCAUCUGUUAAAUCGUUAUGUAUUUACAGUUAGACUUUUGUGGGCCUCUUGUAAAGGAGAGAAAGUCUCCUCUUGUUCCUCAUGAGCUUCUACAGCCUACACGAGACUCUGCACCAUGAGAUCACCAAAAUCCAGUCUCGCUUUUAUUGGGAAGGCGACAAUAAUAAGCAGAAAUACCAUAUGGUUAGCUGGCCUGACAUGUGCAAGCCUCGGGGACAGGGAGGCCUCGGGAUCAUGUGCUCCAAGCGCAUGAAUAUCGCCCUCCUAUCCCGCUGGCUUUGGCACAUCUCGCAAGGCCAAGGUGGCCUCUGGCUUGACAUCAUCCCGAACAAGUAUCUGCGUGGCCAGCCACUUGCCUUCUGUCAGUGAUCUGGUGGCUCGCAGUUUUGGCAGUCGGUCGUCCAGCUUCUCCCGGUCCUCCGCAUCGGGACUUCCAUCUCGGUGGGGUCUGGCUCGGCGACAUUGUUCUGAUUUGAUAGAUGGGUUGGAGACUCCCCCUUCGCCGCGCGCUUUUCCCGAUCUCUUCUCCAUCGCAGUUGAACCCCUGAUCUCGGUUGAGAGGGCCCUUAUUGAUCUAGGACGCAUUGCUUUCCGGAGGCCUUUCAGCCCUCCGGAAUCCGCCGCUUGGCGUGAGUUACUGGACUGUGUAGCACUUCACGAGCCGGUGGUGGACGAUGGCCCGAACCUGGUGAGAUGGCGGCUCGAACCUUCGGGCCAGUUUUCCACCAAAUCAUAGAGUCGACUUAGUAAAGCGUCUUUGGAGCGUCUCCUCACGGACCGUCUCAAAACAUAGACACACUGGCUUAGCGUCUAUACAUGGCAUGAGACGUCUCUAGAUAUGACACGCUAUAUUUGGAUGUUCAAAAGCGUCUCUAGAUAUAUAGAGUUGUUUUGUUAGGCGCGCUCGUACGUCUCUACUAACAGGGCCAUUUAAUUCGUCAUAGGCCCUAGGCCCAUUCCUAUAGACACUAGGUACAGACGUUAUAUUCGUCUCUAAAUAUACAAAAGAUUUUUUAACCACGUAAUGUUUUACUUUAGAUAAUAUUUGAUUUAUUCCAAAUUUGUACUUCACCAUUUCAAAUCCAGUAACUUUAUCAUGUCAUAUGCUUAUGCAGAAUGAUCAACAGAUAUUGUUACAUAAAAGCAUCCAUCCAUAUCACCAAUCACAUUCAUCAAAUCAGAUCUUCGUAUAAAAUAUGCAAAUAAUUAAGAAGAGAUCAUACAAACUAGGACUAAGUUUUCCUAUAAAGCUAAAAGCUUUAUAUAAUACAUAAUAUUUGUCUAUCUAAAGACUAAUUCUUUUAUAGUUGCUCCUGGCUCCUGCAAUGCACUCCUUUUCUAAAUCUUGAGCUACCCUGAAAAAUAAUGAUAACCGAGAAAAUUUUAGAACAUGCCUUUAAGACUAGUUGGAGAAGAAAUGUACUUUGAUGAUGUACCAUACCAGUGUUUGGUGGCUUGUUUUGAGGUUGUAUAGGAGUCGUUAACUUUGGUUUUUUAACUCAAAAUCACAAAGAUACUUCAUAAAUAAAAAUCCUUAAGCACGCACAUUGGAGCAUACGAUGAUUGCAUGGAAGUGUACUUACAUGUGAUAGAGGCCAUGCAAUAACAUGACCAAUAGCAUCCCUUAAUGUUUGCAAUUGUUCAUAUGGUCUAACCAAUUUUUGAUCUCCAAGUGUUGAAACAGCACAAACAAAAACCGCUACAUAUUUCUCUCCAAGCAUGUUUCCUCCAACCACGUAUGUUUUAUCUCUACUCACUAAAGUUCCUUCGGCCACAAAUUUAUCUUUGCUUCUCGGGUUCAACGAAACCAAGAAAACUUUCAUUUUAUCCUAUUUUUUCAAAAAAUGUAACAUACAUUAUCACAAACCAUGGAAGAUUUCACUUUACACAGAAAGGGACAAUUGCACAUGGAAUUAGACCAACUAACUAUUCUAACCAUUGUCAUUCAGAUAUAAAGUUGUACACUUGGUUCAGGACCACCUUGCUUGGUGGCAUUGUUAUUUUUAGCACGACUAUUAUUUGCUUCAGGACCAUCAUGUGCUUUCUACAGUUUAGGUUCAGUUUAAUUGUAAGUAAACUUAUAGAAAACAUAGACAUUGUUUGAUAACAUAGCAGAAAUUUAUGCGCUCAUGCACACACACCUUAGCAACUCGGUGUUCAUGUGGUGAAGAUAAAUUGGUGCAACCCUCUUUGGUUCUUGCGCAAUUGCUAGGAUGCAAUUUCUGGUUAGUCUUGUCUGGCAAAGUUGAUUUUGCACACCCUUGAUUGACCCUAUGAUCAAUUUUUUCAAUGUGUGCUUUCUACAGUUGAGGUUUAGUUCAGUUGUAAGUAAACAUACAUAAAACAUAGACAUUGUUUGACAAUGAAUCAGAAGUUUAUGCAUACACACACACCUUAGCAACCAUGUGUGGUAAAGAUGAACUAGUGUAAUCCUCUUUGGUUCUCCAAGAAAACCUAGGAUGCAAUUCCUGGGCAGUAAUCUGCUUAUCUGGCAAAGUAAAUUCUGCACUUCCUUGAUUGGUGUAACCCUCUUUGGUUGAUUCUGCGCAGCCUUGAUUGUCCUUAUCAACCUUUUCAAUGCAUGCCUUCUACACUUGAGGUUCAAUUUAGUAUGACAUGAAUAUACACAAUCAUAGGCAUUGGUUGAUAAUGAAGUAAAAAAAUUAUGCGCGCACACCUUAGCAACCAUGUGUGGUAAAGAUAAACCAGUGUAAUCCUCUUUAGUUCUCAUAGAAAAACUAGGAUGCAAUUCCUGCGUAGUGAUAUGCUUGUCCGGCGAAGUUGAUUCUGCACUUCCUUCAUUGGCCCUAUCAAACUUCUCGAUGUGUGCUUUCUACAAUUGAGGUUUCAGUUUAGUUGUAAGUAAACUUAUACAAAAAAUAGGCAUUUUUUAAUAACAAAGCAGAAAUUUAUGCACACACCUUAGGGACCAUUUUUUCUUGUGGUAACGAUAAACCGGUGUAACACUCUUUGGUUACCGCACAAUCGCUAGGAUGUAGUUCCUGCAACUUAUGAUGAACAAUUGUUUCAGUAUGAGAAUGAAGUAGAACAUUUAUUAGUGAAGAAACUAUUACAUCACCAGCAUAGCAUUCAAUGGAGCAUAUUCUUUAGCUUCGUUAUGUGAUUCAUUUAAGAGGUCACUGCCAACAACUCUUUCAUUGAGAUCAACCUGAAACAAGAACAGGAUAAUAGUAUAUUAAUACUCAUAUCUUUAUCUUUGGGAGGUCACAGUACACUCCAGUUUAUCUUACAUCUGCUAGAUAACUAGCCUCUUUAUGCUUUACAAGUUUUUAAAGAGAAUCUACUUGUAGCAAAUGGUAUAUGUUAGACUCUAGUGGAAUAAGGUAAUUUUGCCGUAAAAUAUGACCCAUAAACACAUGUAACUGAAAAGGCGCCCAAAAAGCACUUCAGAAGUUACUGUAACGCACAUAGCAACAUACAAACCUAUAACAACAAUCUUUUAGUACAAAAUCUGAGGGCUGUUGAUUGAAACCUCCCUUCAACUAAGAUGCAAGAAUCAAAACUAACAAAAUAUUGGGACUGCACUAAGAUGAGGUAGGAAAUAGGACAGACUAAAAUUAGUACAAAAUAGCAUAGUACAUUGCAGCCUGUGCAACCAAACACUAUCAUGUUUUAUGCUCCAGCGUAAAUGGAAUGUGAGGUUAUUUGCACUGGCGGAGCCUCAUGGAGGNNNNNNNNNNNNNNNNNNNNNNNNNNNNNNNNNNNNNNNNNNNNNNNNNNNNNNNNNNNNNNNNNNNNNNNNNNNNNNNNNNNNNNNNNNNNNNNNNNNNNNNNNNNNNNNNNNNNNNNNNNNNNNNNNNNNNNNNNNNNNNNNNNNNNNNNNNNNNNNNNNNNNNNNNNNNNNNNNNNNNNNNNNNNNNNNNNNNNNNNNNNNNNNNNNNNNNNNNNNNNNNNNNNNNNNNNNNNNACUAGUAAGCAUUCAGGCAAGCCCAAUAUUACACAGCCCAAUGAAGCGACAACUCUCCCAUGCACAGACGCAUCGCUCGUCUCUCCUCCUUAUCCUUCCCCCAAAUGGACAAAAACAUCUCACUUUCCCCCAAAUCGCCAUGGAUGAAUCCUAGGUCUUGAACUCAACUGCCACUCGAGGAUGCAAUAGAAAGCUAGGUAUGUUUCAUGAAAAAAAUCAAUGAUGUUCAAUGUUCAGAGGCUUGCAUAAAUUCAGUGAUGUUCAAUGUUCAGAGACUUGCAUAAAUUCAGUGAUGUUCAAUGUUCAGAGACUUGAAUAAAUUCAGUGAUGUUCAAUGUUCAGAGACCUGCAUAAAGUUCAAUGUCGUUCGUGUAAUUGUGUUCUCAUGUUCAGAGAUCUGCAUAAGAUUCAGAUCAUCCAGGAUUUUUGUGAUAUGCUUUUUUAAUAGUGUACUAGUACUGGACAUGUUCUGAUUUAGAGAAUAGGUGACAGUGCUUUUUGAAAUUUUUAUCUCAGGUAACAAUGGUGAAACAGCAAGCAAUAUAUAUGUACGUAUAUAAGAUGUACAUCUUGUUCCAGUUUAUGUUGUGAGGAUGUGAGGCUGUGAGCUGCAUCUAUUUUUACACACAGUUUGAAAUUGCCCCCCCCCCCUUGGUCGCUCGUCACUCCGUUGGCCAAUCUAUCUAACACCACUUGUUCUACUUGAGUUUUAUCAUAUAAAGUUUGAUUGGACCAAAUAGUUGCUCACAUAUUUCCAAGAAAAUCUCUCAGAAUUGACUUCUAGGCGAGCAAGCAAUUCAACAAACACUUAGAGUGCAUUGCCUACAUGAAGGAAGGAGACGAAGGAGAAGAGGAUCAAGAUUUGAGAUGCAUAAAUGAAGGAGCCACUUUGGUUGAUUUAAUGCUAAAACUGUAGGGGCUAUGGGAUUCAAGGGAUCACCUGCUUGACGUGGUUGAGGCUGAAGAUGCUAGAUGGAGGCGAGAGCUGCUUGCUGGGUGGUGUACCGAUGGACAAACGGCGCAGCUUCGUGUGAAGGAUGAGAUCGGCUCGGAUGCGGCUUCGUGACGGUGAGGACGGAGUCGAGAGGAGCACCGCUUCGUGACGGUGAGGACGACGGACACCGACGAGGCUCCAACUGGUGACCUUGUUGAUGGAGGAAAAAGGGAGUCGUUAGCGGGCGGAGCUAGCGGCAGAGGGCAGCGCUUGAGGAUGAGGCUGCUACCGUGCGGUGUGCGGGAAUGGAGGCGCGCAAGGAAUUGGGAGGUUGGAUAAUGGAGAGGUGGGGAAGAUGGCGUGGAGGAAAAAUAGAAGGCGGUAAUAUAUGAAAACGAAAAUUUAGAGUCGCGGGAAGUCUUGCGAGCGGUAAAGAAAACAUCUGUAGCGUCAAAAUUUGUUAAGCGAAAAUAUUCCGGAAGGCCAAAUUUAAUUAACUGCGAAUAGUUUGGCAGCUCUAAGUAAUCACAUAUAUGUAUGUGUUAAAAACGCAUAUAUCGAUAAAUAAUUUUUUAGGUGUAUCCUUUAUUGGAUAAAUCCGUAUGCUUUGUUUUUUUUCAAAAAAAAUAUCAAACUUCAUUGAAUAAUAUACGUAUCCAAGUAACAUCGAUACAGCAUAAUAAAAAUAAUAAAGGCAGUGGUAGAUCGAAGUUGAGCUUGCCCCUCCUCCGUGCGCUGCCGUGUCGACUGCAGACGCCGCCCCGGCGUGCCAUCCCUUCACCUAGCCCUUGUCGGCGACGGGGACGGCGACUCGCAGCGACUCCUCCAAGCCGAUCUAGACCAGCUGGUCACUGGUGCGGUGUCGGUGUCGGUGUCCGAUGUGGCAAACGUGGACCGACCUUGCGCCACUCAUGUCACUCCUUCUCCUGUGCCACCCUCUUGGCCGACGAGAGGGUGCUACAUGGUGAUGUGUCGUUGCCAUGUCGAGGUAAUGGAGGAGGCGCCCAGGAGAACUCCUCCUCCUUCAUGACCUUGUCACACCGGUUGCGGCGCGGCGGUGAUGACAGUCGGUCAAAACGGUCAAACGUGAUGCGCGAGGGGGGUGGCUCCUCCUUGAGGCGGCAUCUGGUUUGGUCUCCACAGUUUCAUCAGAGGGGAGGCUUCUCAGUCCACAUGUUCAUUUAAGCUUCUAACAGUGGUCAAUGUAGUACCUCGCUUGAAGCACCGCACCGCCUCCCAUUUCAAGUAUCUCACACCGCCGGUCAUAGUCCACACCCAACUCCGGUUGGAGGAAAAAUGCAGUUGGUUCAAAAUAAACCUACCACACCGAUUCCAGCAAAUCGUGUGGCUGGCUCCAGUGUCUAGCAGGGCCACUGUCACCAUUUCGAGCUGGAGGCAUGGCCGGUUGCAACAUCUCACGCCAUGAUAUUUUUGUUAUCGUGAGGCGCUCCCGUUGCUUCCUUUGGUUUUAGAAACAUUACACAUCCAUUUCCCUUGAUACGUUAUAAAUGACCGGCCAACUAAGGAACAAGCAUGAACCUACCUCUUGCUCCUGGUUUUCAAGGCCCCCCAAAGCUUCCUUGGUCUGGUUAUAAGAAGCAUCCGGAAGCUUGUCAGGUUUUUAAGUCAGUUAUCUUUAUCUUGUUUAGGUUAAUUUCGGACAGGUUUUACUACGUUUUCCUGGAUUUUCCCUUUUUCCCUUUAUCUUUUUUUUUUACUUUUUGUUUCAAUUUCUUUUUUUCUUUUUCAAAUUGUUGACGUUCUUACAAAUUUGUGAACUUAUUUUUAAGAAUUCCCAAACUUUUUUAAUUAAUGAAUAUUUUUUUCAAACCGUGAACAUUUUUCAAAUUCACAAUAAUUUGAAGUUCACAAACAUCUCUUGAAUUGUUGAACUGUUCCCUAAUUUGUGAAAUUUUACAUGUUUUUGCAAAAAAAAGCUUUGAAACCAUAAACAUUUUUCAAAUUCGCAAAACUUUUUCAAAUACUCAAACUUUUUUGAGGUCAUGGAUAUUUUUUACAUUCAUUUUUUUAGUUUGUGAUUAUAGUUCUUUGAAUUGGUGAACUUUUUCAAAUUCACGAACAUUUUCAGAAGGCAUGAACCUUUUUCAAAUUCAUGUUUUUUUCAAGAAUGCAAACAUUUUCUUGAUUUCCCACCAAAAUUUUGAACUUUUAUAAAAGUCAACGGCCAUAUGUGGGUGUUCCAGGAUUUUAUGAUUUUCCACUUUCUCCAUUUUUGUUGACUAUAAUUUGUUCUGGUUAACUGGGAUGUCAACCAUGCAAAGUCGAUGCCAUGCACUUGCAAAAUACUCCCAAGUGAACUUCAAGCAUCCAAUCAGGACAAGUGAACCUGAAGCACACUUCAUUAGUACUCCCUCCGUUCCUAAAUAUUUGUCUUUCUAGAGAUUUCAACAAAUGACUUUAUACGGAACAAAAUGACUGAAUCUACAAUCUAAAAUAUGUCUAUAUACAUCCGUAUAUGUUAGUCCAUUUGAAAUCUUUAAAAAGACAAAUACUCCCUCCGUUCCGAAUUACUUGUCGCAGAAAUGGAUGUAUCUAGAUAUAUUUUAGUUUUAGAUACAUCUAUUUCUGCGGCGAGUAAUUUAGAAUGGAGAGAGUAUUUAGGAACGAAAAGAGUACAAAGUAGUCCACCGAAUUCCGAGUGCUCCUAGCUUUUUUUUUUUUGAGCCACCGAGUGCUCCUAGCUGACGCUCGCGUGUAUCAAAACGAGCAGCUUCCGCUGAAGGAUUAGCGCAAAACGGGCCGGCCCAUUCCCACGAGCGAACAAUGGCCCAUUCCUACGAGCGAACCUAUAAAGAGAAAUGCCACAAAAAAUGAGGCGUUCGAUGGACUCGAACCAACGACCCAUCGCGAUACAGCUGCUUUGUUCGCCACUGCACAAGUGACUCACCAUAUGUUAAAUUACAGAGCUCAAAGAUAGGCAUUAUGUAUAGAGGUAGGUCCGUCUUUUAAUCAUUCCUUCAAGAAAUGAAUAAUGUUUUCUCGAACAAAAUUUUAAAACGUGAUUUUACAAAAAAACGUGAAUAAUUAUUGACCAUGGAUGAAAAUCCAAACAUUUGUUGAAUUUUUAUAAGUUUCAAAUAUACAUUCAAUUUUUUUGUGAAUAUACGCCGAACAAUUUUUAACUACACAGUGUAAUUUUUUGUGAUAUACGAUGCACAAAUUUUAAAUAUACAUUGAACAUUUUUAUAAUAUACACUGAACUAUUUUUAACUACACGUUGAACAAUUUUGUUAUAUACACUAAACAAAUAUUAAAUACAUAUUGAACAUUUUGUGAUAUACGCUGAACAAUUUUUAAAUUUUGAACUUUUUUUUUAAAAAAAAGUGAACAAAAUUUGGAAUUCGAACCAUUUUAUUGAAAACAAAGUAUAAAAGUAAAACAAAAAAGGAUAAGAUGAAAGAAAAGAAACAGAAAAAGAAAACAAAAAGGUAAAAAAAUGAAACAGGAAAAAACGGAAAAACUACCAAAAGAAAAAAAAAACUGGUUCAGGGAACCUCCGAAAACCAGGUCUCGCUCGAAGUGGGCCGGCCUGUGCGCCUCGUUCGCUCGCUUCACUUCAGCGAAGCAACAACGAACGGACGCACACGGGCGUCAUAUAGGAUCUGCCCGGAAUUCCCAAGAAGAACCCCAGCUCCGCCAUUGCGUCAGGCGACGGGGGAGCUUGGGCUUUGGGGAGACCGGUGUCGGGUGGCAGGGGAGCUUGGGCUGGAGGGAGGAUAUCAGCAUAUGGCGGCUAGGGAACUUGGCUGGGAGGAGCAGCGGGGGCGGCGAGGGAGCUCUGGCCAGAGGGAACCAUCGUCGAGCGGCGGGGGAGCAAAGUGGAGCGAAGCAGGAGUUCAGGCUAGGGGCAAGUGGCGGCGGCAUUAGAUCUAUGACAGGUGGCGACCGUCGGCGGCUUGAGAGCUUUGGUUGGGGGCAAACGGCGACGGGAGUGAAGAGGUGCCGAGCAACGGCGGUGCUAAGGACUAACCAUCAUAGUAGAUCAAUUUGUUUAGUCCAGGAGUCGCGUAUAGUAGUACAAAGCAGAUUGCAAAAAUACCAAAGGGUAUAUAGGUCAUUCCAUCAGGAUUUAUCAAGUUAAAUAAAUUAAAAAUCAGAAAAACGCCACUCAGGGCAAAUAAUCAGUAAAUUAAUGUAAGUAUCUAUAUAAGUCUAAAUCAAAUGUUGCAAGUCAACAAGUGCCAAACUAAAAUAGGGCAAAUCAUCAAAUCCCUUGUAUCUUUGGGAUGAUUAAGGAUUUUUUUCCGGGGAGAUAUGAUUAAGGUUUUUGUUUUAACAUGAGAAUAUUACAGACGCAAUAUGAUAUUACUUAAGAGACUAGUAUGAAUGUGAUGAUUAAGGUCACAAUUAAAUAACAAAAUGCCUCUUGGUCAUUUUGUUCGUGCAAUUACUCGGGUCAUCUAUUCGAAUUUUACACAACUGCAAUUUAUUAGCCUUUUGAGUACAAAAAAAUUGAUUAUAGUCGCAUAUAAAGCGUCUCACAAAUUGUCUCUAAGUUAAUUAAAAUUAUAUACCUAUUUUCUAAAUGGCCAAUUAUAAGAAAAAGUUUGUGACGCCCUAUAAACAUCUUAAGAAGCGUUUUAGCUUGGUAGUGUUCAUGGGCAUAGAGACGAAUACUGUGACACCCUAAAAUUUUGACCUUAUUUUAAUAAAUUAAAAUUUUGCCAGGAGAUUAAAACUUUUAUUUUCUGGGGCCCCUUUUUAUUUUUGAACCAUUUUUCUCCCUUGUUAUUAUGGAGUUUUUUUCCAAAGUGAAAACUUUGCAAAAUAUGUUAUUGGACUUGUUUAACCUCUCAAGAAAAACUCUUCUUUUAUUAGUAGAACUAAUUACAUAAUUAAUUUGCCUGAUCUUUAUUUUCUUAAAAAUUGGUUUUCAAGGUUACAUGGCCAUAUUUGAACUACAACCAUUUGAUAAAUUCACUUAAAGUUCCAACCAAAAUUUGGAGAUGUCAUGUGAUGGUUUUAAAUCACUUUUAUGCCAAAAUAUCUUUUAUUCAUGUAAUAUUUUGAGCUCUGCAUCAAUUUUUCUUCUCUGGUCCAGAGUGCAAUUUUUCACUGCAACUCAUUUAAAUAUUUCUUUCUAGCCUCCACCAAAAUUAUAGGAUGUUGAUAGUAGCUUAUGAUUCAACUUUAUGCAAAAAACCCAAUGAUGUUAUUUGAAGUUUUUGAGCGAAUCAACCUCAUUUUCAUUCUGUUCCAACAAGUCCAACCCAUUUUUGGAUUUUAUUUCAUUUAUUCUAUUCCCCAAGACUUUUCUGUCAAUUAUUUUAAGCCUGGGUGAUUUGCAAAGCAAGUACCUAAUUUCUUUUGAGUUUUGAUCUCAAACCAACUCCUCUGGAUAGUCCUUAGCACCCACAACCUAGGACCAUCAAGAUCCACUCUUCUUAUUUUCAAAAUUUUCAAGUUUCAGCCUCUGCAAGUUUGGACCAGAUUUGUCAAAUUUGGUGAAAUUCAUAUAUUCUCUUCUCCAAAAAUUCUACCAAAAUUCAGGCAGCCUCCAGGUGCAAUGAGAGGCCACCCCACCAAAAAUCAGCUCAAGCAAAGUUCUCCACAUGCCAAAAUCAUUUCGUCGAACACCUGGCCGGCACUGUUACUGUGCACUUUCAGUAAAAUUCAGAGUUUUACAGUGUCAUUUUUCGUCAGGGACUUGUCAUCGAUCAACUGUGCGCCCUGGCGCGUUGCGCUCGGCCUCUCCUCCCUGGCCAGAGCACCGCACGCCCCCUUGGACGGGCACAGGUGUCGGUGGCGGCGAGCAUCGCCAGAGUUGGCAGCUUCUGCGGUGGCAAAGCCACCCGUGGCGGCCGACAGGAGACAGCGCCAGCUCGCAACGCCGUUCGGCGCCGCCCAACACUCCCCUGCCCUCCGCGUGGCCUCAUGCACGCCAGCGCACCCCGCAGCACCGUCGCCGUGGCCCGGCAGGCACAGGGCGCGCCCUCUGCCGCCGACGGGCCCGCGCCGCCCCGUUCCGUCGAAUCCACCCAGGGCUCCUAAUCCAAGCUCGUUUAGCGCCAAAACAGAACCAGUGGACCUCCAUGUUGUUGCCCAACCUCCUAAACUCCCCGACCAAUCACUGCGCCGCCGUAACCAUCGCCGGACUUAUCCCGUUCACGGCAACCGCCUCGGGCCGACUAUAUAUAGCGCCCCCAAGCUCACUCUUGCCCCCGCACACCUCCACCACCACACUGGACCCCGCCCAGCAACUGGAAGAGCCUCGAGGGGCCCUUCUUCCUUGACUCCGGCCGCCUCGUUCCGCCUCGGCCUUCGUCUUGAUUCACUCCGAUGAGACCAUCCCCGGCGCCCAAACUUCGUCAGUAACCUCCUCGAGCAUCCAGAGAGCUAAGCCCCACUUCGAUUCGAUCCUUGCAGCCCUCCUCGGCGAGCUCCAUCAACGCCCGAACCACCGUCCGCCGGAGCAAGGGCCGCCGUCGAUGUGGUGCUCACCGGCGACCACCACCACCACCCACCGACGUGGAAGGACACGGUGAACACGUUGGUAACCUUCGAUCCCCCUGCCUCGCCGUCGAUCGCCGCCGGCGACCACCGCGGCUCUCAGGCACCGUCGAGCUCUGCCGCCUCUUUUGAAAUUUCAAACCUGACGGGCGAGACCCGCCUGUCAGCCUCUCUGAUCUUUUAAACGAACCGUUUUCUGAAAACGUCUUCUGCCAAAAUGCAUCUCCCCUCUGGGCCAGCGUAUUCUCAAUCGAAGCGUUUUCUGUUUUUAUAAGUUAGCCCCUGGGCUGUUUCAUUACAGAUGAGUCCCUAGAUUAAAACUCUUAUAACUUUUAAACAGAAAAUGUUUUUUGAUUGAUUCUUUUUCUGUCAUCUUUAAAUUUUUGUCUAGUUUUUUAUCAUAUUUAUUUGAAAAAAAUUUCGAACAACUUUUUUGUGCUGUUUUGAAAUUGUGUGUUAAUUCAAAUUUAUUGAAAAUAGGAUUUUGGAGAGAGGAAGAAAACUUUCAAAAGUUUUGGAGAGCACCCCCACCUUUCCACACCAUGAAGGCAAGCAUCUUGAACCCUGGCAUAAUAUUUCUGGUGUGUUAGUUGAUACGAUUAUAGCACCACCUCAUUUCGGAGAUCUCGUUAUUUUAUGUGGUGAUACGAUCAUUUGCAUGAAUGCAUAUUAGUGAUUUUCCUUGUUGUUGCGAAUGUAUAUACUUGUGAUGGUAAUCAUCCUCAUGUGCCUUGCAUGCAUGCCGGAAAGGAAUCCGGGAAAGCCUCUGCCUUGGGUAGGAGUGAGCUUGUCGCCGGUCCCCGUCGGGACGGUUAUGUCCGGUAUGGCAUAGUAAGGUAUAAUGGGUGGUGAUUUCGUCGGUUGAAAUAUAUUUGAUAUACAUGUUAUGCAGGGAACUUAUAAGCCUCCUGAGUCGGCCAUAGAUCGAGUCUUGUUCCGGUAACCCCCAUACUUGUUUCGUACUGCCACUGGUCCCUACCGUAGGUGGGGUAUGGUUCAGUAAGUUGUUAACCCUUGUCUUGGCACACACCGUACAGAGAGGCCAUGGUGGAAGAUACCGGUUGUAGCCGGUAGGCAUGCCACCUGGUCCGGGGGCAUGGGUGUAUCCGGUUGGGACCGAGAGGGGGGCACUCCUUAGGGCGCGCGAUAGAAAUUUGAUCCCAUGCUACGCGAGGUUGUAGCCUCCCCACUUAGAGUUUUGCUUAAUAGGUGUCAUGGGUGAUUCCAGACACGAGUAAAAGCUGGUGUGUGCAAGUCAGGUGUGUUUCAAUUAAAAGACCGUUGACGGAAUUAGUCCGAUGGACUAAAGGAAUCCGUUACUCGUGGGUAAAGAGUACACCCUCUGCAGAGAUAUUAAACCUAUUCGAAUAGCCGUGUCCAUGGUUAAGGACUACAGUCUGGGAUGGGUCAAGUGUCGGUCGUAGUGUCGGUCUUCGGAGGAGAAACUACUAAACCCGAAUAUUGAUCAUGACUUGUGAUAUAUGAUGGUUAUGAUUAUUAUCAUUAUGGACUAACCGUUUGCAUUGUUUGAAAUAAUGAAUAUCCCUGGGACGGUACCACCCCCUGGAUAUUCACUAUGAUUAUGUUUAUAUAUAUAUAAGCCCUUUAUGUGGCGUCGCUCAUAUGCCCGACUGUGGCAGGUUCGUUAUUUUAUUUACUUCAUAAGCCCUUUAUGCGGUGUCGCUCAGACGCCCGACUGUGGCAUGCUUGUUAUUUUAUUUACUUCAUAAGCCCUUUAUGUGGUGUCGCNNNNNNNNNNNNNNNNNNNNNNNNNNNNNNNNNNNNNNNNNNNNNNNNNNNNNNNNNNNNNNNNNNNNNNNNCGUCGCUCAGAUGCCCGACUAUGGCAGGUUCGUUAUUUCAUUUUUAUAUAAGCCCUUUAUGCGGUGUGGCUCAGACGCCCGACUGUGGCAUGCUUGUUAUUUUAUUUACUUCAUAAGCCCUUUAUGUGGUGUCGCCCAGACGCCCGACUGUGGCAUGCUUGUUAUUUUAUUUACUUCAUAAGCCCUUUAUGCGGUGUCGCUCAGACGCCCGACUGUGGCAUACUUGUUAUUUUAUUUACUUCAUAAGCCCUUUAUGUGGUGUCGCUCAGACGCCCGAUUGUGGCAUGCUUGUUAUUUUAUUUACUUUAUAAGCCCCUUACGUGGUGUCGCUAAGACGCCCGACUGAGGCAUGCUCACUUUUACUAUCCUUUCGAGACGUCACUUCAGACAUCCGAUUGGUGUAUUUUAUUUCUNNNNNNNNNNUAUUUACUUCAUAAGCCCUUUAUGUGGUGUCGCCCAGACGCCCGACUGUGGCAUGCUUGUUAUUUUAUUUACUUCAUAAGCCCUUUAUGCGGUGUCGCUCAGACGCCCGACUGUGGCAUGCUUGUUAUUUUAUUUACUUCAUAAGCCCUUUAUGUGGUGUCGCUGAGACGCCCGACUGUGGCAUGCUUGUUAUUUAUUUACCUUAUAAGCCCUUUAUGUGGUGUCGCUAAGACGCCCGAUUGAGGCAUGCUCACUUUUACUAUCCUUUCGAGACGUCGCUUCAGACAUCUGAUCGGUGCAUUUUAUUACUAUUCUGUCAUUACCUAUUCCUGUUGCAUAUAAAUAACCUGCUUGCAUGCCUCGGGAUUUUAUUUUCAUGACUGAAGUUGUGAUUAUAGAAUAUUUUCAGAGCAUGAAUAUUGUUUGCUAUAUUAUACCCGUGUUCAUAAUGUUUGCGAGUACAUUCAAAAGUACUCACUGGCUUGUCCCUGGCUAUUGUCUUGGCCAGAUUGCUUGCUUGGAGAGGAGCAUUGCGAUGACAGUCUCGGAACCUAAGCACGGUGAUAGCAGCCUCGCGAAGAUAGGAGUUAACCUGGUCAGCUGUUCCUGUGGGAAAUGGAGUCCCAUAGACCGUGGUGAACCACAAACCGCUUCCGCCAUCGACCACUAGAAACCAAUUGUUGUACUCACAGACCCGAAUGGUCUUGUACUACACAUUUUGUAUUUUUGCUUGGAAUUUUUGUAUCAAGUUGGUGCCUCAUCAGCUAACAGUAAUCCUGGGGCUGGUGAGCACAACGGCCAUUUUCUGGAAGUUAAUACCCGGAAAACCGGUCACGAUAGAAUUGGUAUCAGAGCCAGGCUGACCAUUGGCUAAUCCUAUCUUAGCCAGGUCAAUAAACUUACGCAGACCAAUCCAUCAAGCCAUAACCAAACCAAGCUUCUCAUACAAGAUAGCCCCACAGUGACCCGACACCUUUUGGCAGUCGGUGCCCAACCUAUCAACCUAAGCAUGUUGAUCACGCGCCAGUAACCGGCCCCUAAAUAGUCCUUUCUCGCAAACGUGCGAAGGAAGACUCCGUCCCCUUUUCCUAUAAAAAGGGGCACGCUAGCCCCAACACAGCACAGCACAGCCUCUAUCCCAAACCAAGCUACAAUGCCUGGCCCUGUCGUGCACAAUGAGACCACAGCAACCAACCUUGGAGGCUUUGUGACCAUACUCGCAAACCUCACCCGUCGUGCCUAUGCGUUAGAAGAGCCCCCAGAAUAUGUUGUGUACCAAGGACCCAUGAGCGGUGAGAGCCGACAAUUCUGGGCCACUGUACACAUCUACGGUAGGGGUCUAGCGCCCGAGCGCCCCUACAGGUUCACCGGAAGGACAACUUCCUUUGAGCCUCAAGCCAUCCAACUAGCCGCUCGAGAGGCUAUAGUUCAUCUCCGGCACUUGUCGCCCAGAGUUAAUUGUCGCUCGUUCCACUACUACCCCGGACGUGAAGGGUAUGGUAGGCCACCCGAAGUUGCCAACGGAGAUCACGAGAUAGAUCCUGCAUUGUUGCAUCUAGUGCGCUAUGUAGGUGCACUAGAGGAACUGUUCGAUCAAAUCACCAUUGAUCUAAUCGCAGCUCGUGGAGAACUGGUUCGUCAAGCCCCGGCGAGAGAAGAGAACGAGCCCAACGCCAACAAUCCAGUCGUGCUGUUUGGACACCCGAUCGAGUCCCUGAGAUCUGCCCCAGCCAUCGGCCAAGGUGCUGCGAUAACCCCAGAAGUGCUUCGUCGCAUAUUGGGAGCACACUCCAAUGGGGUUGUGGCCAACAAUCCCCGAGAUGGUCCUCAUCGCUACCCCGAGCCUGUAGCCCCUCAACCCAAUCCAGCUAAUCCCGAUAGUGAGACCAGAGGAGAAGCCUCGACAUCCACAAGGCACGCCCGCUUGGAUAUAAACGAGGUAGACUAAGUCACUCGAGUAGUGUCGAGUCCCAGUGUAUCCUCACUUUGUAAUCGUGUGACCUUGUAAAUAAACGCCGCCUGUUGUUGUGCCUCUAUAGCCUUACAUGGAUAUGACAGCAUGCAGUAUAAAUUUCUAUCCAAGACACAGUUACCAAAAACCUCUCCGACAACCCCCACAGUAACACGUCACAUUAGUGUAUCUGUUGCUUGACCCCAACCCGUGGAGCAGAGCUGGAAAUUUCAUUGCCAUUCACCACGGUAAAAUGACCCAGCUCCGGUGCUAUAAAAAGGCCACCGCGUGACCUUGCCAAGCACCCCUCAUCUUGUGCACCAUCCUCACAACCAUUUCUUGCCAUGCCAAGCCCUAGUAUUUAUCUGAGAACCCCAGAUGCAACCCUGGGUAGUUUUGUCAAAAUAUUGUGGGAUUUUACCUGCAGUACCAUGGGCGCUACCCAGCCACCCCAGUACGAGCUGUUCAAAUCGAGAAUCACUCCUUCCACCUCGAGAUAUUGGGCAGCAGUACACAUCCCUCCCAUAAACUCAAACCAAGACCCAACGGAGGUCUCCUUCGUGGGGAAAUCUAUGCCGACCCCGUAUAUGGCCAUAGAAGCUGCUGCAUACGAAGCGCUUGCUCGCCUUCGAUUCGCGGUACCCUAUGCCAGCAAACGAGGGUAUUAUUACUUUCCGAGCCGUGCAGCACCCGGAGGAGUAACAUCUUUUCCCGGUGGACGAACUGAGAGAGACCCAGUCCUGGCCAACCUUGUCCAGUACACCAUCGCUCAAGAACGUUUAACCCAACGUGUGAUGGGUUAUCUCCAGAGCCUCGCAGAUUUAAAUCCUCAGAUUGCCAUCGGCAGAUCAGUAAGGCCUGACCAGGAGAGACGCGUUCAUCGGUUGAUCAAUUCGCUCUCCCCGAUAGAAGAGGAGUGUGUCCCAGUACCAGAGACGUUUUCUCGGGACCCCGUCCAGUUACCGUUUCCAUUUUAGACGUCGAUGUUGUGUUCAUUAUUGCGACAUUUAUUUAUGUGUUGUAAGUUAUGCGUGAUACCCUGAGUUUGUACGACGAGUCAAUUAUUUGUCUUCUACUAAUGUGUGUAGUUUUGUUGUGGUUUAUGCUCCUUUAAAUUAACCAUUUUCCCUCGUGAAAAAAAAAUCCCGGAAUAAGAUUUCUUUUCCCGGAGCUGCUGCAUCAUACACCUUCUCACGACGUGGAUUAUUUUACUUCACACAGUACCAUGACAGCAGACUCACAACCACAAUCGCUCGAACGCAUACCCUGCUUGCAAAAACACGUAACCGUGGAGUAUUUAUUUCUCAAAACAAAUCCUAACAAAUCUCGAGGACGAGAUUUUUUCUUAAGGGGGGUAGUGUUGUGACACCCCAAAAUUUUGACCUUGUUUUAAUAAAUUAAAAUUUUGCCAGGAGAUUAAAACUUUUAUUUUCUGGGCUCCCUUUUUAUUUUUGAACCAUUUUUCUCCCUUGUUAUUAUGGAGUUUUUUCUCCAAAGUGAAAACUUUGCAAAAUAUGUUAUUGGACUUGUUUAACCUCUCAAGAAAAACUCUUAUUUUAUUAGUAGAACUAAUUACAUAAUUAAUUUGCCUGAUCUUUAUUUUCUUAAAAAUUGGUUUUCAAGGUUACAUGGCCAUAUUUGAACUACAACCAUUUGAUAAAUUCACUUAAAGUUCCAACCAAAAUUUGGAGAUGUCAUGUGAUGUUUUUAAAUCACUUUUAUGCAAAAAUAUCUUUUAUUCAUGUAAUAUUUUGAGCGCUGCAUCAAUUUUUCUUCUCUGGUCCAGAGUGCAAUUUUUCACUACAACUCAUUUAAAUAUUUCUUUCUAGCCUCCACCAAAAUUAUAGGAUGUUGAUAGUAGCUUAUGAUUCAACUUUAUGCAAAAAAACCCAAUGAUGUUAUUUGAAGUUUUUGAGUGAAUCAACCUCAUUUUCAUUCUGUUCCAACAAGUCCAACCCAUUUUUGGAUUUUAUUUCAUUUAUUCUAUUCCCCAUGACUUUUCUGUCAAUUAUUUUAAGCCUAGGUGAUUUGCAAAGCAAGUACCUAAUUUCCUUUGAGUUUUGAUCUCAAACCAACUCCUCUGGAUAGUCCUUAGCACCCACAACCUAGAACCAUCAAGAUCCACUCUUCUUCUUUUCAAAAUUUUCAAGUUUCAGCCUCUGCAAGUUUGGACCAGAUAUGUCAAAUUUGGUGAAAUUCAUAUCUUCUCUUCUCCAAAAAUUCUACCAAAAUUCAGGCAGCCUCCAGGUGCAAUGAGAGGCCACCCCACCAAAAAUCAGCUCAAGGAAAGUUCUCCACAUGCCAAAAUCAUUUCGUCGAACACCUGGCCAGCACUGUUACUAUGCACUUUCAGUAAAAUUCAGAGUUUCAGAGUUUUACAGUGUCGUUUUUCGUCCGGGACUUGUCAUCGAUCAACUGUGCGCCCUGGCGCGUUGCGCUCGGCCUCUCCUCCCUGGCCAGAGCACCGCACGCCCCCUUGGACGGGCACAGGUGUCGGUGGCGGCGAGCAUCGCCGGAGUUGGCAGCUUCUGCGGUGGCAAAGCCACCCGUGGCGGCCGACAGGAGACAGCGCCAGCUCGCAACGCCGUUCGGCGCCGCCCAACGCUCCCCUGCCCUCCGCGUGGCCUCAUGCACGCCAGUGCACCCCGCAGCACCGUCGCCGUGGCCCGGCAGGCACAGGGCGCGCCCUCUGCCGCCGACGGGCCCGCGCCGCCCCAUUCCGUCGAAUCCACCCAGGGCUCCUAAUCCAAGCUCGUUUAGCGCCAAAACGGAACCAGUGGACCUCCACGUUGUUGCCCAACCUCCUAAACUCCCCGACCAAGCACUGCGCCGCCGUAACCAUCGCCGGACUUAUCCCGUUCACGGCAACCGCCUCAGGCCGGCUAUAUAUAGCGCCCCAAGCUCACUCUCGCCCCCGCACACCUCCACCACCACACUGGACCCCGCCCAGCAACUGGAAGAGCCUCGAGGGGCCCUUCUUCCUCGACUCCGGCCGCCUCGUUCUGCCUCGGCCUUCUUCUUGAUUCACUCCGGUGAGACCAUCCCCGGCGCCCAAACUUCGUCAGUAACCUCCUCGAGCAACCAGAGAGCUAACCCCCACUUCGAUUCGAUCCUUGCAGCCCUCCUCGUCAAGCUCCAUCAACGCCCGAACCACCGUCCACCGGAGCAAGGGCCGCCGUCGACGUGGUGCUCGCCGGCGACCACCACCACCACCCACCGACGCGGAAGGACACGGUGAACACGUUGGUAACCUCCGAUCCCCCUGCCUCGCCGUGGAUCGCCGCCAGCGACCACCGCGGCUCUCAGGCACCGUCGAGCUCUACCGCCUCUUUUGAAAUUUCAAACCUGAUGGGCGGGACCCGCCUGUCAGCCUCUCUGAUCUUUUAAACGAACCGUUUUCUGAAAACGUCUUCUGCCAAAAUGCGUCUCCCCUCUGGGCCGGCGUAUUCUCAACCGAAGUGUUUUCUGUUUUUAUAAGUUAGCCCCUGGGAACUUUCUGUUUCAUUACAGAUGAGUCCCUAGAUUAAAACUCUUAUAACUUUUAAACAGAAAAUGAUUUUUGAUUGAUUCUUUUUCUGUCCUCUUUAAAUUUUUGUCUAGUUGUUUAUCAUAUUUAUUUGAAAAAAUUUCGAACAACUUUUUUGUGCUGUUUUGAAAUUGUGUGUUAAUUCAAAUUUAUUGAAAAUAGGAUUUUGGAGAGAGGAAGAAAACUUUCAAAAGUUUUGGAGAGCACCCCCACCUUUCCACACCAUGAAGGCAAGCAUCUUGAACCCUGGAUUAAUAUUUCUGGUGUGUUAGUUGAUAUGAUUAUAGCACCACCUCAUUUCGGAGAUCUCGUUAUUUUAUGUGGUGAUACGAUCAUUUGCAUGAAUGCAUAUUAGUGAUUUUCCUUGCUGUUGCGAAUGUAUAUACUUGUGAUGGUAAUCAUCCUCAUGUGCCUUGCAUGCAUGCCGGAAAGGAAUCCGGGAAAGCCUCUGCCUUGGGUAGGAGUGAGCUUGUCGCCGGUCCCCGUCGGGACGGUUAUGUCCGGUAUGGCAUAGUAAGGUAUAAUGGGUGGUGAUUUCGUUGGUUGAAAUAUAAUUGAUAUACAUGUCAUGCAGGGAACUUAUAAGCCUCCUGAGUCGGCCAUAGAUCGAGUCUUGUUCCGGUAACCCCCAUACUUGUUUCGUACUGCCACUGGUCCCUACCGUAGGUGGGGUAUGGUUCAGUAAGUUGUUAACCCUUGUCUUGGCACACACCGUACAGAGAGGCCAUGGUGGAAGAUACUGGUUGUAGCCGGUAGGCAUGCCACCUGGUCCGGGGGCAUGGGUGUAUCCGGUUGGGACCGAGAGGGGGGCACCCCUUAGGGCGCGCGAUAGAAAUUUGAUCCCAUGCUACGCGAGGUUGUAGCCUCCCCACUUAGAGUUUUGCUUAACAGGUGUCAUGGUUGAUUCCAGACACGAGUAAAAGCUGGUGUGUGCAAGUCAGGUGUGUUUCAAUUAAAAGACCGUAGACGGAAUUAGUCCGAUGGACUAAAGGAAUCCGUUACUCGUGGGUAAAGAGUACACCCUCUGCAGAGAUAUUAAACCUAUUCGAAUAGCCGUGUCCAUGGUUAAGGACUACAGUCUGGGAUGGGUUAAGUGUCGGUCGUAGUGUCGGUCUUCGGAGGAGAAACUACUAAACCCGAAUAUUGAUCAUGACUUGUGAUAUAUGAUGGUUAUGAUUAUUAUCAUUAUGGACUAACCGUUUGCAUUGUUUGAAAUAAUGAAUAUCCCUGGGACGGUACCACCCCCUGGAUAUUCACUAUGAUUAUGUUUAUAUAUAAGCCCUUUAUGUGGCGUCGCUCAGACGCCCGACUGUGGCAGGUUCGUUAUUUUAUUUACUUCAUAAGCCCUUUAUGCGGUGUCGCUCAGACGCCCGACUGUGGCAUGCUUGUUAUUUUAUUUACUUCAUAAGCCCUUUAUGUGGUGUCGCCCAGACGCCCGACUGUGGCAUGCUUGUUAUUUUAUUUACUUCAUAAGCCCUUUAUGCGAUGUCGCUCAGACGCCCGACUGUGGCAUGCUUGUUAUUUUAUUUACUUCAUAAGCCCUUUAUGUGGUGUCGCUGAGACGCCCGACUGUGGCAUGCUUGUUAUUUAUUUACCUUAUAAGCCCUUUAUGUGGUGUCGCUAAGACGCCCGAUUGAGGCAUGCUCACUUUUACUAUCCUUUCGAGACGUCGCUUCAGACAUCCGAUCGGUGCAUUUUAUUACUAUUCUGUCAUUACCUAUUCCUGUUGCAUAUAAAUAAUCUGCUUGCAUGCAUCGGGAUUUUAUUUUCAUGACUGAAGUUGUGAUUAUAGAAUAUUUUCAGAGCAUGAAUAUUGUUCGCUAUAUUAUACCCGUGUUCACAAUGUUUGUGAGUACAUUCAAAAGUACUCACUGGCUUGUCCCUGGCUAUUGUCUUGGCCAGAUUGCUUGCUUGGAGAGGAGUGUUGCGAUGACAGCCUUGGAACCUAAGAAACAGUGGUAGCAGCCUCGCGAAGAUAGGAGUUAACCUGGUCAGCUGUUCCUGUCGGAAAUGGAGUCCCAUAGACCGUGGUGAACCACAAACCGCUUCCGCCAUCGACCACUAGAAACCAAUUGUUGUACUCACAGACCCGAAUGGUCUUGUACUACACAUUUUGUAUUUUUGCUUGGAAUUUCUGUAUCAAGUUGGUGCCUCAUCAGCUAACGGUAAUCCUGGGGCUGGUGAGCACAACGGCCAUUUUCUGGAAAUUAAUACCCGGAAAACCGGUCGCGACAAAUACAAAUAGCGUCUCAGAAAAAGCGACCAUACAAGCCGUUUUUGUUGUAGUGACGUCAGCUCGCGAUAUAGGGCCGUGGUGGAACAUCCCCUUCUCAUCGAUGACUUCUUUCAUGAUGAUCGUCGCCAUGUCGCUUUGGAUGCGAAAGAAGUCAUCUCUAAGUUUAUAAUCCGCUUCCCCAUGAGGUUCUAGCCACUUGUGGAUAUGAUCAUCAUUUCUGCUUUUCAUGCGAAGCUUUUGGUGAUCCGUGUUGAAUUGAAUCAUGAGAUGGAUGAUGUAGAAUCCAUCCUUCUUGCUUGGUUUUGGGACAUGGAUGCAGGAGAAGUUAGUUUUAUGCGCGAAACCCAUCUUCUUAUUCCUUUGUUUCCUGAUCUGCAUGUGGCCACCUCUAAUGCUGAACCCUUGGAGAGCAUCAUCUAGAAUAUUCAUUAUGUGGGUGUAGUCUUUUUUCUCGUAGUCUCUGGAAGGGUCAAAAUACAUGGCGUGGGAGACUUGCGGGUAAAGAACGAUAAGGACGACGCGCCCGUUGCUGCGGGGAAAAGACACCUCAAAUUAUUCCCCAUAUGAGAGAGAAGGAAUGAUUGAAAUGUACGAAAGGGUUGACCGGAACUGACUUACUUUGGAUGAUAAGGCACGAGGACAAUUUCCCGGUCCUUAUUCUGUACCAUGAAUUUUUGGAGGUACUCCCUAGCAGUUUCGCGCUCAAAGUCGCUGAGACUCAAGAAAGACUCAUGCAUGUAGUACGGAACCGCCACACAGAUUUGCGAGACUUCUUCACUCUUCAUGACGGAGCUCAUAUGUAGCGCAAAAAGGCGGACGAUUGUAAAAUUGAGCCGCCUUGUCAGAAACAUCUCAAAGAUAUGGUCAAACCGCAUGAAGAACACCUCCACGGGCCGUGUGUCGACAUAGCAUUUCCCCUCAGGCACACGAGCCGUGUAUAUCGGAUAUCUUGGAUCCUUUGAGGCUAGUAGGCUUUUCUCAGUCGACAACACAUGGUCGUGCAGUCUCCUGAGAUCCCCUGAUAGUGCCUCAGCAGUUUCGGCGGUAGCAUCAGCUCGCCCUUGAGAUGGAACAUGGCCGCACCUUUCACGGGUACACGCUCUUCAGAAUGCAUCCUCUGGCUGCUUUGUGCUCUGGCUUGUUUGGAGGCAGUUAUCUUCCCCGAUCUCUUCCUCUCCUUUUUCUUGGGCAUACCUUCCAGACACUUCCUUAACCCCUGCCCCAGGGUUCCCGGGCUAAGCACUGUACGACCCUCGGAUAGUUGAGCCUGUGUUGAGGCGACAUCUUCAGGCGUGUCCUGUGAGGUAUUCAUGAAGAGAGACUUUUUGCAAUCCUUCCAACGACCUUCCUGCCCGGGCAUAUCAUCCAUAUCCUCAUUAGCAUGCUGAUAGCCUGAUUCGUCAUAUGGUUGACUCAUCAGAUCUAUGUCACAGUCAUACGCGUUUGUAUUGAGGAAACCCAUAGGGUCGACCUUCGUCUCAUCAUCCAUCUGCUGUACAGGACUGAUUAUAUCAGCCAGUACUAUUGCACCCCCUUCAUCAUGUCGUCCGCCGCUCUCACUCGGCACUACAGGAGCUGGUAAUUGCGUAGGCGGGGUGGUGGUCUCCGCACAUGCUUGUUGAUGUGUGGUUAUUGGUGUGCUCUCAGCCGGCUCCAGACGAAUAAGAUUCUUCGGCCAUAGCAGCACCCAACCCUUGCAGUUUCCAAUCCGUGGCGGGGUCUCAUCGUCCUCUCCCACGGGAUACAUCGGAGGAGGCAAAUGCUCAUGCCCCGAUUUCACACUGGACAAGUUAACCCUGAAGUGCCCAGCGGGGAUCGGCUCGUUGUGGAACGUGGGUUGCAUGGGGUUCAUUAUCAUCCCCUUUACCACGUCCACCUUCUGGCCUUUGAUCAAGUAGAGUAUGGUGCACGGGGUUUCUUCGCGCUGCAAACACAUAUGUCUGUGGCGUAAAACAUCCGAAAGGCAACGAAAAUGGAAUAUUCUCUCUCUCUCUCUAUAUAUAUAUAUAUAUAUGUUGGUGUGACAUGUAAUUACCGUGACAGCGUCGAGCUCAGCCAAAGACGAAGGCCCACCUAGCGCGCCAGAGACUGAGGACGGGCUGCUAUGAGCGGGAGCGACCGCGAGAGGAGGCUCGGUUGCGUGACCAAGUGAUGGUGCGGUGUUGUUGUUGUUCAUGGAGUUGCUCCCGACGAAACUGGGCAUCGGGAAAUCAUGUACCGUCUUGUCUGGAUUUUCCUUCGUCCAGUUGAUGAUAGAUGGAACCAAGUUAGUAGCGAAAUCAUUUCUGCAGGCAGUUACAGCUGCAUUGACUGCAUGUUGUAGCAACUCAUUUUUCUCCUCGGCUGUUUUUUCCGCGUCCUCAGCUGCUUUUUUCUCGACCGCAAGAUUCACCUUUGCGUUGAUGUCCACCUGACUAAACUUCUUUUUCUUCUUCUUGGCCUCCGGGCCCUCGUUGUAAAACACCUUCCAUGUGGCACCUUCUCCAGCGUCGUGCACACGACCAUAUUGCGGCCGCUGGCCCAAAGGGAGUCCCUUAAGUUCGUUCAAGGCCCAGUUGAGAGGGGUGUCCCACUUGGGCCUCGUCGGAGAAGUAGGGCUUUUGGCUGCAAGCUGGUGAUGCUUCCCCAGUAGUCUAAUCAAUUUCCUCGUGAUCUGGUCCAUGUAAAAAACCUUUUUCUCCUUGUCCCACUUGUAGCGGGCCCUGAUGAAGUCACGCUCCAAGGGGUUGGUGAACUUCGCGAAGGGGUCUGGGAGACCCGCGGCUUCACGUUCCACAUCCUCCUUAUCCCAUAUGGGCCUUUUACCGAGGUAGCCACGGCUUCCGAGGCGAUGCUUCCCCGUGUUCCUUUGCUGAAGGCUCUUGAAUUUCGCAGCCUUAGCCUUGGCUGCCUCGGUAGCGCAAGUGUCCUUGAACUUUUCGAACUCCUCUUCCGUAAGUGUCGGGUUUUCCUCCAGAAUCUUGGACAGGGGUUCCUCAGCCUCAAUAGCUCGUUUCACCCUCCCUUUACAAGAGGCCAAAUCAUUGCUAAACAUGCCCAUGGCGUGAUUGUUAAUCUUUUUCAUCUUCGGAUCAUCCCACGGUUGUUCUAUGUUAUCAUCCCGGUCGGGGAACUUGAAUCUCUUGUGCAACUUCGUUAGGAGCAACUGCGUCAAAUGUUCUUUACUCCUUAAGUCAUCGUCGUUGGUGCUCGCGCAUUCCCGUAGGAUGCAUCCUAAUUGGUUCCCAUAGCACUUGUGAGGUUCUUCCGGCUCUAAUGGAUCAGACUUGCCAGGUGCCAUCUUUGUGAUCACAAGUCGCCCAAUCCCUAGUUUGUUAGGUUUUCGUAUCCUCUGCUUCUUAUGCUUCCUCUUUUAGGUAGUGGCAUCGGCGCCGGUACCUUCCCCGCCGGUAUCUUCCCCGCUGGUACCUUCCCCACCGGUCUCGGCGCCGCCAUCGGUGCCGGCGCCGUCGGUGUCGAUGUCGGCGUCAAUACCAUCAUCGAGGCCGACCUGCAAACCUUGCUUAGCAGUCAAAUAGUCGAGGUACUCUUGUUCACCCUCAUAAUCCAUCUCGUCUGCAUCUUGGUCAGAAGGCCCAGUUUCUUCGUUGUUCGACAUGUUUCCUAUGAUUAAGUGUCCUCGUUUAUUUCUAAAAGUAUGAAUAAAUGAGAAAUGACAUAAAAAAGAAAUCUAUGUGCCAGCACUCGAUAUGCCAACUAUGUAGCACAAAUCAUGCAUGUAUUCACGGCAAAUUUCGGCAUGACCUUUGCUAAAAAAUGGACAUAUCGAGCAUCUGAAAUUCACCGGAACGGAAAUGAAUCAACAUUCCGGCAUAACAUAGGCCACUCAGAUCAUUUACCAAAAUUGAACCAAAACAUCACAUGUCCAAAUGACAUGUUUAAAUUCCAAAUGACAAAACGUGCUGCUCCUACCUUCACUAGCUGUAGCGCGUUUAAACAAAACGCGCUGCUACUACCUUCACUAGCUGUAGCGGUUUAGAUAAAACGCGCUGCUACUACCUUCACUAGCUGUAGCGGUUUUAUAAGGAAAUUGCUACUGCUAGCUUGACUGUAGCUGUUUUAUAAGGAAAUCGCUGCUGCCAGUUUUCCCUUUUCUUUUCCUUUAUUUUCUCCCACUUUUAUUUCCUGAGAGCAGUGAACGAAGGGAAGGCGAUAUAUAUUGCAUCAUUUGACGGUUAAAUAUGUAUACAAAAUAGUAACAUAUAUAUUACAUCAUUGGACCCAUGCAUAAUAAUGGCUAAGUGUGUAUACAAAAUAGGAACAUAUAUAUAUAUAUAUAUAUAUAUAUAUAUAUAUAUAUAUAUAUAUAUAUAUAUAUAUAUAUAUUACAUCAUUUGACCGAUAACAUACAAAAUAGGAAUCAAAAUAGGAAUGUAUAUUCCUCAGCGCUGACGUUUUUGUUUUUGAGUCAACUUCUUUCCCUUCUUGUUCGUCGAAGAAUAAUUGAGCCCCUCAGUGUGACUUUACCUUUUCCAUGGAGUACGAUUUUUCUUAGGUAAUGCAAUAUUGAUUCUUCUUUUGACGUAUGCUUUAUCAUCAUCAUCAUCUUCCCUCACUGGGUUGCCGUACUGAUCAUAGUCUUCCUCGUUGGCGACUCCAUCCAUUCCAAUGAUGUUCCUUUUGCCUCUCCUCACGACAACACGACUGGGAUUGCAUGGGUCGGUUAUGAAUAAGCAUUGUGUCACGUGCUUAGCGUGUACCCAUGGCUCGUUUUUGGCGAUAGCGUUCACAGUAGCGCUCUUGGCGUCGGGUAUAGUCAUGGUAGUGAAAAUCCGGUUUUCUCUUUCGACAUUCUUAGCCCAUCUGACAUGGAACAUCGUCGUGUUGUGCAGUCCAGAGUAGUCAAGCUCCCAAAUCUCCUCGACCCUUCCAUAAAAUCGUUCAGUUGCGCCAUUGUCGCUACCGGUCAUGCAUUCCAUCGUCACCCCUGAGUUCUGAUCAUCACUGUCCAUAUCUUUGGCCUCCGUGUAGAACGUGUAUCCGUUGAUAUCAUAUGCCUGAUAGGUUAUGAGGUUGGGUGAGGGGCCAUGUGCUAAGGCGUAUAUGAGCAAUCCACCCUUAGAGCCCUCCUCCGGGGGAUUAGCAAUAAUAUGCUCUUUGAACCAAUGCAGGAAAGUGGAGUUGUGCUCUCUAGUAACUUCGGCGUCCGUCCUGCAUACCCCCCGGUCACGAUACUUCUUUGCGAUAAUUUCUUUGUGCAGUGCCACGAAAGGAUCUACCUCGUCUAGGUGUUGUAGCACUACCAAGUUUGCUCUGUCAAAGUCGCUGCGUCGAUCUGAGUAUGCCACGUGCAGUUCCCUAUGACUGUUGCAGUGACCUUCUCCUUCGAGCCUCCCAUCGUGCUUGUUAACGGGCAAACCAACACUAACACCAGGCGACUGGUCUGCGCCAUAUAGAAAAUUCUCACAGAAAGAGAUGCACUCUUGUGUCACAUAGCUCUGGACGAUGCUUCCAUCCGGACGGGACAUGUUACGAACGAAUCCUUUGAUGAUCCCAUUCAUCCUCUCUAACGGCAUCAUGUUGUGCAGGAAUGACGGCCCCAGGUCUAUUAUGUCAUCCACAAUAUGGACACACAGAUGCACCAUCACGUCAAAGAACGCGGGCGAGAAGUACAUCUCAAACUCAUUCAGUAUCACAAUGAUCUCUUCCUGUAGCCUUCGGAGCUGCUUCACACUGAUCGACUUUCGAGAGAUGACGUCGAAAAAGUUGCAGAGACCAAUAAGCGUGUCACGGACGUGAUUGUCCAUUAUCCCUCUAAGAGAAACAGGUAGUAUCUGCGUCAUCAUCACAUGACAGUCAUGGGACUUCAUCCCGCUGAACCUUUUCUUGUCCGUGUCUAGAUAUCUGUUUAUCUUGCCACAGUAACCGCAACUAACUUUGACUCCGGUAAGGCACUUAAAGAAUUGAUGGAUCUCAGCCUGACUUAAGGUGAAGCAAGAAGGGGGGCAAUAAUCCUCUUUCUUUAUUUUCUUGCCCUUCUUCUCCCGUGCCUGUCUCCGUCUCUGUCUCGUUUGACAUUUUACGGGGCGGCAUGUGCAGGUCUUCCCUGAUUUUCAAAUCUUGCAAGUCUUUUCUUGCCUUCGGCCCAUCCUUGGUCUUAUCCGGCAUGUUCAUCAGUGUUGCGAGCAAGCUCUCAAGGACAUUCUUACAGAUAUUCAUUUGAUCAAGGUAAUGAGGUGUAUCGAGUUUGUGCCAGUACUCCAAGUCCCAGAGCACAGACCUCGUCUUCCAUACCUUCAGCAGCGGCUCCGGCGCCUUUCUCAUCGUCUUUCCUGGCGCAGGGCACUCCUUCCAGUUUUUAAACAGCUCAUCGAUUUCGGCACCGCUCCGCUUACGUGGAGGUCCUCGAUGCUCAGCGUGACCAUUGAAUAGAUCUCCACGGUUUCUCCAGGGGUCGUCCUGUUCGAGCCAUCUUCGAUGCCCCAUGUACACGAUUUUCCCAGACCCGCCAUCUUUCCUUGACGUUAGCUGCUGAGACGUCGUAUCAUCCAUGCACCGCGUGCAUCCGCAAUAUCCAUGGCACACCUGGCCUGCCACAUAUCCGUAACCAAGAUAGUCCUGCACUUUCGUGAUCAGCGCGACUCUCAUGUUGAAAUACUCGCCUUUGCUGGCGUCCCAUGUCUUGGCCGGUGUUUUCCAUAAUGUGUCUAACUCCUCUUGAAGUAGCCCCAGAUACAAAUUAAUAUUAUUUCCUGGUUGUUUUGGCCCUUGAAUAAGCGUGCUCAUGUGAAUGUACUUCGAUUUCAUGCACAACCAGGGGGGAGGUUGUACAUCCAUACAAACAUGGGCCAUGUGCUAUGGUUGGUGUUCUGGUUGCCAAACGGGUUCAUGCCAUCGGUACACACGCCGAGCACGAUGUUCCUUGCAUCACAUUCAAAAUACCGAUAGAAACUGUUCAAUGCUCUCCACUGGCUUCCAUCCUUGACGUGUCUCAGCUUCGGAUCAUCUCCAUCGUUGGGCUUCUUCCUCUCAUGCGUGCCAGCGCAUUAGCUUUGCUUCCUUGGGAUCUACAAAAUACCUCUGGAGACGGGGAAUGAUCGGUAAGUACCAUACCACUUUCUGGGGACAUUUCUUCCCGGCCUUCUUGUAUCGAGAAGCAUUGCACACCGGAGAGCUUGUUUUUUCCGCGUGCUCCUUACGAUAAAUUAUGCAAUCGUUGGUGCAUGCAUGGUAUCUCACGUGUGGCAAAUCAAGAGGGCACACGAUCUUCUUGGCCUCAUCAACACUACUAGGACAUAGAUUACCCGCGGUAAGAACAUCCUUUAGGUACUUGAGAUGCUCAUCGAGGCUAGUGUCGGUCCAUUUGUUUUUAGCCUUCGUCUUCAGGAGUUGGAGCGUGAAACUCAAGCGGGUCACCUCAGGAUUGCAACCAUCAUACAAUGGAGUGUUCGAGUCUACCACUAGUUGCUCCAGCUUAGCCUCCUCUCUAGAAGCAGCUCUCUUAGUACUCGUCUCCUUGCGAAGCAAUGCUUGAACAUGAGGGUCCCGCAUGAUUGAACUUAGUACCGACGAACUCUGCUGCGUGGAGUCCAUGUCGUUCUCUCCGCCGCCAUGUCCGGCCCCUUCUCCGCCGCCAUGCCCGGCCUCUUCCCCGCCACCAUUAUCGAUCAUCUCUUCGUCUUGCCCCGUGUCAUCAUUGCCUGCCCCGUCGGCAUCCUCAACAUCGUCAUCCUCAUCUUCAAUUAUCCACCGAGUAUAGCCAUCCAUGAAACCAGUCAUGAGCAGGUGCGCUUCGACACAACCAUCAUCAUGGGGGUUGAGCCAAACUAUUCCUUUGCAUUUUUGACACGGACAUAAAACCUCUGUCCGGUUAUUUUCUUUCAUGUCCUGCACCGCCGACCGCAACCACCUGUCCACCAUCAUUCCACUGACCAUCGUCAACUCUUCACGGUAAUAUAAUAAACAAAUUGAUUAUAAAAAUGCAUGGAUGCAUCAAAGUCAUACCAAAAUUCAGCAUGACCUUCCUUAAAAAUAGGACAUAUAUAGAUCUAGAGUUUGCCCGGAAUUCGCCGAAACGGAAAUAAAUCGACAUUUCGGCAAAACAUAGGCAACUCAAAAGCACAAUUUGGCAUCAACUCAUGCCACACACACAAUUUCCAUAAACAUAUCACACACACAUAAACAUAUUUCCAUUUUGCAAAAGCAUUAAAUUUUAAUCACCUAUAUCUCGAGAUCGAGCACAAGGUGGAGAUGAUGAUAUAGGGAGAUCAAAAGUGCACAAAGCUCUUCUUGACAAAGAUAGAUCUAGUUAGGGGGUAAAUAGGUCACUUAACUAAAUACUACAUCUACCUAGCUACCUAAUUUAGGAGGAGACAACUUCAACUAGUGGAAGGGGAAGGAAAAAGAGAAAGGAGAUGCAUUAAUGGAGGUGGUGUAGUUAGGUAGGAGUAAUGAACAGAGAGAAAGGUAGGUAGAAGAGGGAGAGUAAUGGGGGAGAAGUAUUGAGGAAGAAGAAGAGUGAGAGUGGGAGAGGUAGGGGAAAGGGAGAGGAGGGGGAGGGGAGGGGGAGAGUGGGAGGGGAAAAGGUGGUGGGUGCGGGUUAGUAGUAGCGCGGGACGUAAACCGCGCUGCUGCUAAGAAAGUAGCAGCAGCGCGCUUUAGGUACAAGCGCUACUGCUAACCGGGACCAAAAGUGUGACAGAUUUGAAAAUUAGCAGCAGCGACCCUAGAAAAACCGCGCUGCUGCUAAAUGGAGUUGGGUGGGCACUGUCGGUCCAUAUUUGUAGCAGCGCGGGUUACGCCGAGCGCGUUACUGCUAAGAACUUGUCAGUAGCGGGUUUUCCACACCCGCGCUGCUGAAUUAGCAGUAGCGCUCCUUUUUGAGCCGCGCUGCUGCUAAGAUUCUGUGUAUAGGGUUUUCCCUAGUAGUGGAUUGGAGUCAUCGCUUGGACCCUCUAGACGAUCCGUAAUAAGCUUGUGAUCCAGAGUGCUCCUCUUCGACGGGCUACUGACGCUAUCUUCAAACCGUCUAGUUUCUUGCAGCUCUGGCGGCCUCUUAGCCGCCCCCAGGACCGCAACGCCAUCUCUGCCUUCAUCGCCGACCUCCGCUCGAUGGCCGUCCGCCUGUCUCCGCCGCCCCCGCCUCCACCGCCGGAAACUGACUAGUCGCUCCUUGGCUCUCCAGGUCUUUCCCUUUUGUGUUUUGGGCUUGUUGAGCUAUGCCCUCAGCAAAACCUUCGUACUUGUUUGUGUGACUUGGGUGUGUGCGUUUGAACUGGUAUUUGUAUGUGUGCUCUAUGGCGGUUUGCUUUAUUUAUAAAACGGGGCGAAAUCCUUUUUCGGUAAACGAGAGAAUUAUAUAUGCUCUUUUUCCCCUUCUUUACAGGCAUUCCAGAGAGAUUCUCCCCUUGCUGCAGACCUAUCAACCGCCAUCCUUCAACUUUCAGAGAGUGGCCAGCUCCAGAGAAUUCACGACGAGUGGCUCACAGAUCCGACCUGCGGCGAUGAUGACAGUGGGUUGGGAGCAGUCAGGCUUGGCC
rnacentral:lncRNA from 1 species